rnacentral:lncRNA from 1 species
UUUUUUUUUUUUUUUUUUUGUCACUUAUGCAACUAACCCUUAAUGCUAACAGCUGGAAAUCACUAAAGUUGGUGGCAUCUUUAGAAUUGGGAUUCAAAAGUUUUAUACCAUGGUUUAGUUAACAUUUGAUGAGACUUGAAAUAGAUUAUGACCCAAGUUUGUUAGGUAAUAUGUAGGCGUGAUUUAUUUACAAAUUUGACUUUGAUCCAUGUCGUUAGAAUUUCAUUAGCUAUUUAACAAAAUGAUGAUGUGACUAUAUCCAUAAAUACUUUAAAGAAGGAUACAAAGCCUUUAAUUUCGUUUGGAAAAGUUGUUUCAAGGUUCCCAGAUCUUUGAGGAUGGUUUAGAGCAUAUAGGGUUGAAAUUCAUCCAAUUAUUAGGUCCAUUUGGGCAGUUAUUGAAAACUUCAUAUGGUUUUUUUAAGGCAUGCACUUUGAGAUACAUUUUACACACUUUUUAUAGGUUUUGAGUAGAUAUAUAUAUAUAUAUAUAGCAUAUGAGACUUGAAAGUUUUGCAAAUGAAUUUGCUUAAUCAUGUUGUGUGCUUAUUGGAUUUCAAUAUUCCUUUUCGAAUCUAUAUAUUUCAAAGGCGACAUAAAUGACAGCUUUUGUGAAGACCAACUGACCAAGCAAAGCCCUUUUCGUGUAUUUAAUAGUUUUUGUAUAGUCAAGUUAAAAACUAAUAGCUUAGGAAACAAAAUCUACAAAAUUCUUAUUCAAUCUAUUUUGAUGGAAUUAGGGGAUGAAUACAUUUUUUUUUAUUAAUUUGUUGUUGCAAUGUUGAAUGUAUUUUGUUACAAGAAAUGAAAAUAUGGGUCAUGCCACUACAAGAAAUCGGAGUUCUCUCUAUGCACAAAAUCUCGUUGAGGAAAGAGACGUUGGGAAACAGACCUUCCGUCGACGUCGUCGGGUGUGCGUCAAGAGCAUCAAUCUAUCCCUACGUAUUGCUUCUGAUGUCGGGAAAAGUGAGACCAUCUUCGACACCGCACGCAUACACAUUGAAGAAAGUUAAACAAUUAAAUAAUAGUUUCCUUUUCCUCCACGCGGUGUAGAGAAAUGUCGAACUUUUUUAUCUUUUCUGACGCCAUGCAUCAGAACGUCGAAAAUGUAUUGGAUAUUCUUGAUGUGUGCACUCAUAGCGUCGAGGGAAAGAAAACAAUUAAAUAAUAUUUCUCGUUUCUUCUAAUGUCAAUUGCAUGGCAUCGAGAACGUGGAUAAUUAUUCUUGUUGCCAUUAGUAAUGUGUCGGUAAUAUGGGGUUUUAUUACCGACACAUUACUAAUGGUGUCGAUAAUAGGGGGUUCUUUCGACGUUUUCUUUAUGCGUCGAGAGUUCCCCUAUAAAAAACCCCCAUUUAGUUCUUUAAAAUAUAGAACUUAACGAGAAAGAAAACAAGAGAGAGAUUGAGAAGAAGAGAAGUUCAUUUGUCCGCCCACCGUGUUGUUGUCGCUCACUGCCGUUUGUCGUGUAUGCCUCCACUGCUCUUAUAUCACGUAAGUUUUGGUUAGUUUUAGUUUUGGGUUGGUUAUAAUUUAGUUUUAUCUUUCGUUUAUAUUUAGAUUUAGGAUUUAGAUUUUGAAUUAGUUUUAGGAUUUAGUUGUGGAGUCAGUGUAUGUUUUAAUAUUGAAUUUGAAUUGUUUUUGGGAUUUAAGAAUUAAUUUUAGAUUGAAUUUGAGAUAAUGAUUGAAUUUGAAUGUGUUAUAUGUUAGAAUUUACGUCCUAAAACUUACGAUUUUGUAAGCAUAUUCUAUUAAAAAAAGUCGUUAUUGAUACUAUAAACUUAAAGUCAAUAAACUAAGGUUUCGAUGCUAAUUUUGAGUAAACAUGAACAUUAAAAUCGUCCUGACUUGCUCACUUAUUUCUUGAACAGUUAUAUUUAUCAAUUUGAUAUUGAUUAUAUUUUGGUCGUACUUUAGAUUAAAUCAUGUUGGAAAUUUGUGGGAAUUGUCAAUUACUUAAUUUGAGUUAAUUAUUCAGCUGAAAAUUUGAGGGGCAUUGUUGAUUUAAUAUCAAAGGUUCGAGAAUGUAUACAUCAAAUCCUUGUGGAAGGUUGCAUAUUGUUGGCCAAAUAUCCAGACAACAUAGCUGAUUGAAUAUCAUACAAUAUCUGAUAUGUUCUCUCUCUUUCUUUUAACUUUCUUCUCUUAAUCCAAACAUGAACUUACACAUUACAUUCUCCCAAACAUGCCUUGAAGUGUCUUCUUGUCAUUAGUUUCUAUUUUUCUUGAUUUUGAUGUGUACAAUUCAUAUUCAACUUCAAAUCUUCUGGAUAAAACAAACUACAAACCAUAGAAUGGAAGCAUCUAAAAUGAAUUUGUCUUCAACAAGGCCAAUGCACAGCAACUUAAGCUUUUUGUUGGGAUCAUUCUCAUUCUAAAUUUCGCGGAAGCACUUGCUCUUUAUGGGCUUAUUGUUGGUAUUAUUCUCUCCUCUCGAGAUGGUCAACCAAGAGCUGAUUAAGUGAUUAAAUGUUUUGUGAUUGAAAUUUGUGUAUUACUGGUCUUUUUUUUUUCUUUUCUAUUAUCUCAUGAUUUUUUUGUAGUUCUAUAAUUAGAAACGGUCAUGACUAAGUUUUUCACUUUUUCAAAUAUUCUUGUGGUUUUGUGAUUUCUGUACCACAUAGAUUCUGUACUCAUAAGGAUUUGGAAUCAAUUGUCCUCUCAAUAAACAUAAAAACAUUGCUUCCUUCCCUAUUUAUCUGUGUUGAUUGUUGCUCUAGUAUUUGUACUUCUGAAACUUUUUUUUAUAUACUUUGUAGCUAAUGAUUAGAUAUAUUUGUUAUUGGACUGUAUUGGGACUAAAGUAUCCAUUCAUAUGUUGACAUUUUCUUUAAGCAGAGAUUUGGCACUUCUUUUUCCCUCUUUUCUUUUUUGUUUUCCUGCCGUUUUCUCUUCCCUUCUUUUGGAUGUUGAUUUUCUUGGUACUUCCACCUCAUUGAAUGUUCAAAUUGAUUAGAUCCGACUUUUUUUUUCUUCUGUUUCCUAGCCUCGUUUUGAUGUCUAUUGUUUAUUUCUCUGUUGCUAUUUGGCUUGCAUUUUUUAAAUUUGUAGAUUUAUUCUGUGUUUAAUUUUCCUAUUGAAUGUUAGCUAUAGCACGAUGUUUAUGGAUUUGGAGUUGGGUUGUGUUGAUGCCUGAUAAUUUCCUUUUCGACUGUUUGUUUUCAGGUUACAUAAAUUAUAUCAGGUGUCCUUGGAUCUUUAUGGUUUAACGGUGCAUUUCUGAGUUUAGAUGUGAAAAUUGAUUGGUAUGUUAGAUAGGUUUUUGUUGACCCAGUCUUUAUAGUUCUUCACAUUUAAGUCCUCGUUGUUAUAUGCCAGUUGGAGUUAGAAGUUAUUAAAGUUCUUAGUUUUAAUUAAUGUUAUAUUCUUAUUUCAUUUGUAGAUUUCAAGGAGUUGAGGAUAACAACCGUUGAGAUUUUGAUGAGUUUGUAGUUAUCUAAGAGUGUUGUGGUGCUUGCAGGAGGGUGAUGUCUAUGUUUCUUAUUACUAUAUAUAUUUUGUGUUUUAUGAUUAAAAACAAUGUUCAUAACUUCGUUCGUUUUGUAAUAUGAAUAAGAACAAUAUGUUUCUAUGUUGUAAGUAUAUUGUAAUGACGAACUAUAUGUAUAUGUUCAAUAAUAUAUAUGAAAUUUGUUAGUUAAUUGAUUGGAGGUAAGUUGAUUCAAGAAAUAUAAAUAAUUCAAUUGAUCAUGUUGUAUACCAUUGUUGGACUUCAAAACAGGUGCAAUAUAAGUAUAUGGGUAUUUCAAAUUGUACUUUUUUUCAUUUGAAAAAAAAAAGUCUUCGACAUGUAAAACGUAUCAAGAAUAAACAAAUUCUUAACGUUAAUAAACUUAUAUACUUAAUGCGUAAAAACUGUCAAACAAAAAACUCCCUUAUUCUUGACACUGGAUUACUUGACGCGUAAAAAGCGUCAAGUAAUCUUAUACACUUGACAUUUUUUACCAGUCAAGUAUAAUUGUACUUGACGCUUAAAAACUGUCAAGUAAACCUCCCUUAUUCUUGACACUGAAUUACUUGACACAUUGAAAAACGUCAAGUAUUACCAAUUUUGUAGUAGUGAUAAAUGAGAAUAUACGUUGCAAAACAUAAUUCAUUUUUAUCCAUUUUUAAGGUUACUAAAUAAGAUGUUCCCUUAAGUGUUGACUCUCUAGGUCUUGAGUAAAGGAGCCCCACUCUCUUUUUGGUUUGAGAGAAAUUAACUUUAUAGGUAGGACCUUAAACCAAUUGUUCAUUAGAGAAUCUUAGGCUUAAGGAAUAAGAUGUACUCUAAGACGUAAAAUGGUAAAAUGACCAAACCGAAAUUACAAACAACUUGUAAAGGCUAGACUUACUAAUUAUGAUUGUAACAAGUGGAUACAAAUAUAUAUCUACAGUGAGGAGAGUACAAUUAUGGGAUAUAGUGGACAAUCUCGAUUAAUUAAUGAAUGUUGAUAUACUCGAUUAAAAGAGUUUAGUUAGUUAAUUUUGGGUCGUUGGUUCAUUAGGUCAUUUUACUAGCUUGUUAUUAUGGAUGUAAACUUAGAAUAGAGGGAUCAAAAUUUUGAAUUGCUCAAAUUAGUUGAGAAAAUAAAUCAUUAAUAAUAUUCAAUAUAAUUAACGAUUUCAAGUUGAGAAAGAAAUGGUAUUUAAAUGAGAUUUAAAUAUAAAAAGUUCAAAUAGGUCGGGAUUGGGUGAAAUUUAAUUAAAUUAAAUUAAUCAAGUUGAAAAAGAGGAAUUUUGUUUUUGUUUUUUUGUUUUUUUUGUCAAAAGUUAAAAAGCCAAAAUGUUGUUUUGAAACUUGGAAGUCAUGCAUGUGUUGACUUUGAUGGUGGAAUUAUCCCUUGGUUGAUGAAUAACCUAUAUGCUUUAUGCUUAAUGGUGUUGUUCAACAAGCUUUCUACCACCUAAUCCACUAACUAAUUGCAUGUUAAAUGUUAAAUUGUAAUGCAAUUGUGUUUUGCAUUUGUAUUGGCUUUACAAUGCACACAUUAGUUUGAUAGUUUAGAUGAUGAAUCUCAUUGAAUUUUGGAGAAGAUUUGUCUCGAACUGUUUAUAAACUCAUUUCUCUCACAAACUCACAAAAUUCAACCGUUUGUGUGUGGUUGUUCAUACUUGAUUUCAUCCAAUUUCAUCCAGAAUUGAGGGAGAAUUUUAAAUCCUCAUAAUUCAUGAAAUCUAGGGUGUUUUAGUUCGAUUAUGUUAUGCUAACAUGUUAAUUUAACUUUCAGAAAUACGGUGAAGUGAGCAAAAGUGAGUUAAAACAUGUUAGUUCGAUUGAGGCCAAAUUUGACACUUCUAAGAAAGAAAAAUGCAUACAAAAGUGUUGAGGCCAAGUAUAUCAAUGAUAAUUUUGGUAUAUCCUUAAUUAUUAUUCCUAAAAUGAUCAUCAAUUGCAAUUUUGCUAUAAAAAGGUUAUGAUUUUGUUUAAAAUAAAAGAAAACGAUCAUUUUUCUUGUAAAAGGAAAGAAAGGCAAGGUCGAGGCUGGGGUCGUUCCUUGAGUUUUAAAGAGAGGAAGACUCAGAUCGAAAGAAAAUAUCAAAUCCUAAAAACAAAAAAGAAGGAAUGAUCAAAUCCUCAAUCGAAGGGAGGAAGCCGAGGCUGACCUGAAAAAUUUCACUGAAGGUAGAUCUGAAUCAGAAGAAAGUAUGAAAUCCUUGAAAGAAAGAAGUAAUUAAGGAACAAAUCUCCAACCAAAGAAGCCAGCAAGUAGAAACUUUGGAACCAAUCUCACUCACAAGGAGGAUAAAAGCGUAAAUAUUAGAACCAUAACUGAAGCUAAACAAAUAAAAGAACUUGAUCAAAUUCUUAAGGAAGAAUACUGAUGUAUUUGUUUGGUCGACACACGAGGAUUAUUCCUGAAAUUGAUACCAACAUCGCCUCAAUGUGCACAAGUAUUUAAACUAGUAAAGUAAAAGCGAAAAAUAAUGUUUAAUCAAUAGCAGAAUGAGAUAACAGCAAUUCAGAUUAAUGAUUUCUUAAAAGCUAAAUUUAUUAGAGAAGUUUAUUUACCCUCAAUGGUUGUCUGAUGUAGUGUGUUUGUAAAAAAAAGCGAAUAGUAUGUGGUGGAGGUUCAUAAACUUCAUUUAUCUUAAUAAAGCUUGUCUAAAUGACAUUUUUCCUUUUCUCAUGACAUAUUAUUUAGCAAAUGCAACAGUUGGCCACGAUAUGUUGAGUUUCAUGGAUGCAUAGAACCAGAUCAAGAUGAAUGAGGCAUACCAAGAGAAAGCUUUCCUUCAUUACAAGUAAAUGUGCAUACUACUACAUGGUCUCAUGGCCAUUUGAACUUAAGAAUGCAAAAGCUACAUAUCAAAGAUUGGUAGAUAAUAUGUUUGCUUCACUUAAUUAUUGGAAAAAACAAGAAACUAUAAGUAGAUGAUACGUUAAUAAAAAGCAUUAAAGCUAGACAACAUGAGGCAGAUCUUGAAGAAUGUCUUUUUAGAUCCUUUGCAAGUAUAUAUAAUAGGAAGCUACGUACACACCUUACCAAACGUACUUUUGGGAUAACAUUAGGGAAAUUUCUAGGCUUUAUGGUUCACCAAAAAGCCAAUUUAGAUCAAAUUCAAACGAUCAAACGAUCGUCGACAUGUCCACUCCAACCCAUUUAGAGUAACUUCAAAGUUUCAUCGAUAAGAUAUCAACUUUAAAUAGAUUUGUUAGUAGAGCAACUAACUGUUGUCUCCCUUUUUUAAAAAUUUAAAAAAGGAUCCUAAUUUGAAUUAAUAGAUAGAAAAAUAUGACAAAAUUAAAACAAUUUUCCAACGGAUGACAUAUACUUGAGUAAAGUUCCACUUCUUGUCAAGCUGAUUUUUCACACAGACGAAUUACUCCUCUAUUUACCAAUUAACAAUGUUGUCUCUAUUUCGUUGCAUGGCGAGCCUCUCUUCUCCUAAAGUACAAAUUUAGUGUUGUUGGUCCGUGGAGAUAAAAUACAUCGUGUUUGGUUAAAAUUUGGCAUCAACAGAAAUAAAAUCAUAUAAAAAUAAUUUAAUUUCUAUAUUGUCUCUGGUCCCUAAAAAUGACAUUUCUGAAGGUGUUUUGGUGAUGAUAGAGUGGAGGACAAAUGCAGAAGAGUAAAAUAAUUGAAUGGAUGGAUGAGAACAAAAUAGGUACACUCUGAUUCAACAGCUAAUUUAGACAUCACUAUUCCAGAUAUAUUUAAAGAGUUUAUAUAGUAAUUGUAUUUGAGAACAAGUAAUAUUACUUUUGGACAAAGAAGCAGCAAGCCAUAGCCAUGGGCGUCCCUUGCUUCCAGCUGCUGCAAGAAGGUAUGUCUACUCUCUUCCAAAAACUUUGCAAUCCUUUUAUUAUCAAAAAGAAAAAAGGUUUUGAUUUUUGGUUUUAUGAUUAUCUAAUUAGCUUCUUUUGAAAUAUUCUUUCUAGACAACAGGUAAAGUUGAGUUGAACUUUUAAUCUUUGACGUUUAAGUUGAUGAUACACGUUAAACCCUUCCUUUGAAUUUGAAUUUGUGCCUUAACCAAGUUUACCAUAGGAAGGAAAAAAAAGACAAGACAAACAAAUUGUAUGCUUUGCAAUUUGCACCAUUUUUAUCUUUUCUCAAAGCACAUUUGAUUUUUUAAAAUUAAUUUUCCAAAGUUUAUGAACAAUUUCAAAAACGAACCCUACAAAUCUUAACAACUUUUUAAUUAAUAAUUAUGGGUUUUGUUGUAGAAGUGUCAUUCGUCCCUCCAUUUUUUUUAGUCCAAAUAUAAUAAAAACCCUAACAACUUCCAUAGAAGAAUACACAAAAUCCAAUUACAUCUAACAUUUACUUUGUCAUCAAUCUCCUCCAAGAAUCCUACCUUUUCAAUUUUCAGAUUUAUGGGGUCUUGGGAUUAAGAGCUAAAAGAAGACAAAAAAUAAACGCAAGCAGUACAUAUAGUAACAUAAACUGAAUUUUUUUUUGCAUAUUUCAUGGUGGGAGCGAUGAGGGUGUAGCUUCAAAGUGGGAGAAAAAAGAUAAAACAUUAGAUAAAAUGAAAUGAAAAAUGAAAGGUUGAUAUUUGCAAAAGAAGAGAAGUUGCAAAGAAAGAAAUAAAAGAAAGAUGAAACAAUUUUUCUAUAAAAAGCAAUGAAAAUUAAAAUUAAAACACAUACGUGACAUCAUAAGAAUCUGCCACGAGGCAGAGAUGUUAAGGCUGGAGCACUGUAAGAGCAAGAUUGUUCAAAACAUGUCACAAUUCGUAUUGCAGAAUGCUUUAAAAUUCAUUUUUCACAUUCAUAUAAUUAAUAAUAUCUAACAAUUCAAACAUUUGGUGCACUGUAUGUUAGACUAGAAGGCAAAGCGGCAAUAAUCACAGGUGGAGCAAGAGGAAUAGGAGAGUCCAUUGCAAAACACUUCUUUAAUCCUGGAGCAAAAGUUGUAAUUGCAGACAUCCUAGACGAUUUAGGUAACUCUCUUUCCAACCAUCUCUCCUCUUCAUCUACUUCCUUCGUCCACUGCAACGUAACGAAAGAAACCGACGUCGAAAAUGUCGUUAACACCGCCGUUUCCAAAUACGGAAAGCUAGACAUCAUGUUCAACAACGCAGGCAUUCCAGGAGCUCUCAAGUUCAACAUACUCGAAAACGAAUAUUCAGACUUCCAAAACGUACUCAAUGUCAACCUAGUUGGAGCCUUUUUAGGCACAAAACAUGCAGCAAAAGCAAUGAUUCCAGCAGGUCAAGGCAGCAUAGUUAUAACUGCAAGUGUUUGUUCAAGCAUUGGUGGGAUUGGGCCAUAUGCUUACACAAGUUCAAAGCAUGGGUUGUUGGGAUUAAUGAGGAAUGCAACUAUUGAUUUGGGAAGAUAUGGAAUAAAGGUGAAUUGUGUGUCACCUCAUGUAGUCCCAACUCAAAUGACAAGAGAACAUUUUAAGUUGAAAGAUGGUGAUGAGUUUCCUGAUGUUUAUUCUCAUAAUUUCAAAUGUGGAGAUAUUUUAAGGAAAGAAGAUGUAGCUGAAGUUGGUUUGUAUUUAGCAAGUGAUGCAUCUAGAUUUGUUAGUGGACAUAACUUUGUUCUUGAUGGAGGCUUCACUGCAGGAAACCAAGGUCUUUGCUCCUAUCAACAAUUUGGUAACUGAAAUAUAAAUAAUUAUUAAACCCAAAGAACAAAAGUUGGUCCUUUUCAAAAUUCUCUAAUUCCUAUAGUUUCCUUUUUGUGUGGUUUUAUGUCCCAAGUAAGUCAUUACUACUUGUUUUAGUUGUACCUUUCAUUUCUCUAUGUUUGACAUUAUUAUAAGAAUAUCCAAUAAUUAUAAAAGCUUUGGGUUCUUGAAGUACUGUUUUUAAGUUUAUUGCAUACUCUUUUUAAUAAACGUAUUUUAAUAUUUUUAGGGCACAACUGCAUUUUGUCAUCUCCCUUUAAUUUAAAACUAAUAAUUAGAUAUAUAACCAUGAUUUUUUUAUAAAAUGAUAAAUAUAGUAUAACCUAUCAAUAUGAUAAACUCUAUUGUUGAUAUAUAAACACUUAUCAAUACGGUAAACUGAAUGGUUGAUAAACACCUAUUAAUGAAAUAGAUAUAUAAUGCUUGCUAGACUUCUGUUAGGCGUAAAGUCUAUGUUACUAAUAUAGGUUUUAAGAGUUGGAUUUAAAGUUGGAUGUUAUUCAUAAUUAUUUUAAGAAACAAUUUUUUUAUAUAUCUGCUAAUAGUUUGGUUUGGGAUGAUUGUUGUAUCUAAAGUAUAAAGUACUCAUGAAAAUAGCUCUCUUUACAAAUGAAUUGACAUACCUAUGAGUACAUUCAAGAUCAGUUUUUUCUAAUAUUUAAUUAUAGUUUUUAUCCAUAAAUAAAUUAUUAAAGAGAGAUUAAAUCUUUUAUAUAUGAAACUUUCUUUCACAUGUUUUCACAUAUUUGACUUAAUUUGAUCAAAUUAUUACUACAAAAAUUUUAGUGACGCAAGUAAUUUUUGUCGGUAAAAGAUCGUGUAUAGCAAUGCAUAGAAAAUGUGUUACAAAAUAUUAUCAUUAGCAACACAUUUUUAAUAUGCGCCACUAAAAGAAUUUGUAACAAAGCAAUAAUGCCCCUAAAUAUUAAAUAAUUUUAGCAAGAAACAUAGAUGAGAAAUUGGCAAAAGUAGUAAACUUUUGGUUUUCGUUUUUAAGAGUAGCACAUUUUUUUAAAACUCGUAAAAGCGUUUUUCUCAGUCAAUCUUGAGCGAGAUCGAUCACUAAAAUUUUCUAAAAUAUUAAAAAAAUUCAACUAUCGAUUGUUUUGGGUUUUUUCGGUUCAUCUUGUGUAAACUUUGAAUCUUAUUGAACUUAGAUUAUCUUUCCAAGAGUUCGGAAGGAUUAGUUUUAAGUGGAGUUAGGACAAGAAAGUAAGCUUGUGAAGUGAUAUUUUUAUGUAUGUGGUGGGAGGACGAAAGAAGAAAAAUUAAGAAGUAAUAAUUUUGAAAGAUAAAGAGAAAAGUUAGGUAGGAAAUAAGAGAAAAUUUGGCUAAGUAUGAAAGUUGGGUAUUUGACUAUGGUUAAGCGUUAGAGGUUUUGUUGAGGUGCCAGAAGGGAAGGAAAACCUCUAAAGAGAUUAGUGUGGGCAAAUAGGGUGCUUGCUAGGCGGCAAAAGAAGAGAAGAUAACCUCCCUCUUAAGAUGUUAUCUUUGCGUUUUGAUGUGUGGUUGAGAAGGACAGAGUGAACCUCUAAAAGUUGGCGUUUUGGUUGCGUUUAGGACAAAAGAAGGCUUGUUUAGUGGUUAGCUAGGCGUUUGGAGAUUUGCAGCAAAGCUAGAGAGGUUAGUUGGAUGUUAGGACUUGGCGAAGAGCAUGACAUGGGAGAAGGACAUGGAGGUUAGCUAUGCAAAGUGAGGUUAGAGGUCAUGCAAUGAGAGAUUAGUUGGUCAUUAGGCUAGGCAUUUGGCAUGUCCUUGACACUUUGGAGUUUUGAUUAGGUGAGGAGAGGAAAAGGUGGAUUUGUUCAAGUGGAGUCCAGGUGUCAUGUGUAUGCAUAGAUUAAAUUUCGGCUAAAGGAGGUGUCAAUAAAGUUUCAUGCAAGCUCCAUUAUUAAUAGGUUACUUCAGACGUGCAUUUCUCUCAAACCACUCGUGCAUUUUGAGUGAAAUUACUCUCAAAAUAUUCUAAAUUGAGUCUAUAUAUUUUCUAUAUUGGGGCUACCGAUUUAAUUUGAGUAACGAAAGAUUGAUUUUAAGUUGAAGAAAGUGAGGAAGGUCGGAAUUCAGGUGAUUCUGAGCAAGGUGGACUUCUAGAGAGCUGUAAAGUUCAUCCGUUGAAAUUUGAAACUGAAAUAUUGAGGUGAGAAAGACAAUUUUCAACAACUUUAUCGAAGAAAGUAUUUUCAUUUGAGUUAUGCAUUUACAGUUACUAAGCUCUAAAUUGGAAAUAAGGUUCUGGCCGAAAAUGAGUUUAUGAGCAAUAGAGGUGGUUGGCCAAGAGACAAGGUAAGAUUAGGCGAGUUGGGCAUGACGUUUUAGAUCAGAGAGAUUAUUAGAUGAGGAGGUUGGCGUUGUAUGCACGACCUAUGCGCAAGACGCACACACGACAAGAAGGCACGUUAGGAGGGCUGCACGAGAUGUCAGACACGGGGGCCAAGUGAGGCGCGGUGUGUCUGUGCGCAGGCAUGCCCCGGGCGCGUGGUAAACCUCUUGUGAGGUUAGCGCGAGCAGCCCAGCACGCACGGGCAACCCCUACGCGCCAGCCGUGUCAAAGCGAUGUUUUAAAGUUGUUUUUGAUAUUUUGAAAAUUUUUAAGUAAAUUAAAUGAAAGUUGAAAGUUGUUUCUCAUUAUUUCAGGUCAAGAGAAGAACAAACACAUUUACAGACCAAAGUGUAAGCUACUAUUUGUGAGUGAUAAAGUGAAAGUUGAUUUUUUAAUUUAAUUAUCUAUCAAAUGUUUUAAGCAUGUUUUGAUGUAUGAAUUACUUGAGUUUACUGUUUUAGCAAAAUGUUUCCAAAGCAUGAGAUUUAAAAUGUUUGACAAGUAUUUAAGUAAAGAAUAAUUUUAGAAUGUUUUAGACUAUACCAUACGAUGUAUAUAUAUAGCAACCCUUUCGGGGGAUAUGACAUGUGCACAAAGGUUCUUAUGAUAGAGGUUAUCAUUAAAUACCUAUGUAUUCUCUCAUUGAGAGAUUUCUGAGAAGAGGGUGCUACAUUUCUUGAGAUUACCCACCUCAUUGUAGCUAUAACAAGAUGAGGACUGUUAGAGGGUCCUCCUUGUGUUUCAUAUGGUAUAGCAAGUAAACUGACUUACUAUGUUGAAGACGAAGUUUAAAACUAAAUUGUUUUUUUUCUUUUCAAAUAUGCAUGUUUUAAUAAAAACCAUCACUCAUUGUGCUAUUUUAGCUCAUUCUUUCCAAAUGUUCUUCCCACUUUUCAGGUAGUGGUCGUGAUCUGCAAGCCUGACUGUUGUCUUCAAGUUUGUUGUACAAAAUUUGUGAUUAGUUUAGUUACUGAGGGUCAAUUUUAGUUCAAACCUUAUCAUGUACAUGGUUUUGCAUAAGGUUAAGUGCAGUUGUUAAAUUUUUGUUUGGUCUGUAAGUAUAGUUUGUAAUCAAUGGCAUCUAGCCUCGCCUACUUGUUAAAAAGUAUAAGAAGUUGGUGAAGUUUGUUUCUCUUAAUUUUCGUUGCAUAAGUUUUAAAUUAUUUCGAUUAGGCCUUUUGGUACACAUUUUCUAUUUGUUUCUUGGGAUUUGCUUAAGCUUUCUUCCCAUUUGAAUCAAGUGUCUUAUGUUUCACUUGCUCUUGUGGCUUGAGUAAGAAGAAUUUACAACCAUGGCUUCACUGCUGCUAGAGACAUUUCAGGGGUAGUCUUUCUUGAACUAAGUUUAAUUUUCUUCAACAAAUUUUGCAUAUGUGAUAUCAUCAUAUAAAGUUAGGAAAUGUUUGAACUUUAACCAUUUCUUUUAUGUCAAACCGUAGUCCUCUUAUAAACUGGACAAUUAGGUAUUUUUCAUUCUCCAUCAGAUUUGUUCUAGCUCCUAGUUAGUGGAACUCUUCAAUGUAUUCAACCAUAGAUCGAGUCCCUUGUUGAAAACUUUGAUAUUGGUUGUAUUGAGUUUGUUCAUAGUUAGGUGGAAGGAACCUAGCUUUCAUUAAUUUCCUCAUUUUCUCCCAAGAGAAUUUAGUUUGAGUUAAUACACAAAAGCUUAAAGUCUAUUAGAAUGGGACAUUUGUAAACAAAGGAGGUGGACUCCUUUUAUAGGCUUAGAGUCAUCCACCUUUCUACAAAAUAGCUAACGUGGGAUUCCCACAUCCCACAUCUUGCCAAAUCCGAUUGAACUAACAUAAAUUUCUUUAGUUCAUUUACAGAAAAAAAUUAAAGCAGAAUUUGAUAUCCUUUCAUUCAUCAUCUUCUUGUCGGUAAUAAGUUUAAUUUCAUCGUGGGUAGAGAAAAAUAAAAAGAAAUCAGUAUUUACAUAUACAGAACAAAACGCAAAAAUAUUUACAGCACAUAUAACAAAAAAAAAAAUGAAGUCACUAUUGUUUUUCCAUAAAUUCUGGAUUUUUCCUUGUUGGUUUUGAAUUUCUUGGAACGAGUGUUGAAUUCCUGCACAUCUUCUUCAUAUUCCCACUUCUUCUUAUUCGCAGUUUUUCAUCUUCUCUUUUAGAAUUUCUUACUUGUUCGUCAUAUCAUGUCAUUUUUUUUUUCUUUUUUUUUCACUACAAGAUCGUGUACCAAAAUCUAAACGAUCAGUCAACUAUCUGAGAUAGAUAGAGAUAAAUCACUAUCACUAUCUAUCCCACAUACAUAAGCAAUAGAUCUAAAUGAUCGUUUACGAAGAUCCAAGCUAUCGUUUGCCAAGAUCAUUUAGAUUUGGUAUAAGAUUGUGUACCAAUAUCAUGUACCAAAACCGUUUAGAUUUUGUAUAAGAUUAUGUACCAAGAUUGUUUAGAGAUAGACCACUCUCAAUGUCUAUCCCAAAUAGAUAAGUGAUAGAUUCAAAUGAUUGUUUACUAAAAUCUGAACGAUCGUGUACCAAUAUCUAAAUGACCUUUUAUACUAUAUUAUACGAUCGUUUUAACUAGAAGCUUUUCAUGAGCAUGUGUGGUCGAUUAAUCGAGAGAUAUUUUUGUUAUUUCACUUUGUGGGUUUUUUCCUUUCUCAAAAUUGUUCUAUAUACCGUAUAAAUAUUUUUUCACUUUGUUUCAUAGUAAAAAAAGUUCCUUGUUAUAAUCUAAAAUUUUACCAUAUUUUAUAAAUAUUUUAAAAAUUUUGCUACUUAUGAUCAUUUAACACAAAAAUACAUGUAAAAAAGAAUAAACUAAAUAAUUUGUUACUAAGAUCGAAAGGUAAAUGGCAUUCGAAGAAGAAGAAGAAGAAGAAGAAAGAGGUUGGGCAAAUAAGAGAUACCAAAACCGACUGGUUCGGUUUAAGAAUUCGUUCAUAUCCAACCGAACCGGUUUUUUUUUAUAUAUAUAUAAGCCUUAGGGUUUCUUUCUUCAACACUUCAGCCGCAUCGUUCCUCUUCUCUAGGGCCAUAGAGAGACCAGUGCGCCAUUGCAGCGCUUAAUAACUUCCCCUUCACUCUCUUCAUCCUUUGCUUCACUACUACGGUAAGUCGCUCUUACCAGUUCUAGUCUUUUGCUCUUUUGUUAUUCUUUUCCUUUGGAGUUUUUUCACUGUUGUAGUUUACUUUGAUGCCCAAAUUCUAUCACGUUUUCAGCUUGUGUUUCGUUUCGUUGCCAGUAGCUGGUGGGUUUUUGAGUUUUGUUGUUUUUGAUAUGUGCUGUAAUUGAUUGAAAUAUUAGAAUACUCUAGAUCUGUUAACGUUACUCUUGCUCAUUUGAGUACCAUUGUACUUGUUUAUAUCUAUUUAUGAAGUCCUGUUUUUAUUAGUCUAUUGUUGGUGAGUUGAAUAGCAAGAAGUUGAUUUUUAUCUGUCUAAUUUUUUAGUUUUUACAACUUCUAUGGAGAUGCUUGAUUUCAUUGCUAAUCCGUUAAUUUAUCUUGGUUGUUUAUUUUCCUCUCUUUCUGUUUUUACUCUCAUUAAGUUCUUCAUUAGGAAUGGGGAAUGUGGUUAGUUUUCUUUAAGGGAAGGCGAGGAUUGGCGUUGUUCAGUUUCCCUGCUUUUAUAAUUUUGUCCCUGGAAUAAUUGUAUUUGGCUUCUCUUUGCAACUUUUAUGCCGCAACCUUCUCUUGUGAUUCCAAUUUUUAGGUAAAUUUUGGAUAAUAGAUUACCUCAACUGAUUGAUCCUUCCUAUCAAUUGGUUUCUUGGGUGUUCUCUCUCUGCCUUGGUGUGACAGAUGGGAAAAUGUGGAGUUCUUGAUCGGAAAUGGUCCUAUUCUUAUGAUUUUCUCAUUUUAUCAACACAUCUAUGAUCUAUUUCUGCUGCUCCCAUUUACAUUUGAAAUGUAAGAGGUUUUAAAUUUCAAAACGUUGUGUGUAUUAUUUUAGGAAAAUGCAGCUUUUUAAUCUAAGACUAGAGAGUUAAGCCAUCUAAUUUGCGGAUGGGGAAUAUGAAAAUGAUUAGGUAUCUGGAUAUGCAUAACAUGUUUGAUCGAAUUAGUGCUCAAUUUCUUUGUGUAAAUAAAUGGUCUACAGGAAUAAUGGCUGUUGAAGUUGAUGUGGCAAGCCAGGAACUGACCCAGUCUCAUCACGAUGUGAAGCUGUUCAACCGCUGGACCUUUGAUGAUGUCCAGGUGAACGACAUCUCUCUGGUUGAUUACGUUGGGGUUGCACCUGCCAAGCAUGCCACCUAUGUCCCCCACACUGCUGGGAGGUAUUCUGUCAAGCGCUUUCGGAAAGCUCAGUGCCCAAUUGUGGAGAGGCUCACAAAUUCACUUAUGAUGCAUGGUAGAAACAACGGGAAGAAGCUUAUGGCAGUCCGGAUUAUUAAGCAUGCAAUGGAGAUCAUUCAUCUUCUAACUGAUCUCAACCCAAUUCAAGUUAUUGUUGACGCCGUUGUUAACAGUGGGCCACGUGAAGAUGCUACCCGAAUCGGUUCAGCCGGUGUUGUUAGGCGUCAGGCUGUGGAUAUAUCCCCUCUGCGUCGUGUUAACCAAGCAAUCUAUCUCCUUACGACUGGUGCUCGCGAGGCUGCUUUCAGAAAUAUCAAGACAAUUGCAGAAUGCUUAGCUGAUGAACUUAUUAAUGCAGCAAAGGGCUCUUCAAACAGUUAUGCAAUCAAGAAAAAGGAUGAGAUUGAGAGAGUUGCAAAGGCUAAUCGUUGAGGUAAUAUCUCGAGGUUUGUUUUAUGUCACACAACAAGAGUUUUAUGUACUAUUUUUUUGUCUCUGGCUACAUUCUUCUAAUGAACACUGAAGUUUAAGGUUCGGGUUUGGUUUCUUUGUUGUGACAAUUCAUAUCUACUUGUUUUAGGUUUUUGAAGUUGAACAAGCUAAUGCAUGAUGUGUUUCUUAAAGUUGGAGUAUAUUUUCUAGUAUUAGUGAAACUUAACUGUCUCAUUUGGUUUUUUAGGUAAAAUAUUUUGCUAAGUGCAAGUUUUGGGUCCAUAUUGUUGGGGGUGUGCUUCUCUUCUAAGAGUUCAAUUUCGUCAAAUAUUUUUCUUACUAAUUCUGAAGAAAUCAUCUCGUAUACUAAAUUUUGAUGAAAUUAUUCACUCAUUGCCCAUUGAGGUCGGUUUGAAAUAAUCAUUUAGUUUUGAGAAAUUGUGAUAGAUGUCUAAAAGGAAAGAAUCGUUUUGAAUUAUAUCUACUCUACUAAAUUAUUGAAAUGUCCUUGGAGGGAUCCAACGUUGAUCUAAUGAUGCAAGUUUUUCCCCCGGAAAGCACUAGAUCAUAUACCCUAUUACCAUGGAGAGUGUAGAUAGAUCAAACCCUUUUUUUCCUAAGUGUAUUUUGAAGAAAUAUAUCGUUAUUUAUCUUUUACAUGUAGGGUUUUAGUUGUUUGGAUAUCCUUCAUUGUGGAAUCAAUUUUAAAAUUAACUUGAAGUUUCUCUAGAUUAUUCAUCAAUGAUUUUGUUAUCUUUUACCACACCAUGUUCGGACCUCACCGAUCUCGUUGAGAUAUUGAAGAUGAGGGAUUUAAUUGAAGCAAAUAAGAGUUAUACGAAGUCCCCUAGGUAUUCAACUUAGAAACUCUUUUGUUACACGAAAUUCCCAACAAUUCAACUUAGAAACUCUAAUUUUUUAAUCACUAAAAUUUCCAAAUCAAUAUAAUUUCAAUCCUAGGAAUUGGGUUAGACAUAUAUUGUCCUAAGAUCUAACAUCUUAGACACAAAAAACAUUCACCUUAAGUUUUGAACACUCAAGAGAACUAAGUUUUGAACACUCAAGAGACAUGUAACUAAAAAAUGAAUUACAAAUCUAAGCUCUCUUAAAUUUGAUUAAACUAAUUCUACUUGUAUGUAAUAAUAAUAAAAAAAAAGGAUAAAAAUGAAAAGAAUAUUUAAAUUACAUCAAAAUUAUUUAACAAAAUAUAAUUAAUAAUUUGAUGCUCGUUUGAAAAGUUGGUAAAUCAAAGCCUUGCAAAGUAGUCAUGAAGUCAUGAGAUGGAGGCAACGUCAAUUUCCUAGCAGUCUUUUGGAUGGUUUGCAGCUAUCGAAAGAACUUGGGGGAUGGUUUGCAGCUAUCAAAAGAACUUAGGUCACUUGUGAAGUUUUGCUUUAAUAUCUUUACUUUCUCUGCAAAAGUUCAAAAGAUAAAUGAGGCAAAUUGGGUGGAAGCUCACCUAUUAGAAAACUAACUCUUUGGUUAUCUUCACAAAUUUUAGUUUUUGUUUUCUCAUCGAUGUUUGCGUAUUCUUCAUUUUCAUAUAUUUGAAGCAAUGAUACAACAUAUGAUCAAUAUUACUUUGGACGCUAAUUUUUUGGAAAAUAUGUCAAUUUCAAGUUCACUACUAUUUACAUCCUCUACCCCACUACCAUUAGCCUAUGCUCCUUAUUACAAGCACAUGAGUUCUUGCAAUCUAAAUCAUCACGUUCAUGCAUUGACAUAACAGUUUAAGCUUUUGUUUACAUGUAGUGGCAUUGAAAUUGAGCUUAGAUCUAAUGUACCUUCAACAUUUUAUUUGGAGUAGCUUUUUUAUCUUGCACCAUUUUUUCCAAGUCCUCACAAUUUCUCAUUAAAUUCUUUGUAGAAUUGAUCCAUGGUAAUUUCCUCUUCCUCAUAUAUGUUAACCUCAGCAAGUAGUAACAGCUCUUCAUUAGUAAGUGUUCACACUUUUGUUCCCUUGCUUUAAAGCUUCUAAUCUGUGGAAACUUGAACAAAAGUCUUUUUGCAAUACUUCAUCGGUCCACAUACUCUCAAGAGUAUGGGUGGUAGGAGGAAAUAUAAUAAGGGUUGAAGGAGUUGGAGAAAUCCGACUAAGAAAAAAUCCCGAGUAUUUUUGGGUGUGUGAGAAAGUAAGCAGAUAAGGUGAAAGAAAUAGGUGAGAAAUUUAUAUUUGACCCCUUUAAAAAGAAAUUUUUUUUUAGAAAACUUAAAAGACAAUCAUGGAAUGAAUUUCAUGGCAUAUCCCUACGAAUGUGGAAAAUUUCCCAUAUCCAUAGAACAGAAAUUAUGAGAAGGAAAAAAAAGUUGUGGGGAUCAGGGGGCAGAUCUCAAUUUCUAGGAAACCUCCGACACUCUACAUAUGUGAGGAAGCCUCCUCAGUUUUUACCUACUAAUCUCUCUCGCUGCCGGAGGUAUCCAUGGAUGGGGGAGAAGAAACGAUGGGGACUGAGAGGGAAAAAGGAUUGACAUGAAUGCCACGUAUCAUUUGACCGUUAGGAUGAUGCAGCAUUGGAGAAGGAGGAAGAACAAGGACUGGCGAUGGGCGCCGAGGAGUGACACAAAUUGGAGAGAGAUGGAACGUAUAUGAAUGAUGUAGGAGAGGAGAGGUAAUUAAGUGAGAUAGAAUGGAAAGACUUUGGGGGAAGGAGAGGGCAUAUCGUAAAUUUUGGGAACACAUAUUGAAUUCCUAAUUUUGUGAAAAAUUAAAGAAAGAUUUGGUGGCACUAAGCUUUCGAUCAUGAUGCUUUAAAUUAUUGUGUUGUUAGAAAUUGAAUUUUGUGACCUUUUCUUUUAACUUCUGGCUCCAAAUUAACUUUUACCAUAGCAAAUUGAAUGGGCUACUAACAAAUUAUCAUUGAAAAGCAUUUUUGAGUAAAUUUACAUUAACAUUUCACAAUAUAUCCCAUCAACAAUUUGUUGGGUCAAUUGAAGGUUUGGACCAUUUAGAAUAAUUAUUCACACUUUAAAGACUUUAAAGACUAAGGGGUGGUUUGACCAUCAAAUUAUGAAUGAGUGAAAUAAAUUAUUUUAGCUCACUCUACGUUUGUUCCAAGAAUUAUCACAAUCUUAAGAUUAUAAAUAUUCUAUUUUUUUCCCUUAUUUCUCUUAUUUCUCAUUCCCACUUUCAGUGUUCCUCUAUUUUAUUUUGAACUAAUUUUUUUACUUUUAUUAUUUGUUUCUAUUUUGUUACAAAAGAAGUAUAUUUCGAACAUCUAAUAUUAAUUGUUAAGCACAUUUUUUAAAUUGAAUAAAAGGGUAUUUAUAAAAAUAGCAAACUAAAUCAAAAUAUUUAUAAACUAUAGCAAAAUUUUGGAUUCUAUUAAUGAUAGUCUUCUAUUACUAUAAUAUAUAAAUGACUAUGAGCGAUAAAAUUUGCUAUAGGUCGUAAAUAUUUUGUAAAAUUUACUAUUUUUGAAAAUUCACCGUUAAUAAUUCACUUUAUAUGUAAACUCAUCUCCAAAUUUUGCCCAGUAUUGAAACGUUCGCCAUUUGUCCAAACUAAUACAUAUGAUUAAUUCCAUUGUUAACCUUACUACUACAUUUUUCUCACACCUAUUUCUCCAUUUUCACACUUAAAUAAUGAGGUUUUUUAGAAAGUAUAACACAACCCCAAAAUAUAUAUCAUAUAGAACAAUUUUGAAAAAAAAAAAAAACUACAGAUCUACAAUAAAAAAUACAAAAAAUGCUCCAAUGAACACGCGAUUAAUUUGGCACUUACACGCAUAAUAUAUUUGGGUACACGAUCUUGUACCAAUGUACCAAGAACGUUCAGAUUUGACUAUACGAUCAUUUAAAUUUGACUACUUAAUUUUAAACGAUUUUUUUUCUAAGAUUCAUUUGUUACAUCGUCUUUUAGAUUUGGCUACACGAUCGUUCUAAAUCUAAACUAUUCUUUUCAAGAUUCUUUGGUAUAAGAUCGUUUAGAUUUGACUACACAAUCAUUUACAUUUGUGACAUUCAUUUGGUACUACACGAUCGUUUAGAAUUGAAGCAAAUAAAAAAUGACAAAAGAAUAAGAGAAGAAAGAUGAUGAAAAUGAAAAAAAUGGUAGAAGAAGAAUAGAUCAACAAAAAUGAUAAAAAGGAGAAACCUCCAAUAUUUUAAAAAAAUUGUCAACUAUAUGAACUUUUUAAUAUUAAUAUUAUUAUUAUAUUUAUAAAAAUUAACGUAAAAUAAUGUUGAAAAUAUUAUGUUUUGAAAGUUAUAAAAAUAGUUUAGAAAACUUAUUUUUAAAAAUUAAAGUGACUGCAAUCCAUGAAAAAAUAGUGAAAUUAAAUAAAUAAUUUAGGUGUAAUUAGUUAGCAUUUGAUUUCAAAAUGCUAAAAAAUUAGGUUCCAUAAAGUACUUUUUACUUAAAAUACAUCAUUUUUUUCUCUAUAAGUAAAGAAAAGAUAUUAGGAAAUAAAUAUUAGGUUUGGUUCAAUCUGUUUAGCAAUGUUAAAGUGGUGAGAAGGAAAGGUAUUGUUAAUUAAGAAAAUAUAACCCUUACAUAUAAAUGCUAUCUUUUCAAUUUACAACUAAGAGAAACUAAGAGAAACUAAGAGAAACUAAGAGAAACUAAGAGAAAGUAGAUUUGAUUCUCAUGAAGUAAAUAAGAAAAAAGAAUCCAAAUCUACAAUGAGAGAAAGCAGCAUUAAAUCAUUGACCUAACUUUACAUCAAAUCACCAUUCUACCCUCCCUCCUCCGUCUUUCAUGUCACCAAUUCAAUGCCCUCACAUGCCCUCCGCACCACCUCACAUCUAUCCAUCAACCUUCACCGCCGGACCGCCUUUUCCAGUCCGUAUUAUUAGACAUAUUCCAAAGACGGUGGGACGAUUCAAACUCAUUUGAAAUUUGAGUGAACGCUUUCACGAUUAUUUCGUGGUGGUAAGGAGAAUUGAGAUGGAGGAAGCAAUUCAGAAGCUCUUGAAGGCCGUUGGGAGAGUAAAUUCUCUUCUCCACUAUCAUCUCAACCAUCGAUCCCCGAAAAUCCUCGUAUGGGUCGUCGGAAUCCUUCUCGACCGCGAUGCUGUCGCCGAUGAGAAUAGCCACCGGGCUUUGGGUUCCCGUGGAUUUGGAAGCGGAGCUGGUGUAGUCUUCGUCGAGAGAGAAGGUGCCGUUCUGAUCAGUGCUGGAGCUUGAAGAGGAGCGUCUGACGAUGGUGGUGGGGGGUUUCUUGUCAGGUUGGACGAUGUCAGAGAGUUUUGGCUUUUGACAGCCGCCACAGCCGGCGGUGGAGGAGAAAAUGGUUGUAAAAAACUUGUUCUUCCGGAUGUUAGACAUAAUUGAGAGAGCGUUUUGGUGUGUGGGUUAGGCUUUUGUAGUUGAGUGAGAUGUGGCCUUCAAAGUUGUAUACAUUCAAAUUCGUGUCGUAUAAAAAAAUUUAAAGGUUGUAGACAUUGGCGUACCCUCGACUGCACUAAAACUUUUUCCUUUUUUCUUUUUUCUUUUUUCUUUCUUUUUUUUUUAAAAAAUUAAUUGUAAUAAUCAAAGUCAAUACUCUUUUCUUUCCCUCUCUUCCUUAUCUUAACUUUGUACAUAAAAUUCAAAUAAAUGAAGUGUUUUGGACUAUGGGUAUGGAUAGAUCAUCUUAAGAUCUGAGGUAGGAGAGAUUAGGAGUGUGGGAGUGAGUUAGAGAUGAAGAAAAAAUUAUAAAACACACUACAAUAUGUUCAUUUAAAAAGUUAUAUCUAAUUUUCUUUUUCAUAAUACACAACUUAUUUUGAUGCUAGAGGUUGGGUAUUUCAUUUGGUUUACGAAUAGUUUCCUUUUGAGAUUAGAAGAAGGUAAGUGAGACCUUGUUAAAGUAGCUAGUUGGUAUUGAGGAGGAGGAGAAGAGGGGUUAAAAAAUUGGAUGGUUGGGAACUCUAUUACUAUAAUAUUGUAAGUAAAAUGGACAUUCAGCACUAUAAUUAAGAAACAAUUAAGUAAUCAAAUUUAAUAAAUGCAUAGUUGCAUCCUCUUUUUAACCUUUUUCUAUUCUACCCAUAUAAAAGAAAAAUAUUAUCAUAUAAAAGUUGGCAAAUAUUAAUUAAAAUUAUAAUGAAACCUCUUACCAGUAUCAUUACAAAUAUGAUUUUGACAUUUUUCUAAACAUAUCAUGACACCGACUCUCCACUCAACACAAAAAUUUUCAUUUAAAUUUAGGUUAGAGAUCGAUAUUAUUGUUUUAAUUUUUAUAUAAUAAUAAUAUUAAAUAUUAUUAUUAUAAUAAGUCUUAGAGAGUUAUUUCUCCCCCUUAUCUUUAAUGCUUUAGAUUAUGUUUGCCCUUAAUGUAUUAUUUUGCAUUUAACAUUUCUAUUUUUUCUUCCAAAUUUAAAUUUAUUUAGUUUAGGGUUUUUGAUGCAUAGAGAUGUGCAUGGACAUAGGCAACGUAGGAUCCAGGAUGUCAUUUCCUGCGUCCCACUCUCUUGUUUCACUCUCCAUCUCUAUCGACAUUUUCGUUGGAUCAAGUUCGACAUUUUUUGUCGAAAUUUUCUUCCGUCAAUUGUUUUUAGAAAAGCAAAUAAUUUAAAUUAUUAAUGUUGGUAAAUAUUAAUCAAAUAACUGACUCUAUUGUUAAAUUGUUCAAUAUGGUUAGUUCUACGUGAUAAUUUAAAUUUAAAGACAAAUUACUCACCCUUUCAAAAAAUGUUAAUCAAAUUAUUCACAUGUAUAAUCUAAAUUUAAAUAUUAAACUUAAACAUAUUCAUUUAUUUUGACCAAUAAACAACUGAAGUUGAAAUUUAAAUGAGUUUUCUUUAAAAAAAAAAAAAUUACAAAUUAUUUAUAUUGGAUAAGACAAAAACACUAGAAGACAAAUUAAAUUAAUUUAAUACCUUUGAUUUUUGUGUAUGAAAUAUGUAAAUAUUUGGUCAAAUAUGGACGAAUUCUCGCAUUUAAAUGUAAUAUUUAUAAAAUAAUAAUAAUAACAUAAGAUUAAAGAUUAGAAAAUGUAACAUUAAAUAGUUAUAGUAAUUAAAUAAAUAAAUAGAGGGUAAGGAAGAAUACAUUGGUAACCCAUCCCCAUUUAGGUUAGUGAGAACUUUCUUUUCCACUCCCUCCCCCUUUUCUCGCUUAAGGGGGGACCCAUCCCAUUUUCAUGAAAAAAUUGGACAUCUUAAUUCUUAAAGAUAUGAUAACCUUUUACCAAAAUAGAUUUAUUUUUUGGGACAUUUUCAUAAAUAAUAUAAUAAAAAUAUAUAUUUAUAAAAUAUAGCAAAAUUUUAUAUCUAUCACUAUUAUGCAUUAUAGACUUCACGAUGUAUUAGUAAUAAGGAAUAAAUAAAUGGAUUUUUAAUUUAAAAAUAUAAUAUAUAUUAUUAUUCAUCACUAGACCAUGUCUUGCUUGAUCAUACAGAUGGCAGUGGCAGCAGCAGCAACAACAACAACAACAUGCAUAUAAAGAUAUCAAGGUGGAAUUCUCCAAUUUUGAAUAAAAUAAUAAUAGGUUAUUUUUAGAAGAUGACGAUUUUUUUCGCUCGACCACCCCAUUUUGUUGGAGUGUAGUCGCAUGAGUUUUGGUGAACAAUUGCCUUGGAGGCUAGGAAUUCGCUAAGGUUAUGGUUUUGGAAUUCCCUACCAUUAUCACUCCCAAGAAUUGCAUUUUUUUGUAUGGAAUUGUGUUUCAAUGGUGUGAUAAAAGUUUUGAAAAAUAGAUGAAAUCUCAUAUUUAUCGGUGAUAAGGUAGACCCAGAUCAGACGGGUAUGAUCAUCAAUGAAAGUUACAAACCACCAUUUUUCCGAUGAGGUGGUGACAUUGGAAGUACCCCAAAUGUCACUAUGGAUUAGGGUAAACGAUUGUGUAGGUUUAUAUGGUUGUCAGAAAAAUGAAACUCGGUGUUGUUUUGCCCAGAUACACACAUCACAAGAUAAAGAGGAGACAUCAAGUUUAGAAAAAAGAUGGGAAACAAAUAUUGCAUAUAUAUGUAAAGUUUGGGUGGCCUAACCGAAAAUGCCACAACAUACAAUCAUGCUUAGAAGUGCUAAAGUAGGAAGACAAUGAACUAGUCCUAGACAAACUGCUACUGGAGGUAUCAUUAUCAAGAAUGUAAAGUCCUCCACUAUGAUGCCAAACAAUGUCAAUCAUCAUUUCCAAGCUCAUGUCUUGAAAACAAACAGAUUUAGGUAAGAAGAUAGCUUUACAAUGCAUCUCACUAGUGAUCCUGCUUAUACAUAGCAAAUUAUAAGACAAUUUAGGCUCAUGCAAAACAUUUUGGACAAUAAAACCAUCAAAGGGAGCUAUUUGUCCUUUGCCAGUGAUAGGGGCUAGAGAGCUGUCGACUAUCCAGAUUUUUUCAUAAUCGACACACGGGCUGGGGCAUAAGAGAUAAAAUGCUCUGAAGAAUCUGUCAAGUGAUCUGUAGCUCGUGAGUCUAAAAUCCAGAGAUUUUUCCCAUCAACGCUAAUAAGCCCACAAGACCGAGGCAUACUUGACUGAGCAAUAACACCCAAAGUAGGAGUCUUGGUCUAAUUUGAUUGAGAAGUCUGGCAGGGGUAGUCUCACUAAUGUGGACAUGUCCUAAGGUAUGUUUCUCAUUUAUGGCAAGGGUAGUUAGUGCACCCAUGAAAAUACUUUAGAAACAUGGAUAUCAGAAUCAUCAUUUCAAAAUUAGUAAACAUUUUACUAAAAAGGCUCAAAAUUAUGAAAAUACUUUGUAGAAAACACUCACUAUACUAAAUAACUUAAACUCGAAAUGUUCUUCUUCUUUUUUUCGAGUAGACACUUUGACAACACUUCAGCCCUUGAGCUUCCUCUUCAAUUUUGCUCAACCUCUAUUUAUACUACUCCUUAAACAAGCUUAGUCAUUUUUAAACUCUUCCCAGCACACCAACUCCUACCCUUAGUGAUGCACGUGUAAGCUUUAGGUUAUACUUAAUUAAUCAUGCUUAACUUAAUCUCUACACGUGGUCCAUUAAAUAAACUUAGAAGAUUUUUAGGAAGUGUCAUUACUUCUUCUCGCCUAAUCUUAUUCGUCUUGCAUAGUACCUUAAUCGCAUAGUAACACUCAAACACCUAGAAGUCCUAUCGCGUAACCUUCCCUUAACGCGUACCUAACUUAAGUGCUAACUUCAAUUCUUGUCGUGCAAUCUUGUUGCUUCGCCAAACCUCAACUUUCCUUAUUCUCUUAUCAUUCAAAACGCCCAAUUUUACACGUAACAAAAUUUUAACCUUCUAACUUAGGUACGAGUCAUACAUACAUGAAGUACUCCGAGAGGUAGAUUGGGAGAAUGCCGAAAGAGAUGGUGAAAUGAGAAGUCGACGACGAUGAACACUGAGAAGGAGAAGUCGAGACGAGAGGGAGAGGGUAACACCAAUGACGACCUGGAUGAGAAGCUAAGACGAGAGGAGAAUGAAGAUGGUAAAGUAGAGAGACAUGAAGUGAGGCGACGUGAAAGAGUGAGACUGCUUUAGAAGUGACCUAAAUUUACUUUUAAUAAAUUAAUAAUGUAUAAUAUAAUAUAAAUAUAAAUAUACAUAUAUAUAUAUAUAUAUCAUUAAUUAAGAUUGGAUUGGGUUGUACCAAAAUUUUCAACUCGCAACUCGAGACCCAACCCAACUCGAAAAAAACAAAAUUUCUAAACACAACUAAACCCCAACCCUUAUAAUAUGGAUUGUGUAGUGUAGAUUGUCAGAUUAUUUUUAUACACGUAGGUGCCUAUUUAAGUUCGGUUUGGUCAAACCAAAAACUUUAUAACCAAAAAUUAUUGACUGAACACACUAGAUCACUAUAUUUUCCACGGAAUCAUGUGGAUACUUAAUACAACUAAGCUAAUAAUCGCCACUGAAACUUCUACCUAGUACUAAAAUUUAAAAUUUAAACUCAUGAUAGCCAUACAAAUAGGUCCAAGAGUUGCAUUUUUGGAAGGAUGUGGAUGGGAAGAUUUUGGAGGAUGAACUCAGUCAUUUACUUGGAGAGAUAAUAACGAAACUCUGGCCAGAUAAAAACGUAGAUUUUAAUGGAAAAAAAGGAUAAUUAUGAUUUAAGAAUAUAAAAGAUAAAAGAAAAACAAUUUAGAUACAAAUUUUUAAAAAAUAAAGUUAAAUCACAGAAAAGGAAAAUUUGAAAAUAGAGAAAUUCAAAUCUGUGUAUGUUAAUUGGAAGGGAUGAAAAUGUUGGAAGAUAUUUCAUAAUAGGUAACUUAGAUAGAGAUUUAGGAAGAUGAGUGUUUGGAUGCACCAUUGUCUUGAAGCCAUAAGGGUUAUCAAACGGAGGCUAUAAUAUUUACUUAUUAUACAUUAUAGUAAUGUAGUUAUAUUUUGAGUAAUAUUGACUCCAAAAUGACCUGCAUCUAUAGCUUCAUUCCAUAGACUUUACCUUUCAAGAAAUUAAAUAAAAGAAGUGGAAAUUAGUAAUUAAUAAUAAAUGGGUAUAUAGUAUUUAAAUUAAAUUUAUUUAAGGUACAAUUUAGAUUAGAAGACCUCUAAUCCGUACAAAACCCCAGCAUGUUUGUGCAUUUCAGUCUGUACAAAAAAGGUAUCUCUCAUCUUUUGAAAGGCAUGCCACGUUAGCAAGCUAUCUGAGCCGGCUUGAUGGCACUUUCCAACCGCCCGGUUCACAUUCAUAGUUUUCGCAAUCCGGUCCAAACCGCCGUAUAGACUCUGGCAGAAGCGCAUCAAGUACUUCAUGUCGUACACGUUAUCGCCGAAGAAGAGCCUAACAACGCCGAGGAACUGUUCUAAAUCUUUUGGAAGUUUUUGGUGGGUUAAAAUCUUAACCAAAUACCCAAAAUCAUAGGCACUGUGAAACGUCACCCAACUGACCGAGUCGUUACAGACGAGUCCCGAUGACAUCAUCAACUCUCGGCGAAGCGGGAGGAAUCGAUCCCUUCUUCUCGAUUCCGGUCGAAGUCGAUGCCCUGACGGCGUAGAAGCUCGAUGGAGUUCGGAGCGUGGAGGUCACGCGCCACGUCAAAGUCCUUAAAGUUGAACUCCCAGAUAAAUCGGGUGUCGCCGGUGCCGAGAUCUGGCAAGUUUCCGUCAGAAUCGGAGAGAGUGAUUCCGAUCUGGAUGAGAUGGAGGAGGUCGACGUUGGAUUUGAGGAAUUGGUAGUGAUGGGAGGGGUGAUUUGGAGAUUUGGGUAUGUCUUGUUGGGGGAAAAUGACUCCGGGGAACUCCGUGUCCAUUGAAACGCAAGGGAAUUGGUCGAUGAGAUCGCGGAUCAAACGAAAUUCGGAUUCGAGAUUGGAAGCCCAAACUUCACGAAUUUGGAUGGAUUUGUGGUUGGUGUUGAGAUCGUGGAUAAGCAUGGUGUAAAAGUUAAAUAAAAUAAAAAAAAUAAAAACUAAAAUAAGAUGGGAUUGAAGUAGUGAGGGAUUUGGAUGGAAAAGAAGAAGAAAGGAGAGAUUAAUAUAGAGAAUGGAAAAGGAAAAGGAAUAUAAAAGGAAAGUGGGAGGAUCGAGAGAGUAGUAAAGUUCAGAGUAUUUGAUUCAACGCGUUUUUUUCAUUAGUCCUUGACUCACAAAGUAAGCGAGUCGACUCGGUCUAAUUUGGGUUCUGCCUAAAACGUUUUUUCUUUAAUUGAAAAUAUUUAUAAAUGAAUAGUGACGUGUAUUUCGGAGUAAGUGGAUGGGUAUCAAAUUUAGGUUGUGGGCCCUACUUUUUCUCUUACGUUUUUAUUUUCUUUUUCUUUUUUUUUUUCUUUUUCUUUAUUUGUUUUCUAAUUAAUAAUAAAUUAACCAUUUUCAACCGCUACCAUUUCCGUCUAGGUGAAUCCCAUUACCUUAUUUUAAACAUUAUAUUAAUACUUUUACUUUUACUCUUUUUUUUUAUUAUUGAAAAAAAAAACUACAAAACACAUCUACCUAUCAUUCUAUCCCAUCUAAACGAUAUUGUAUCCAUGUAUUCAAUCUAAAUCAUCUUAUAUAUUGUACCUACUCUAAAUGAUCUUAAACCAUUGUAAUCAAUCUAAAUGAUCUCACUCAAAACGAUCUUGCACCAAAUCUAAAUGAUUUAUUAGUGUGAUAGUUGUCUCUAUCUGUCUAUCUUACACAAUUGAUCAUUUAGAUAAUGUACCAAUAUCGUUUAGAUCUUAUACCGAGAAGAAAAAAAGAAGAUGAGAGAUGAAGGAAGAAAUUCUAAAAGAGAAAAUAAAGAAAUUGCAAUAAAAAAAAAUGGAAAGAGAAGUAAUAAUAUGAAGAGGAGAAUAAUAAAUGACAAAGAAGAAAAAAAGAGUGAAGUGAAGAAUGGUCUCAUAAUAUUCAAAAACAACGAAAGACAAGUACGAGAGUUAUUAACUAUCCUUCCUUCCCGCCCAUUUGAUUUAUUCAAUUUCUUAAAGUUUUCUUCAUUCUCUUCUAUCGUUUUUGUUUUUCUUUUUGUUUUCUAGAUUUUCAGGAGCUUUGCUUCUUCUAUUUCAACUACUAUUUGUCGUGAGAGGUAGAAAGAUGUUGGUCAUAGACAAAUCUCCAAUCGAUACUUGGAAAUUCCUCUCUACUCAAUUGCAGUAUCUUAAUCAAUGAUCAACUUUUUCUUUACUAUGUUUUCUAACCACAAUGUUUUUUAUGGAUAUUAUGUCACACCCCACUCCACAUGCGUCCUAACCUUGUAAUAUGGCACACGAUGUGACUUGAGUAGUCUCGACGCUUUAAGAGAAACAUCAGAACGCUCAACUUAAAUUCUUGAACUUUAAAUUAAUCGCGCCUGGUUCCAAUUUAACCAAUGAAAACUUGAUACUUUAGCAUAAAGGCGAUAGAAAAAAAUACGAUGCGAGAUACCAAUAACAUGGUCUUCUUUUAUUUCUUAGCAAAACACAUUCAAAGUAUACAUGUUACAGUACAGUUUCUUAAAUACAUAAACUAUGAAGCCGAACUUAGAACGUUUUGCUUAGCUUCAACGUGUAGCAACCCGUCUUCCUUGUUCAAACUUAACCUUAACACCCGGUGACUUAGGAGAGGGAAAAUUUAAAACAUAUAAGUCAAAACUUAGUAAGUGUGUGAUAUUUUGAAAACCUUUUUAGCAUACAACAUAUGAAAUCAUUUUCGUAAACAUGACUUUUAUUGCCUCAUUUUAUAAAACAUAAAUCAAACAUUAGUCUUUCAUAUUCCUUUCGCCAAGAACAUGAAUCAUUCCCACGCAUAGACACAACUGUGAUGUCAUUUUCAUCAAUAACAUCUCUUGGAGAAUUUUCUGGUUUAUUUCUCGUUGCUCAGACAUCUAAGAUCAAUAUGCCCCUUUUACAGAUUGGCUAACUUUAAUUCAUCAUGUCGUCCUUUUCUACAUGACUGCCUUUACUUCUUAUGUGCACAUAACAAUUAGCUUCAUUGAUAGGAAUAAGACUAAUGGUUUACAAACAAACAUAGCAAGCAAAAUAAUCGUUAAACAUAAUACAAGCUUUCUUUCGAAACCAUUUCUUUUAUAAACAUUAACCUGCGAGCAUUUAUUACAUAUCAACAAGGAAUUUAGAAGAAAGCUUUAAAAUCUUUAAACAAUUUUGGAAAAUCACUAGCUCACGACACUAAAUUCUUUCUUGAGAAGGCCCUAGCAUCCCAAAAAAAACCUUCUUCUCACCUAGUGAUUCUUCAGCAAGGACAUCACUUAAUACAUUUCCUUAUCAAAAUUAUCUCAAAGUAACCUUCUUUUCUUCUACUCCUUUCUCUGGUAUGUACUAACCCUAAUUUGGAUUACUCAUCCUUAAAUUCUUAUAAACUCACUAGUUUCUACUUAAAGUGCUACACAUGUAAGCCUGUUAACUUUUCAAACCAUCGUUAGCUUAUAACUCUUACACUUAGCCCAUUAAGUAUAGUUAGAAAUUUUCCUAGACUUUUCUAACUCUCAAUAUGACCUGGUUUCAGCUUGCGUUGAACCUCAAAUCACCCGAUUAAUAUAAUCUUGUAUGUCUUUUCCUCACCUUGUGUCGCCUUAACUCAACGUCAAGCAUCAAAACACCUAAUUUCUCAGAAACUCUUCUUCAAACUUCUUUACUUAACUUCUUAAUUUUUCCGUAUAUGACCCUUCUAUUUAAAUACGGUUGACCCUUUUAUUCAAAUAUUGGCCUGACACAUGUUGAAUGACAUAACAUAUUAUUUUUGCUUAAUUGAAUGUUAUUGGUGUAGAAUUAUAAACAAGAGAAAGAUCCGGUGGGGAUGGAAGAUUAGGAAGCCUACAAUACCUAAAACACAUAACAGAAAAUUGAAUAAAAGUCAUAAGAAAUUGAAGAAGAUGGAAAAUGUGGACGAAGAAAAUGAUUUCAGGUCCGAUCAAAUGCCAAGUUGUCUAAUGAACUAACUAGUCAUUUAACCAUCUAGUCACAUUUUGUUAGUUUAAAAUUAAGUUAAGGAUUACUUUGAAUCAAAACUAAAAUGUGUCUUAACACCAAACUUGAAGAAGUAAAAGUGCAUUUUGUCCUUGAAAGAAAAUUAUACCAAAAGAUUUACCUUGAAAAUAGGAAAUUUACAUCGUAUUAUGAAAAGAAAAAAAAUCCAUAACUUCCAUUUGUAGUCAACUUCGAGUUGAGGAAUUUAGGAAAGGUGAAAGGACUAAAUAUGAUUAUGGAAUUGAAAAGAACUACAUCAAAUCAUUUGAAUUGAUUUUGUACUCCCUUUAGUUGAGGUAUUAACAAUAUUGAAUUGAAUAACCUUUGUUUUGCAGCAAAUUUGGGGAAUAAAUGGUGACUGAAAACUCCUCAGAGUUCUGAAUUCGUGAAUGUCAUCAACAAUAAAGCUCCUCAACCUUGACCGACUACAGUGGAAGGGAAGCCAUAUAAGUAGUUUCUUACCUUCCAUUUUUCAAUUAUUUUUAUUCGUUUUUUGCAUGUAAUUUCCUUUUUCCCGAAUAACCACUCUUCGUGUGGUUUUCUUUUUCUUUCUCUUAUCUCCAUCAUCUUCCCCAAAUAACAUCGUCUUCACCAUCUUCCUCCUCGCCUCUCAUCGUCUUCCUCUUCGCUAGAUUUGGGUUUUCCUCUUUCUCUUCGUGUGGAUCUCAGUUUUCAUCAAAUCUGUGGAUUUUCGCCUUCGUCGUGGGUCUUUUUGUCUUCCUCUUUGCCGUGAAUUUCAAUCCUCCUCUUCAUCGUGAGUUUUCGUCUUCCUCCUUGUCGACUCUGUUCUUUAGAACUUAAUCUUCAUCUUGAUCUCUAUAAGAUUACUAAAAGACUCUUCUAUCUAGGUUUGAUAAAGUGAGUUGUGUAAUUUUUAAUUGAAUUAGAUGUAAAUAAAAUAACAUGAAUAAAAAAAAAAAUUUCGAAGAAAACCAGAAAACAAGAAAUAGUUAUCAAACACAUUUCCUAUUUCUAUUUUUUCUUUCAAAAAACAAGAAAAAAAAAAGUAAACAGUUAUCAAACACAUGAAUGUUUAUUGUUCUAGAAAAAGAAGAAACAGAGAAUAGAGAACAGGUAACAAGAAACGUUACCAAACGGGUCUUUAAUGUCUAUCUAAAUUUGUCCUAGUUUGUCAAUAAAAUAAGAUAGAAUUAUGUUAUAUUUGUAGAUUUUUUUAAUAAUUUUAUAAUUUGAAAGAGUUUGUAUGUUUAUAUUUCAUUUACUCAAACGAGAUUUUGUUGCUUCCUUUUUUAGUUUUGUUUUUAAUUUUAUGAUUAAUGGAAAUAUAAAUUUUAUGGGAACAUAUUAAACCUGCUGACGACUAAAAUUUAAUAACAAAUCUUAUCAAUGCAUCACUCACAAGUGGUGAAAGUUCUAUUUAUAUAAGAAAACACACUUAAGUAGUCCUAUACUACUUUUCCAAUCAAUAUUUGUGAUAUGUGAUUCUUGGAAUAAAUUCCCAUUCUUCUCUAAAAUAUAUUUCUAUCCAUUUUCAAAAUUGUGCAAAAGAAAAUAGAAUCUCUAGUUGGAGGUUGCAUCUUAUCAUUGUUUUAGUAUAUAGUUCUUUUUUUGACACUCAAAUCCAGUGAUUUGAUUUUAAAAAAAAACAAUUAUAGACUAUGAUAUAUGUGAAGAAUGAUUUAAAAUAUUCCACAAACUACUUUGAAUAUGAGAUAUUUUUUUAAAAAAAACUUAUUUUCCAUCUAUUUUGUUUAGCUUUAGGAUGCAUUUAUUUAAUUUAAAACGUGAUAGAGUUGUUUAGGUCCUUUUGGGCAAAUAGUUGUCAAACUAAUAAGGUAGAUUUUGAUGUGGAUCUAAAGUGAUAUGAUUAUUUGAAUGGGGUCCUCUCUUAUUAAUAUUGGUCUCAUGAGUAAUGGAUAUUAAGGUACGUAGUAGUGUGUGAAUAUGUCCAUCUAAUAUGGAUCUCACCCAUUCCAAUUUUGUAGGCUGUGGAUGAUUCAACGUUCAACUUUUCUUUACCAAAUAUAAAAAAUAAUCCCCACUUCAAGUUAUCUUUUCAUUUAUUGUUAGACAUGAUAAUAACCACGACAGUAAAUACUAUUUUAAAAAAACUCUUUAGUUUUUACUGUUUGACAUUCAUCGUUUUCAAAUUAUUUGCUACAGUCUUUUCAAACGAUGAAUGUAAAACCUACCUAACUCUUUAGUGAUACUCUUUAGUUUGAUAGUACGUGUUUAUGUUGACAUUCAAAUUAUUUGCUAUAGGAUUUUGAUAGUACGUGUUUAUGUUGACAUUCAAAUGAUUUGACAUUACUUUUUAGUUUAUGUUUAUUAGUUGCCUUUUUAAAAACUAUUAUUCAUCUUCAUUGUUUUGGUGAAUCAAGUUAUUAAUUAAUUUAGGAGUAUCACUCACAUGUAAAACCUACCUAACUCUAACUUUUAGAUUGAGUUUUUUUUUUUAAGAAAAAAAGUCUUCUACUUUCUUAACCAUUUAAAUAACUAUAUUAUAAUAACAUUCUUCCUUAUUAAUAUAUUUUUCACAUGCACUCUCAAAAUUUUAAUUUAUUAAAUAUUUUAUGACUUUUAUCAAAUAAGAACAUUGUUGAAUUGGUACAUUCCUUGUAUUAUAAAGGUAGAUUUUUAAAAAUAUCAAAAUAAAUUAAAAUACAAAAUUUUGGAUUCUAUCACUUUAGUAUCAAUAACUAUUAGUAAUAGAAUUUGUUAUAGGUUGUAAAUAUUUUAUAAAAUCUACCAUUUUUUUAAAUUCUUCUAUUUUAAAUGUAAAAUGAGAGAUUUGAUUCCUCCUUUCAUUUUUCAAUUUACAAAUUUUGUAAGAAAAUAUAGAUAAAAUAAAAUUAGUUGUAUAUAUUAAUUCAAUAUUAAUUUAUUUAACACUUUAACUAGUUUUCUCGAACAUCACAGAAUAUAGAAAUAUAAAAAACAGAAAACUUUUAGGAUAAUACAUAAUUGAAACUAUUUACUAAGUAUAACUAAAAAUUUACAAUGGCUAUAGAAAAAUUGAUAGAAUUUGCUAUGUUUUGUAAAUAGUUUCAAUAUUUUAUAUAUUUGAAAAUGCUCCAUAAAAAAUAUCAUAACAAUUGAUUUUUUUUAAAAAUAAAAACGAUUAGUAUUUUCAAAAAGAGUUUUAAAAAAUAAUAAUAAUAAUACAAACCAUUUACCCUUCAUAGAAAAAGAAAAACCACGGUAAAAACAAAGAGUUGAGUUGAGUUAAUAAUAAUCAUAGGAAGUUAUUAAGGAAGUAACGUUGAUGCCAAUAACCAAGUAGUAAACCUAUUCAAUUAUUGGUGAAUCAAACAUGAAAUUAUUCUUUUUUAUCCACUCAACGUAACUCUCCUAAAUUACACUUCAUUUUUGCGCUAAAUAUUUUUUUUUAUCCAUGUGGCUAUUUUUGACGAUUUUGCUAUUUUUUAAUUUAUUAAAAGUGAUGUUAAAGUUUCAAAAGUUUCAAUCAUAAUUCUAAAUUUUGAAAGAAUAUUAUUAUGCUUAUUUCUAUGUAACAUCUUGUAAAAACCUUUGGUAAAUAUAUUCUGGGUGUGACGUAAUUUCUUUUUUUUUUUUUUCUUUUUGAGGAAAAGUAGGGAUUAAAUUUUAUUUCCAUUUAGUAGGCAACAUUUGAUUGAAAUGGUUUUAAAAAUGGUGUUAGGAAUCACUCUACACAAACAAAAAGCUAAUUUUGGGAAUGCUUUUAUUUUAAUGCCAUUAUGUGGUCAUUUUUAAAGCAAAGUUUAAUAUUUUAAUAUUUGGUCUUCUUUCCUUUCCUCUCCACAUCCAUCACUUUUCUUCUCUAUUCUUCUUCUGUGGUUGAAGCCAUUGCUCUCUCUACUUUCUUCCUCCACAAAUCUUCUCUUUAUGCCCUCUCUUUGUUUAGUCUUUACUUAACCCACAACCAAUUUUGAAAAAUGGAACUAUUUGAAAGUGACUAAAGCUUUACAGAAUUUGACCCCUAAAUCAUUGCCUUCAGUUUUAUGAAACACAAAUAAUACAAUGACAUGAUAUAUAUUUCUCUCAAAUAAAACAAUCCAUAAGUAUACAGAAUGGCUUUUCAUGGAUUAUUACUUUCAAAAAGAAGCAAAUAUACUAUGAAUUAUGGAAGAUAAUGAGCUAUAUAUAUAUAUAUAUCGAGCUAGAAUAAGCCAAACAAAAGAAGAAACAAGAAAAGAAAGCACAAGAUCGAGUAAAAAGGUAAGAACAUUUGACGACUUGUUGAUGAACCUCUUCUCAUUUAGCAACAUCGGGUGACAUAUCGACAAAAUUUCGUCGAGAUACUUGAUUGGUCAAAUUAAAUAUAUCAAGAAGCGUGGUGUUGUUACAUUUAGGACAUUUAAGAUCAAACUUAGAUGACAUGAUGUACAUGAGGCAUUGAGUGCACCCUAAUAACACCAUGUCCACUCUUGAGGAAUCUUCUGUUGUUGAACUAGAUAUUGAUAAGGAUAGAUCUUGUGAUAUCGAUUCUGAUUUUGAAUGGCUGAAGCUUCGACCCAUAGUUUAGAGGUGUUGAAUGAAAUGAAGCAGAGAGGAAAGAUGAAAUGAAAUGAAGAAGGAAGAGGAAGGAAAUCAAAUGCUAUAUAUUUAUGAUGUGGUAAGAUAUUAUAUAUUAACAAAAGUGGGAAGAGAAAAGUCGGGGAGAGGUGGAGUAAACAAUUAGGAGGGUCUAAACGAUCAUUUAAUAUAAAGUUUGAAGUUUGACAAUUAGGUUUCGGGGGUAGGAAUAUCCAACUUGGUUUUGAAAAUCAUGUCAUUAACUCAUCUGAUAUGGAUACAUUUGACUUCUAAUCUCUAAGUUUAUGGCAUAUUGACUAGUCAAAUUCAUAAGUUUGUGACAAUGACUUGCUAACCCAAAUGUAUCCAACUUCAGUCACCUACCACCAAUCAUAAGAAGAAUAAAAUCCAACUCUUAAUUGCUUUAUCUGGUCUGUACUAUAUAUCCCAUCAACUUUCUCAAACUAAUCUUCAUCUCAAUAUUUACUAACUUGCUAACAUUUCUAAAUCUACUCCACACAAAAUUAAAAUUUUAAAGUUUUAUUAUGGGACUUUAAAUUAAAAAUUACAUACCAUACAUGAAUUACAUUUAAACAUUUUAGAAUUAUCAUCAACUUAUUAUUGGCUAAAUUAUAAAAAGGUCCAUAACCGAUAACGUGGUUUGGAUAAAAAAUAGGAAAAUUGCAAUUGAUAACCAUUUUAACAAUAAUAAUUAAGGAUAUAACAAAAUUUUAAAAAAUUGUAAAUAUAGCAAAACUAUCACUGAUAGACUUGUAUCGCUGAUAGAUUUCAUAUGGUUUAUCAGUGAUGGACUAAUAUUUACAACAUAGUCUAUCAGUGAUAGACUUAUAUUAUGGAUAAAAUUUGAUAAAUUUUGCUAUAUCUGCAAAUUUUUUUUAAAUUUUGUUAUAUACUCAAUUAUUUUGAUUCUAAUUGCUAAAUUUACAAUUAUCCCUAAAAAAUACCCCUCAACUUUAAUAUAUUUAAAAAAUGUCAUUAAACUUUCAAAAUGGGUUCAAAAAUGUCUUUUAUGGUUAGUUUUGGAUGGAAACUAUUGAAAAUUUUCUUAAGUAUUAUUGAGCUUAAAAAAGUUUUUUUUUUUUUAAAAAUAUGAUAUAAAUUAUAUAAAAACUAAAAUUUUAAGUUAAAACAAAAUUUUUUAUUUUCUUUUAUAUUUCUAUUGAUAUUUUUACAUAUGUAUGGAUUCAAUAUCGACAAAGGAAUAAAAAUAAAUAGACACUAUUUAUAAAUACAAUAUAAGUAAUAGAAAUGUUUACUUAUUGGAAACUAAUUAAAUAUUUAAAUUUAUUUUUUAAAUUUUAUUUAUAAUUUUUUCUAGAAGUGUCCAUACAAAGAAUUUUAAUCCAUCCUAUCGAUAUAUUAAACAUUGGUUAAAACAUAAAAUUCUACCAAUUCUCGUAAAGUUCUAAAAUAAAAUUUUCUUCUUUAACACAUAUUAAACCAAUAAUUAGUUAAAUAAAAAAGAAAUUUGACACUAAUAUAUCUAUUAGACUAUCACUGUUUGUUAAUAGUCAAAUACAUUUUUUACCGUAUAUGUUAAUUACAAAAAAAAAAAAAAAAAACUUUUGAGAUCGACUGUGUUAGGUGAUCAAUCAUGAUGUGCUAAUAGUAAAAUAAACUUAAAACAUAUAGUUUUAACUUGAAAUUUUGGUUGAUGAGAAAAUUAGUUUAAAAUCUGAAUCAAUAGAAGUAUUUUUUAAAACUUUUUUUUAGGUUCAAGGACGUUUAUGAAACUUUUUAAUAGUUCAACGGUAUUUAUCAAACAAAAUGUUAACGAUUUCUAUCUAGAACUAAUUAUAAGUGUAAAUUUAAAACCCUUUUAAAAAGUUUAAAGGACAUUUUUGAAACGUUUGAAAGUUUAUUGGUUCUUUUUACACAAAAGCUAUUUUUUGCAAUUAGAUACAAAAUUGGUAGAAGAUGUGUGAGAGAAAUUUAAAUUAAUAUUGUUCAUUUUUUCAAAAAAAAAUUAGAGAAAUAUGGUACUUUGCAAAAUAUGUACAGAAAAGUGGUACUUUUCCUAUGUGUAUAUCUCUCUUAUAAUUAUUCACUUCUAAGUCGGUUGCCACAUCUUGAAACUCUUUACCCCUUCUAUGAAGCCAACAAACAUACAUUUAAUAGCUAUUGCCUUUAAUUUCCCUUGAUUUUGAUGGACAUACCCUACACAUCCAAACACCUUGAGAUCAUUUAGAUUUGAAGAGUGUUUGGGUCAUUUCUCCUCAUGUGUUAAGAACCCUAAAGAGGUAUGAAGGCUUUUGUUCAGUGUGUACAUAGCAUAGAUAGCAACUUCAGCCCAAAACUUUUCUUCUAGGACCACAUUUACUCUUUCCAUGAUUGUUCUGUUGAGUCUUUCUUACACCCCAUUUUGUUGAGGUGUGUAUCUCACUAUUUUAUGUCUUGUGAUGCCAUUUUUCCUACAGAAAAUAUUGAAUACCUCUCCACAAAACUCCAAAACAUUGUCAGUUCUUAGGUACUUAAUUUCAUUAUUAGUUUGUUUUUCUAUCAAUAAUUUCCAUUCUUUAAUUUUUUCAAAAACUUGAUCUUUUGUUUUUAGAAAAUAAAUCCAGAUUUUUCUCGAAAAGUCAUUAGUAAAGGAUAAGAUGUACCUUGAGCCACUUAAGCUUGGACUUGAGGCUGGACCCCAUAGAUCGAAGUGGAUGUAGUCUAGGAUUCCUUUAGUUAUGUGUUGUGUUUUGGUGAAGCUUUGUUUGCUUGCUUUGCCUAGUACAUAAUGUUCAUAGAAAGACAACUUACUAAUUAUUUCUUGAGAUAGAAUGCCUUGUUUGGAUAUAGCCUCUAGCCCCUUUUUGGCUAAUGUGAGAUAGUUUUUUAUGCCAAAGGUCACUCUUAGUUACAUUUACAGCAAAACCAACAACAUUAGCUUCUUUUAACAUUUCAACUCCUUUAAUUAUAAAAAGAUCGUUCACCUUUUCUCCAACUAAUACUACUCUAGAGUCCAUAAAAACUUGAAAAACUUCUCCUUUUCCCUUGAAUUCACACCCUAAAGAGUCUAACAUUUCUAGGAAAAAUUAUUUCUUUAAGAAAAAACAAUCUUGGAUUAAAUGCCCCUUCUUAUUACAAUACUUACAUUUCUUUUUCUAUUUUGCUUUCUUUUCCUCAUUUGAAAAAGAUUUGUUGUUGUUUUUCCACUGAUUAGUUUGAGAUUUGCCUUUGACAAAUAAAUUUUCUCCAUUGUGAUGCUCUUUUUAUGAUGACUAAAUUUUCAAUUCUCUAGUUCUGAUGGCUGAUAUUAUAUCAUCUGUUUUGACUGAGUCUCUGUCAUAUUUAAGUGCAUUUUUUACCUCUUUGUAAGCUUCGGGUAGAGAAUUUAGGAAAACAUAGACCUCAUUUUCAUCACUGAGUUUUUCUUCGAGACUUUUAAAAUCUGAAACUAUUUUUUUGAACUCAUUUAAAUUGUCUGUCAAGGUUUUUGAAGAGUCCAUCUUGUAUGUGAAGAAUUUCUCCCUUAGGUACAUUUUAUUAGGGAGAUCUUUAGUGGCAUGUAAACUUUCUAAUUUCUUCCAAAUUUUAUAUAUUGUCUCUUCUUCUAGUAAUGCGUUAUAACAAUGUCACUGAAAUUUAGAAUUAGUGUACCAUAGACAUUUAACUCAAUUUCUUCUCUUUGUGAUGUUAUGAGUGUUGUUCGAAGUUAUGAAGGAUCUAAAAGGGCUUUAUGAGUCUUUUGCUAACCUAGCAAAACCUUGACUUUUGCCUUCCAUAAGGCAAAAUCUCUCUUUCCAUAGGGCAAAAUCUCUCUUUCCAUCGAAUUUCUCGAUUUCUACUCUUGUCGCUGUCAUUUUUUCAGGUUUGCUUUGUUUUUAAUCCUCUAAGAGAUUCAAUUUUUUAAAAGUCGACAUUCGCUCUAAUACCAAUUGUUGGGCUUUAUCUCAAGACACAGCUUGCAACACAAAGCUUGGAGGAGAAGCAGCCACUUCUCUUCUUUGAUGGCAACUGUACACAUGGACGAGAUAAGAUCUCUCUUAUCUUUUGUUGCUGCACUUUACGUAAGAAAAAAAAACAAAAGAGAGAGGAAAAAUGAAAAGGAAAUUAUUUAACCUUUUCUUUCUCUUCUUCUUCUUAGUUCUCUGUCUUGCAAACCGUAAGUUUCUUUACUGUACUUUAUGGUCUUUAAUUGAGUAGAUUACACACACCACAGAUGAAGAUGAAGGGAGAAAUAGAAAGGAGGCAACAAGAUUUACGUGGUUCGGCCAAAGAAUGCCUACAUCCAUGGGAAGGAUCUCUUCCCUUGCUGUUUUAUAAGAUGAGUACAAUCAUUUUUCUUCUUUUCUUUUCUUUUCUGUAUAUGUAAGGAAUAUGUAUGUAAAAACUAGCUAAUAUUUUGAAUACACCUUUAUAUUUAUAUUUAUAGGUGUUUACAAAGAAGAGAAAAAAAAAGUAAAAUAACAGAAAAUAAAACUAAUUUGUUGGAAUUCAAGUUCCAAUGGUCCAAGGAGAUUAUAUGUUCAAGUUAUUGCAACGUUGUUCCCUCUCCAACUAGUAAUUUUAAUGUAUUUUUUAUAUCAAUCACACAAUUGAAGGGAUUAUGCUAAUGAUAUAAUAUAAAUUCAGCUUCACCUAUAUAUUAACUUAAGCUUAUCAAUGUCAAAUCGAGCUAAGAAACGACGCCAAACUGAUAAAUAAUGCUCACCACUGAAAGAAGGAGGAAAGGGUGAGAUAAACUGUAGGAGAGGCACAAUGAAAAUAGUAACAAAAUAAUCAAGAAUAACUAUAAUUCUAUUAGUUUUCAUUGCUGUUGGCAACUACGUUAACAGAUACUUUUUAAGGAACAUGGAAAAAGAAAAAGAAGUACAAAUAAAGGGGACUUUGAGAGAUCUCAAAUAUCAACAUAACAGCCCUGAACGAACUGAAACUUCAUGGCGGGUCCGAAAGCAAUUCCAUUCUUUGGAUCACCAAACUUUAUAUACGCCGGGCAGUUCGCGUUUAGCCGAUAUCUGCCCGAAAUCCAGCUCCCGACUUUCCAUCUAACCUGUUGUGCAAUACGACGAUAAAGUCUACAAUAAAUAUUAAAUUACAAAGAAGAGAUGCAACUUCUUUCUUUUCUUCGAAUUUCUCUUCUUAUGUUAACUUGACGAAAGUUCAACUUUAUGUCAUCUGACCAGGUUAGAAAGAUUUAAAUCCUCCCAUAAGUAUUUGGAACGCCAAUUUUAAUAAUUUGAAUUGACUCAAAAAAUACAACAAUAGGAUACGAAGGAUUCAAACCUUCCAUUACCAGGAUUAAAAGCCUAAGUGCUUUAUGCUUUAAAAUAACAAAAUAUGUGUAUAGAAUUAAAAUUUAAAAUGAGAAGUUAAGCUAUGAAAAAGGUAUGUAAAGAAAGAUAAAGAACUUGUGAGUCAGAGAGUUGAAAAUAAACAAACCUGUCCAUUGACCUUAAUAUUGAACAGCAUGGCUCCAACAUUGUUAUCUUCAUUCAAAGCUUCAGCAAAUUCCGGUGCCACCGGCACAGCUUCGCCAUACAAAAACGGCGACCAAACAGUAACAUCAUUGUGGCCCUGGUAAGUAGGCGGCAAGAGCGUCGGGAGAGUGACUUGCUGGCCGCGGUACGCGGCGUAGACAUCCAUGACCUGAUAGUAAACACCAAUGCGGUUGUUGGGGUUGUGGAGGAGAUGGUGAUUUGCAUGGUUGUCGAGAUUGCGGCUGGUGGCACUGACGAGACAUUAAGGCCAAGAAGGGUGACGUCUUGGAGGAUGAGACGGGGCUUCGACGGUCGGAGGAUGGCCCAGAUGAGGAAGAUGACUAGGCCAAUUAGAAGCACCACGGUGAAGAUGACACAGGCUAUUCGCCGGUAGAGACGGCGGCGCUCGCAGUCGUGAUGGUGGUGGUGGUCGCAAUCCUUUACCGUCAUUGUUGCUAGAGAUAGAAGAGAAAGAGAGAGAGGGUUGAAUGGAUGGAGAUGUGUGUAAAGUCAAGAGUUUGAAAAACAUAUAUUUCUUUUGGGUCUAUAGUUUUUUUCCUUCUUUGGUUUCACAAACAAGCUUAGAUAGAUUUAUACAAGGUGAGAAUGGAAGUACAAGAUUCAAUUAUUGGAUGAUUAUAUUUUGGAAAUCACGUAAUGUAUAAUUAUUAUAUUAAAGUGAUCACAUUUUCAAAAAUGAAAAUCACUCUUAAUUUCCGUCCUUCAAUCUCCUAAAAAGUGAAAAGAAAAAACUCUUCAGUAUAUAUAUAUAUAUAUAUAGUUGGUUUAUUAUUGACAAAAUAAUCAUAUGAUAUAUUAUUACACGUGUAUAUCAAUAUAGUAUAUGCAUGCAUGUAUGCAUAUAUAAUCUACAGUAAUUGACCUUAUACCUGCAACAUACAAAAUCCAAAACAUAUAUACGGACUUCCAAUUCUAAAUCAAUAUCCCUAAUAGUUUUUCCCAUUUGAGAUGUUUUAGGUCGGGGAGUAUACCAAUCUCUAACCACUUUGGUUGAGUUUAAAAAAUGUGUUUUAUGCCAAAAAUUGAUCCUAUCUAAAUAUAUUAGAGAUUGUUUGGACUCCUAGCUUUAAGUAAAUAGAGUGAAGAUAUGACAAUCAACUUCAAUAUAUAUGUUUGAGCCUUCAUUGGUGUUUCUACCUCCUAUUAUAACCUAAAAUUAAUUACAACUAUGUCAAGUCUUUUUUAUACAACUUUUCAAAUUCCUACUCAUCCUACUGAUCUCUCCAUACAUAAUACACUUUUUACUAUAUUUUUACUUAGACUAAUCAAUAAAAUGUCCCAAGUGCGUGGCGCCUCAUAACAUAUAUACACUUAAAGUUGGUACAAUUUAGUAAUUGCCCAAUAGGAACAAUAUAUAGUAUCCUUGGUACACAUUUCCUUCAUACCUCCAAUAGAGUGAAGAAAUUGAAUCUCAAUUGAUGAGACACUGAAUUUGAAUAGAACAAAUUAAAUUGGGAUAACUUGAAAAUGGAGUCAUUGAUUUUGAAAUCAUGGACAAUAACAAUGAUAAGUGUUAGGAAGCUUAAAGAGCAAUAUAUGUGUGUAUUUGAGAAGGGUGGUUAUGAAUGAGUAGGUGAAUAUUGUUGGUUGAGAGAAAGAAAAGAGUUGGUUCAUUUCCUUGCUUUGAAGGGAAAAAAAGGAAAUCUCUUUUGUCCAAAAAUGAGUGAUGAAAUCAUGUCGGUUGCAAAAGAGGAAUUAUAUUAAUAUAAUAACAUUAAUCUCCAACCUCCCUUUUCCUUUCUAACUUCUAAAGUUCUCAUAUGACUUCACUUACAAACCUAACCAUUCAUAUGGAUUCCCAUCUUUCCUUUUCCACUUUUAUUUGUCUAUUAAAUACAAUUAAUCUUUUAGAGUAUUUAGGACUAAGAGUUGCUUAUCAUAAUAGUAAGUUAUUAGAGUUUAGUUUAUAUAGUUUGUAUUUCACACGUAUAUUAUUUUAGUUUGAAUUAUUAAUUAUUUUUAUUUGAUGAUAGCAAAUAGUAAACACUACACCAAAGAGUAAAAAAAAUAGCCAACGUAAAAUAACAAAAACGAUAACAAAUAUAGUAAAUAUAAUAAUAAAAUAAUGUUGACUAUAGCUAAUUGGAAAAUGUAUAAAAUAGAACAUACUAUAACAAUAAGUGGUUAUAUUUAUAUGGCCUACGAAGAAAUGACCCAAUUUAGAACGAUGUCAAAGGUCUCGAAAUUUCACGUCUAAUUACUGGGUGGCCUCAUUUUGAGUGAUAUUCAAGUUUUUUGCCCAUAAAAGCUGAAAAAAAUAUGCCCGAGAGUCAGUUUUUAUUUUUAUCCCAAAAUGUUGAAAAAAUGGUCAAUGUUAUAGCCUACGAAGAAAUGACCCAAUUUAGAACGAUGUCAAAGCUAACUACUGGGUGAUCUCAUUUUGAGUGAUAUUCAAGUUUUUUGCCCAUAAAGGCCGAAAAAAAUAUGCCCAUAGCCUACGAAGAAAGGACCCAAUUUAGAACAAUGUCAAAUGUCUCAAAAAUUCAUGUCUAACCAUUGGGUGGCCUCAUUUCGAGUGAUAUGCAAGUUUUUUUGCCAAUAAAGGUCGAAAAAAAUAUACCCAAGAGUCCGUUUUUAUUUUCGCCCUAAAACGUUGAAAAAUGGGGCAGUGCUAUAGCUUACAAAGAAAUGACAAAAUUUAGAACGAUGUCAAAGGUUUUCAAAAUUCACGUCUAACUACUGGAUGACCUCGUUUCGAGUGACAUUAGAGCUCUUUGCCCACAAAAACAAAAAAAAAUAUGUAUGAGGGUCCGUUAUUAUUUUCUUCCCAAAACGUUGAAAAAAGGGUCAAUGUUAUGACCUACGAAGAAAAGACCAAUUUAGAACGAAAUCGAAGGUCUCAAAAAUUCACAUCUAACUACUGGGUAGCCUCGUUUCGAGUGACAUUAGAGCUUUUUGUCCACAAAAGCGGAAACAAAUAUGCUCGAGGGUCAGUUAUUAUUUUCGUCUCAAAACAUUGAAAAAUGGCCAAUGCUAUGGCCUACGAAGAGAUUACCCAAUUUAGAACGACGUGGAAGGUCUUGAAAAUUCACAGCUAACUACUGGGUGGCCCCAUUUCGAGUGAUAUUUGAGCUUUUUGCCCAUAAAGAUUGAAAAAAAUAUGUUCGAGAGUCAGUUACUAUUUUCUUCCCAAAACGUUGAAAAAAAGGCCAAUGUUAUGGCUUACGAAGAAAUGACCCAAUUUAGAAUGACGUCGAAGGUCUCAAACAUUCACAUCUAACUAUUGGAUGGCCUCGUUCCGAGUGACAUUAGAGCUUUUUGUCCACAAAAACCGAAACAAAUAUGCCCGAAGGUCACUUAUUAUUUUCGUCCCAAAACAUUGAAAAAUGACCAAUGCUAUGACCUACGAAGAAAUGACCCAAUUUAGAACGACAUGGAAGGUUUUGAAAAUUCAGAGCUAACUACUGGGUGGCCUUGUUUCGAGUGACAUUAGAGCUUUUUGCCCCAAAAAGCUCAAAAAAAUAUGCCCGAUGGUCAGUUAUUAUUUUCGUCCCAAAACGUUGAAAAAUGGGCCAAUGCUACGGCCUACGAAGAAAUGACCCAAUUUAGAACGAUGUCAAAGGUCUCGAAAAUUCACAUCUAACUACUGAGUGGACUCGUUUCGAGUGACAUUAGAGUUUUUUGCCCACAAAAGCCGAAAAAAUAUGUCUGAGAGUCAGUUUUUAUUUUCGUCCCAAAACAUUGAAAAAAUAGCCAAUGUUAUGGCCUACGAAGAAAUGACCCAAUUUAGAACGAGAAAGUGUAAACUCGAUUUUAAGAGAGGAUAGAAACUUGCCGGAUUCAAGUUUCCUGGAUGGAAUUAGAGAGUUUUGCAAAAGUGGUUUCAUUAUGCAAGUUUGUCAAUGAAAAUAACUUUAACCUCUUGUGCUGAAAGUAUAUUAUGCAAGCAACAUGAAGAACCAAGAAGUUUCUUGGUAAGGAGUUCUUUUAUUAUUUUUAUUUAGAUAUAUCAUAUCGAUAGAAGAAAGAAAGGAAGUGAUAGAUGUUUGUCUCUGUCUAUUAGUGAUAGAAGUAUGUCUCUGUCUAUCAAUGAUAGAAGUUUGUCCCUAUCUAUCAAUGAUAGAAGUCUAUCAUUGUCUAUCAGUAAUAUACUGUGAUAGAAUUAUGAAUGUUUAUUUGUAAAUGUUGAUUUUUUUGUCUAUUUUCAUCUUGUAGGUUCAUCCUAUCAACAAUAAUGUUGAAUACAAUGUAAUGGCCAAUGAGAAACAAUUUAUAGUGAAGUUGAACUUGGGGUCUUGUAGCUGUCGAGUAUGGGAUUUUCAUGAGAUUCAUUGUUCUCAUUCUCUUGUUGUUCUUCGGAUGCUUAACCUAGAUACUUAUUCUUAUGUGUUUGAUUAUUAUCAUUUACAAACAUUAUUGUCAACAUAUUUAGGUUGUGUGUGACCAGUUGGAGUUUCAUUCAAAUUGGAGGGUUGUAAAUAACGACGUUAGACCUUUACCUCCUAUUUUUAAUUGUCCUGCUGGAAGACCUAAAAGAAAUUAAGAAUCCCAUUAAUCAGUGAGGUUAAUUGUAGCUCAACAUGAUGUAGUAAUUGCCAUGGCAAGGGUCAUAAUUCUAGGACUUGGAAACUUGGUCAAAUUAAUCAAUGAUGUAAUCAUUAUAGUGGCAUUUUUAUGUUGUAUUGGCAAAUGGAUUUAUAUUGGAAUUUAUGAGUGUUAUUUUUUCAAAUUCUUUAUAUCAAUAAAAAUUGCCUAUGUCUUUGUUUGUAUUCAUCUUUGAAUUGAAACAUGUGGUGUGUAAACUCAUUGGAACUCUCUAUAUAUUUUUUCGAGUUAAAUCCUAUAAAAUUAAAUCGAUACAACAUUGGUACCAGUUUCUUUCAUUGAUAAAAAUUUAUAUUUUUUUUUAUCAGUGUCUAUCACUAAUAGAAAAUGAUGAUAGAUCAGCUUCUAUUUAUCAAUUCUUCUAUUUUUAAUUAAGAAGGGGGCUAAUACAGUAAAAAAUUCUUUUUAAUGGCAGCUUCUAAUCCUCUCACUGACCUCUCUUUUCAAGCUAUGUCAACCUCCGUCUUUCUUUUUAGGUCAAGAAAAGUCAACCUCCGUCUCUCUUUUCAAGUCAAGUCAAUAUAUAGAAACUUUGAUACAAAUAGAUAUUAGUUUGUAUAAUUGAUAAAAUUGAUAGAAAGAUAUCAAUUUCCAUCACCCGUAGAAAGAUAUCAAUUUCCUUCAAAAGGUAGCAUAUUAUAAAAAUUGCCAUUAUACAAGAACACUCAUAUUCAUUGCAUACAAGAAUGUAGCAUAAACAAAAUUUACAAGUAUAAAAGAGUUUCAAAAUACAUUAUUCACAAAAAUAUUCAUUGUAAAGGAUCGGUUUGCGAUGGAGACGUCGGUCCUAAACUGAAGCUUCAGGCAAAUUUCAUUUACGAUGAUGUUGUUGUUGUUUUUUGGAGUUUGCCUUGUUUGCAUCUUUUUUCGAGAGGUCAUCUUCAUUGCUUUUGUUUGUAUAUAUAAAACUAAAAUCUAAACCAUUUACAAUCUUGUUGAAUCGCAUCGCACGCCUGGUUGCCCACUUGAAGCCGCUCACCUCUUAGUCACCCGUCUUUCAUUCAUCGAUUUAGCCGGUCAAAAUUCCUUCAAUCACCCAGUCACGCACACCCUUCACACAAUCACCAGACCCCUUUGUUGAAAUUCCUUCAAUCUUCUUUAGUUUAAGUUGUUGAGAGGGUAUCCUUAAACGGAAGAGCCUAAAGAAGCUACCAAAAGAAGAAGAGCUCUCCCUAAAAAGGUAGGAAAGUUUUUCAACUAUUUUCUCCCCAUUUAUUUGACAUUAUUAUUUGCCCUCAAAACCCCUUCCUCACUUUCUUUAUCUCUUGUGGUUUUUCUGGUUUUGUUUUUGCAAAGUUAAAUUUUGAGCUUUAAAAAAUUUAGGGUCUUAGAUUGUUAUGUAUUUUUUUCUUAUAUAUGGAGUCGGAUCUAGCUAGCUGGUAUUGAUUGCUUUGGGGUAUGUGUUUGGAAUAUGGGAGAGUGUGAGUGUUUAGUUUCAGAGUUGGAAAAUGAAGAGUUCUAUUUACACUCUGGUUUUUCUCCAUCCGAGAUUCCAAAGUUGGAGAAGUUAGGAUACUAUAUUUAACUACUAAAUCUUCAAGUAGGUUUUUUCUCACUUUCCAUCCGAGUGUUUAGCCAUUUUCACAAAUCUUGUUACCAUAAAAUUUUGUAUGAUUAACCGUACACUCAAUACUUUGACACAUUAAGGGCCUAUUUGGAUUCAAGAAAACUUUUUUUUGUUUCUACUUAAACAUUUUUUCUUAUAAAAUUGUUUAAAACACAUCUCAAAAUCUAUUUUUAAUGUUUACCAACUCUAAUCUUUCUUUUCAAGAUAACUUAUUUAAUAAAAUACAAAAAAUUUGACUCCAAAAUAAAAUUCACCAAAAACAACUAAAGAACCUUUAGAUUAUUAAUUAAAAGAAGUUCUUGAAUAAAAAAGAACAGAUAUAUAGUACACAAAAACAAAAAGACUCGCGAAAUUCCUCUCAGUGUAGAUGGCAUUGCCUUGAGCCACCAACCAACUGGCCGGACCGGCCACUGAGACCAGGCGGCCACGAGAAUUUAACUGACAAAUCACUGCAAACAACCCGAAUAUCGGUACCUAUCGGCCGCCACACGCCGAUCUCGACGUUGGCAUAGCCAAGAACUACGACGGUGAAAUCAAUUGUUCCACGCUCCAAGUCUCCAUGAAUGUCGUUCAGAACCGACUCGUCGACAAGCAAGUCAGCAAUGAAGGGGCUGACGAGGGUGGUGGAGUUCCUUGGGGGGAGGAGGAAGCGACGAGUUCGAGCCUGAGCAAUAAUAUUGUCUUUGUAGUAAAUUGAGGACUCAAGGUUUCGGAAUGAGAUGGCGAGCUUCUUGUUAGGAUUUGUUGAUGGAAAAUCCGACGACCCAUGAGGGAGCGGCGGCGGUGGCAGAGAAAUUAACGAAUUGAAGUGAGUCGAGUCGUAGGGCGAGGAGGAUGGGUCGGAAGAUUAAAUAUUGGAGAAUGUAGAUGAUGCAAACUAUGAAAAGAAGGAGGGUUAUGCCGGCGGCGAAGCCUCGGAUGAAGGGUGAGAAAUUGAAGCAAUGAGGAUGGGUUUGGGUUUCAGGAUGAGGCGGGGGCCAUCUGCCGUUGGUGGAGUUAGCCAUGCACGAUCUGUUGAGGGGAGAACCCACAGUUUAUCUAUGACACUCGAACACUUUAUACCCUAACGUUUGUUUAUUCUUUUCCUUUUUUUAUUUUUAGAAAACUCUUUUUGAUGGGUGCCAAUGAUUUUUUUGAAGAAUUGUAAAUAUAUAUUUGAUAUGGUAUAUAUGGAUUAAUUAUAUAGCACAUGUGUAGUAUAUUUGUUUAUUGAUAUAACUUUAUUUACAAGAGAAAUGAAAUCAUAGCAGUGAUGUAUCAUUCAAUAUAUUCAUGCACGCUAAUUCAUCACCAUCCAUUUCAUAAGGUUUAUAUGAUAUUUCCAUAGUUUAUAUAUAAGAGAGAAGAUUAUAUCUAACUCUAUAUUUAUCAUAGGUUUAUUAUAGUACUUAAAUGUUGCUAAUAUUUGUUUGUCACGUGGCAAAAAAACAAUAGGGUCAAUAGUAACAAUCAACUUGUAACAUUAGUGUACAUUUUGUCUAGUUUAAUGCAAUUGUAGCAAUUUAAUAGCAAUGUUUAAAAAAGGUCAUUGCAAUUAAGGGUUCAAAUUAAAACUUAGGAAGUUGUGAGAAUCUAACUUAAUAUUUUCACAUUUUAAUAAGGAUUGUUUUUACGUACCAUUUCCUCUCUCGACAUGGGAUGCUCAUUUUAGCCUAAUGUUUUCUCUAAAUCCUUGUCCCUAUUUUGUAACAAACACUCAUGAUUUCUAAAUUAGGAUUUCAGUGAUUUUUUAUUUGGGGCAUUCUACAAUGUAUCGGGCAGCUGAUAAAAACUGAUAAUUUAUAAAUGUUGAUUAUGUUUUAAAAUUGGGAUAGAGAAAUUGGAAGAAGGUAUCAGAGGCCUCUAUAAUCUUAAACCUUGAUUUCUCAUAUCAACUAAUCUAAUCAAACAAAAGAAGACAAAGAGUAGUACUUUCAACUCAAAUCUAAAAAACAUGAAUUCAUUGUUGAAUAUGGAUGCCUUUUGAAUUCGUAUUUGUCAUCCCUUCCAACUGCUUUUAAGGAGCACCAUAGCUACCAUCCAUCGCAACCACUUACCAAAGUCGCAGUCACCAUCAGUUGUUGAAGUUUUAACAUCGAAGCCUUUUCACUAAGGAGAAAGAAUCGUGUGCAUAUAUUGGAAAUUUUAGGUUUUUUUUUAACUAGAGAGCAUUUUGAACUUUUAUUAUGUUCCGACUCAAAAAUCAUUAUUUUGAAGAAAUCGUUCCCAAAUCUCUUUACCUUCCUAAGUAGAAAAGAACUUAGCUAAAAUGUUUCCAAUCUCAACCCUACAAAAGUAUUCGAAAUUUCUUUUAGAAAUAGCACACUCGUAGUUUUACAUUUCAAAACUAGAACACUUUUAAAAAAAUUCGUAGAUAUGUUUUUCUCGAUCAAUUUCGACCGACCUCAACACCGAGAUUCUUCACGAAUUUUUAAAAAUUGUUUCAAAGUAAUUUCUCAUUCAUCUCGACCGAGAUUGUCAACGAGAUUGUGUUUUUUGUUUUUAAAUUUCAAAAUAAAGUAUAUUCUAAAAUGAACAAAAUGCCCUUGUAAUUAAGUCCGAACGUUGGAUAUUCUCAAAACCCUCAGUCUUGCGCUCAUUUUAGUCAAGACUAAAUAAGUAAUUUGCUUCCACAAUCGAAGAAAUUUCUCUAAUUUUUGCUCCCGAAAUUUCAAGAAGUUAUCCUUAAACUUAAACUUGUGAAGGUGAAUUUUAUACUUUGAACGAUUCCAUAAUUUAGGGUUGGAUUUUAGUUUAUGUUAUAGUGUUUUGUGUGAAAUCUGAGGCGAAUGGGAAAAUAUAUAGUUGGUUUUCUAUUAUAGUUGAAUGUAGAACUAUAUUUUACGUUAGUGCAUGUAGUUUCCUUCGAUGAAUCACAACAAUAGGGACGAUUUUGGUCACUUAAGAAUACCCUUUAUAUUGAAAUUUAAAAACAAAAAACACACAAUCUUGGUGUCGAUCUCAGUCGAGAUGGACCAAGAAAUUGGUUGAAACAGUUUUUUAAAAUUUAUGAAAAAUUUUGAUGUUGAGAUCGGCUAAAAUUGAUUAAGAAAAUUAAAAUUAUCAAUUUUUUUUUAAAGUGAGCUGCUUUUGGAAUGUAAAAUCAAAAGUACGUAACUUCUCAAAAAUUUCCAAAAAUACUGGAUAAUACACUUAAUCAUUGGAGAAAUUUAGAGAAAUAGCAUAUUUAAAAAAUAACACACUUUUAAAAAACUCGUAUUUUUGUUUUUCUUCACCAAUCAUUGUCAAGAUCGACCACCCAGAUUUUCCUAAAGUGUUAAAAAAUUUCAACUUACUGAUUGUUUUGGAUUUUCUCGAUGCAUCUCGACAAUUAGACUGAAAUUCUACCAGUUUCAAAUCAUAUCCAAACUUUUUUUUAUUUUUUUAUUUUUUCAAAUCAAUUACUCAAACCUUCACAUAUCUUUUACCAAAUGAUCUUACUAAUUUUUGCUACUUAGCCAAUUUGUCCAACUAUUUCUUGUAAAUUACCAUUUUUCCUUUUCCUAAUUCCUUUCACUUUCUUUACUCAAUUCAAUUAUCUUAUGGAACGCCAAGAAUUUGGAAAAGAUGAAAAGAAGAAAGUAGUAGAAGAAACAAUACCUCAAUCCUUCCUUAUUCCUUUAUUUAUAAUUAAUUAAUUUAAGUUUAAAUACUAUUUAAAUCAUUUUUCUCUUAUUUACUAUUUCUAUAUAAAAAACAUAACUUAUUUUUAAGUGAUGAAUUUGGUACAAUUUCGUUAAUUUAAAAUUUUAAUUUCUUCUUUUACCCUUGAAUUACGUAACUUACUGUGAUUAUAUCGUUUGACCCACAUUUUCUUUUUGUGUAUUGGAUUUAGAAUAUGAUUUUUUAAAAAAAAAUUAAUAAUUUAAUCGCACCUAACGAUUUCAUAAAAAUGUUGAAAAUGGAUGUUGUAUUACAGAAAUUAUUGCAAAUUAUUUUAUGAAAACUAUGGUGAUUUGGUAAAUUAAAUAUAUGAAAUUUGUGUAUUGGAGUUAGAAUAUAAAUUUAUUAAAAGUAAUAAUAAUUUUUGCUCCUUCGUUCUGUUCCAUGUAAUUGACUUCAGUUUAUAACUCUCUUCCUAGAAACUAUUUUGUUCUUCGUAUACCGUUUCGUUUGAAUGAAAUUAUGGUACCAAUAUGAUUUAAAUCAAUUCGUAAAUAUAUGCAAUUUGUGUAUUGCAUUUAGAAUAUCAAUUAAAAAUAAAAAUAUAAUGUAUUCGCAAUUAACGACCCAACAUUAAAAAAGGUUGAAAAUUGACGUUAUUUUUGAAGAAAUUACUGGAAAUUGUUUUACGAAAACUAAGAUGAUUUGGUAAAUUAAAUAUAGGAGAAUUUUUAAAAAUAGUAGAUUUUACAAAAUAUUUACAACCUAUAGCAAAUUUUAUCACUGAUAGUCAUUGAUAUGCUAUAGUGAUAUAUAAAAGAUUAUUAGUGAUAAAAUCCAAAAUUUUGCUAUAGCUUGUAAAUAUUUUAAUUUAUAUUGCUAUUUUUAAAAAAUGUCCCUUAAAUAUAUAUAAUUUGUGUAUUAGAGUUAGAAUACAAAUUUAAAAUAAUAAUAAUAAUUUAUUGACAUGAAACGCUUGCAUAAAAAACGUUGAAAAUAUACAUCGUAUUUAAGAAAACUAAUGUAACUUGUUUUACGAAAAUAUGACAAUUUGGUAAAUUAAAUAUACAAAUAUUUGUGUAUUGGAUUUAGAAUACGAAUUUUUAAAAAUAAUAAUAAUAAAUAAUUUUCAUAAUGUUUCCCACGUAAUCAUUCACAAACAAAUAUUAUCAUAGCACUCGCUAUUAGAAUCAUUCUCUCAAACACAUAUUAUCAUAACACUACUAUUCAUAAUAUGUCCUUCAAACAUAUAUAUUAUCAUAACACUAUAAUUCAUAAUUCUUCCUCCCAAAUACAUAUUAUCAUAACGCUACCAAUAAUAAACCUUUCCUCAAACACAUUUAUCAUAACACUAGGAUUAUCAUAAUCCUUUUUCUCAUAACUCUUUUCCUCCCCAAACACACCCUUAAUAUUUUAGAGAAUCUAGUGGUCGAUCUAGCCGAGAUUCUCCCAACAGUUUUAAAAAAUGUGAUGCCCGUGGAAACCAAAACUUUUGCCAACUUCCCUGAACAUUGCCUGGUGGGGCCGUUUGCCAUGCAGGUCGAAAUCAAAUGCUUGAAAAUUAAAUGCAUGUGAGUUUAUUUGAUGUGUUCUGAUGCAUGAGUGUUGCAAAUGCAUGUGUUUGGAGGAUAUGAAUUAGAAACCUAGACUUUUUUAUGCCUGUUUUGGGUGUUGAUUUUGAAUUCGUGCGUUUACUUAAUUUGUUUGGUUUUUUCUUUAUUAAUUGUACGUCUUAAAUUUAUUUUGUAUCAAAUUUUUAAUUAUUUUUUUUUAUAAAUGUUUGUACCUCUAAUUAAAUUUCUUGACUCUAUUGAUUUUAAUGAAAAUAAUGUAAAAAUGAGAAAUUUUAAUAUUAGAUAACAAUAAUUCUGAUUACAGUCGCAUUAACAUGAAUGAUCUAAGUAGGAAUAUUACAAAUCAUUCACAAAAUAUAACAAAUCAUUUAAUUGGAUGAAGCUUACAAAAGUUCUAGUUAAGCAAUAUUAAAAAUGGUCUAAUAAGUUUUAAAAUAAGCAUAACCAAAAGGUCACGCAAAAGCGAAAAUCAACUAGAGUUACAUUUAGCCAUCUCCUAAAAUGAAUGAAAUAUUAAUUUUAAAUAAAGAAUAGCAAAGAGAUAAUUAAAAAAUGAUAUAAUAAUAAUAGUUAUAAAAAAACUCUAGAAGAAAAUAAAAUAAAAGAAUUAAAAAAAUGUGUAUUUUAAAAAAUACUAUUGUGAUUAAAUUAAAGACAAUAUGAAAAGACUCAUAAAAAAAGUUUUCAAAAUUUCAUUUUUAUUAAUUUUUCAAGGUUUGGAGUAGUAGCAAAAGAGGUGGUUGGGAGUUCGUCCACUGAGUUUGUCAUAAAUCACACCUAGUGGUCGAUCGACAAUGGUCGUUAGGGUGGUGUUUGGAAUUGGUUGAUGAAUUUUCUAGAUUGAAUUAGAAAGAAUAUAAUCCAUUGGCAUGAAUCGUGUUUACUAUUCAAUUCCAUGGAAAAGAGUGUAGGAAGCCUUAGUGAAGAUACUUGUUGAUCAAGAGUAAAGACGAUCAAUGGUCACCACUUUUAAGACGAUUGGUUGGUCGUCAACCAUCAUAGCAAUUAGUUGUCAAGGGUUAUGGCUAUUGAUCAUUGAGCAUCACUACAAUCACUUGUUAAUAGGCAUGAGAUCGAUAAUUAUUGAUAACAAUUGGUUGUCGUCGAUCAAGAUGUUCACCCUACAACCGUAACGUCCAACGUUGUAUGUCACAAGUAAUCAAGAUCGUUCAUCGACGAUUGAUAAACAACCGUCAAAACGAUCUAGAGCCGACGGUUAAAACUAUCGAUCGUUGUGACCAUUGAUCAAUCAUCGUGGUUGAUCGUGUGAAGUUGGCUAGCAAUUGUUGCCAUUUUUUCCAAGUAGAUGAGAUUGAAUGAUUAAAAAUAACACACACAUAUUCCAAACCCAUACCCAUGAGUCAAACACCCACACAUUGGGGCAAUAGGAUAGAAAGCACAUUGAUUUUCAUUUCAAAGUCGGCUUCUUUUCGUCAAUAUUAGUUUACAAAAGUUUACUCUUCUAAUCUGCCCUUCCACUUGUGUACUGAUUUCAAGCUUCUCCCAUGGCUGGUUCACCGUCAAUACAUGUGUUUUGGCACGAGGGGAUGCUCAAUCACGACACCGGCUAUGGGGUAUUCGACACCGGAGAAGAUCCAGGUUUUCUCGACGUCUUGGAUAAACAUCCAGAAAACUCUGACCGGAUUAAGAACAUGGUUUCCAUUCUCAAAAGAGGACCUCUCUCUCCUUUCAUCACUUGGCAUUCCGGACGACACGCACUCCUCUCUGAAUUGCAUUCUUUUCACCAUCAAGGUGAUUCUUAUUUUAAAUGCAUAUGCUCUUGAUAAUUGGGUUUUUGCUUUCCAUUUAUUUGAACUUAGUAGAUCUAGGAAAGCAAUUGAAUCCUCGAUGUCACCAGGAAAUCAAUUUAACCCUUCUUAGAUUAGGGAGUUGCAGGGACGGAUUUAUUAAGCUGCCAACAGACACUCGCCCCUUCACAUUAUCUGUUUUUGUAUUUUAAUAUAAAUUUUGAACUUUUUUUUUAAACAAAAUUUUGCUGUAAUGCAGUGGUUGUGCCCCACUCUUGCAACCAUUAAAUUUUGGGUUAACAUUUUUUUUAGCUGUGUUUAUUAUAUAGUGGCUGCGCUGAAUAAAAUUUUUGGAUCCCCACUGGGCAGUUGGGUUCUUGAAUACCGAAGAAAUUGAACAAUCUAACUUGCAUAUGCAGAUAAUUUCUACUGGGAAAUCAAGUAAAACCCAUCACUCAAUGCUGUGCUUAUAGUUUCGUUCGCUAAUUUUAACAGACUAUGUAAAUGAGCUCGUUGAAGCUGAUAAAAAUGGAGGAAAGGUUAUGUGUUGUGGAACUUUUCUGAAUCCGGGUUCUUGGGAUGUCUCACUUCUUGCUGCUGGCACUACUCUAUCAGCAAUGAAGCAUGUUCUUGAAGGGCAGGGUAAUAUUGCUUAUGCACUUGUUAGGCCUCCUGGUCACCACGCUCAGCCAACUCGAGCCGAUGGCUAUUGUUUCUUGAACAAUGCUGGUCUUGCUGUUCAUUUGGCUUUAAAUUCUGGCUGUGAGAAAGUUGCUGUUGUAGACAUUGAUGUUCACCAUGGAAAUGGAACUGCUGAAGGAUUUUACAUGUCCAACAAAGUUUUGACUAUUUCCCUUCAUAUGGAUCAUGGUUCCUGGGGUCCUUCCCAUCCUCAAAGUGGAUCCAUUGAUGAGCUCGGUGAAGGACAAGGUUAUGGAUACAAUUUGAAUAUACCUUUGCCAAAUGGAACAGGGAACCGUGGAUAUGAAUAUGCCAUGAAAACAUUAGUUGUCCCAGCAAUCCAGAAGUUCGAGCCACACAUGAUUGUUUUGGUUGUAGGCCAAGAUUCAAGUGCGGUAAGUCAGUUCAUUUGUCUACUUUCUUUCUUAAGAGGAAUGAUCAUAUUGUCAAAAAUUUUGUGAUUAUUUACAUUAAUUAUGGGUCUACUAAUCUAUAAGACACCUUGGUAUUUUUCAAAUCCUACUUCCAAAUAUAAGUCCUUAUUCUAGUUGUAGUAGAAUGUCUAAUUUGUUUCCUACUAGAGUUAGGUCCAGUCUUUUGUUAAUGAACUUCUGUAACUUUAUCUAUCAUGCUGAAUUGAAAUUUUGAACGAUUUCUAAUAGAUAUGAGACUUUGUUGGUGUUAUUUGUGGCUUCAAAUUUUGAACUCUAGGUUUGAUCUUUGCUGUAUUCUGUAUCUUUCUUCCUGUUGUUGUUUCUUGUAUUUGGCAGCUAUGGGACCUUACGUAAUGACCCUAAAGUCUCAAAUUUGAACUGUAUAUUAGUCCUAAUAUUUAAGACUAUCCUGCACCACGAAGAAAAAAGGCCCAAGUGUAUGUCUUGUUUUUCAUGCUCAGAAUAACUGAAUGAUGGAUAUGUAGAUGAAGAGUUGAUAAUUAGCUGUAGAGAUAGUGAAGUGCUUUUGGACUUGUAGAUAAUUUCAAAGUGCAAGCAGCAAGUAUGCUUGAUUUUGAAUAGGUUGUAGAGCAGAAAUGUGGCUGAAAUUGUUAGAUGGUUGUGGUAAUGUUAAUAUUUAUAGAUGUGGGUUGUGUUGUAAACUAGACUAUUGUUUUGCUUAGUUCUCUUGGUUCUUGCAUCCUUUGGUUUGAUAUCGUUAUUGUUGAUCUACUAUUGCUUCCUUGUCUCAUAACUAGACUAGAGAGAAUAUUUUAUCGAAAUGCUUAACCGCAAUCCUACUAAUGGUCAUGCUUUAUGAUGUGAAAUUGUUUGUUAAUUUGGUUUACAUUUAUUUGAUUGUUAUGAGCUUGCAUUUUUUUACUUUCAAAUUAGUUCGAUCCAAAUGGAAGGCAAUGCUUGACGAUGGAUGGCUACUGGAAGAUUGGGCAGAUAAUUUCGGAGCUGGCAAAGAAGUACAGCAGUGGAAGCUUGCUUAUAGUCCAAGAAGGAGGAUACCAUGUUACUUAUUCAGCUUAUUGUCUUCAUGCUACACUUGAAGGGAUACUCAACCUAUCGCCUCCUUUGAUAUCCGAUCCUCUAGACAGUUACCCAGAAGACGAGGCUUUUUCUGUGAAGGUCAUUGAUUUUAUUAAAAAGUAUGAAGAUGAAAAUGUACCAUUCUUAAAAGUGUAGCAUCCUUUUAAAUAUGUAUAUAUCUGUAUUGGUUGAUGAUUCUUCACUCCUAGUUGGAUAAAGCUUUCUAAAGUUUAGUUGACAUAAUCUUCGACUUGCUAGUCUCUAAUUAUCUUUAAAACUAUGGUUCAGCUUUCUCCAUGUACUAGAGCAUCAAAGUCACUUAGUUUCUACCAUAUAAGCAUAUGAGCAAAAUGUUUGUACUUGUUAAGAGAUCCAAUUCUCUCACCAGAAAAGUUGAUUGUUUUCUAUGAUUUAAAAAUGGAUGAAAAGAUAAGCAAAAUGGUUGAAGGCUCUGUUAGAUUUUUUUCAAAAUUUAUUUUAUAGUAUAAAUGGCUGAAGGUUUGAGAAAUGUUAGGUUAGAUGCCUUCUUUCCAAAGUUGCAAUACAUCGUGAGCAGGAUGAUUUAAAAUGGACCUUAGGAAUUUUCUUUGAUGAGUAAUAUUGUAAAUCUAGAAAGAGUAAAAUUGCAAGUUUGAAAAGGAAAAGGAUAUUGUUUGAAAUGCAAAGUUCAAAUAUGUUUUUCUUUUUUCAAAUAUGGAUUAUAAUAGUUAAGUUUUAACCAUUAUAAUUGGAGCUCAAACAUGGGUUGUGUUAUACCACUUAACAUGAUGUGUGCUCAACCUUAGGAGAUGUCACACAAGCCAAUAUGAGUUGGUAAAAGCUAUCAAAAGCUACCGAUUUGAUAUUUGUCCUAUCAGUUUUAAAUGUUGGUAGAGUUGAGUUGGUUAUUUUUGCGUACCCACCACAAUUCUUCCUUCUUCCUAAUGUAUUUAACGGCUCCACCUAUUUGCCACCAUCAACGAUUAAUACUACCACACUUUCAUAACCACCUUCGCACGAUCAACUCCGAUGCUUUAAUAGUAACAUGCAACGAAAAUUCUGACGACAACUUUGGGCUCUAGUAGCCACCUCCGAUGAGACCUCCAAUGACCAACUCCAAUAAAACCACCUUCAUGCAGCUAACUCCAAUGAUCAACUUCGAGCCCCAGCAACUACCUCCAAUGACAAUGUCGGCGACCAACUCUCUGACAACCAACAUAACUCAAAAGCAACUUCAAUGACCAUCUUCGUAGUCAACCCCCAACAACUAGGUCUAGCUUCGUCAACCACCUCAAACUACAAGUCGAUAGGAAAUGACUUUUAGGUUUAGGCUCAUAGCAAAGGUUAAGGAAAUGCGAGAACGCUUGUUCCACAUUGGAAAAUUUAACAACGCCUAGAGGGUAUAAAUACCAAGUCAUCUAGGAAAAUUUAACAACGACUACAGGGUAUAAAUACCAAGGCAUGCUAGAUGCGAGUUCAAAGUUUGUUGGUGGUGAUAAUAUAGUCAUGUCAUCACACACACGUCGUCAUCAUCCAACAUGUCCAAGUAGCUGCACAGGCAUGGAAUUUUUUUAACUUUUAAUCCGAUCUUCUUCUUUUAUACUGUCAUGAGUACUUUUUCUAAUUCUCUAGAUCAUUUGAAGGUUGUGUUAACGUUAGAGAACAACCAACACUGUAUGUACUUUCAGUCUAACAACAACGCCUUCACCUAACAACUUUGAUGACCAACUUCAGAAUCUGGAUGAUCAAUUAUGGUGAUGAUGAACUCUGACAACCAACUUUACCUCAUGUGAUUAACUCUGGGGAAGCCACCUUUAAUGAGAUCCUUAAUGAGAAUAUUAUGUUUUAUGCAAUUUAACUCAUACAUUCAACGACCAUGUUUAAUUAAUAUCAUUUUGUCUGAUUUUUUUCGACAAAUUAAACAUUUGAAUCUUUGUAUUUUGGUGUAUUAUUGUAAAAUAUAAAGAAUCAAAUGUUUGAAAAGAAAAGCCAUUAACCAUUAACCAUAAAAAUUGAAAUUAUAUUUCAGAAAUGGAUAAAAGAACCAUAUAAUAAUUGGUACUUUUAUUUUUCCCUUUAAUUAACAUUUAUAGUUGAAUUAAAAUUAAUUAAGGAUUUACCAAUAGAGGGUUUGGGAGCAGAGAAAAUGUUAAUUUCAUUCAAAUAUAUCAUACUUUUUUCAGGAGCACAUAAAAUUGUUGUCCAAUUUAGUGUUCAAAUUAUGUGGUGAAAAUAUGUUACAAUAUUUUAACCCAAAAAAAAAUCGUUUUCAUAAUACAUUUUCUUUUAAAGAAUGUGUUUCAAAUUUAAACACAUGAUUAUGAAAAUUUCAUAAGUGUUUAUAUACGUAAUUUUUCUCAAAAUUGGGUCGAAAUGUUGUAUUGAAUUAUUUUUAAUCUCAUUUUUUUGAAAAUGCAUUUUGACAAGUUAUCAAACCCCUCAAAUUUUUUUAAAUGGUUUUCCUUUUACAAAUUUGAACGCUUUAAAAGUUAAUCCAAACACACUUUAAGUAGUUUUGAAAAGUCUUUGCAUUAUACACGGACUUUAAGGAAAAGAAAUAUGUGUUAUGUAAUUGAUGUUAAAAUAGUUUGAAUCCAAAAUUUAGGUUUAGUGUAUCUUCAAAUAUAGGAAUCUGCUACGUUUUGAGAAUGAAAAAUGUAAGAAAAUAUGUAUAUGGAUUGAAAUUAGAAAUGAGCAGUAAAUAAAUAAAUAAUGAUGGAAGAGAAAAUAAGUUAUUUGUUUAGAAAAAGUGUAGCAUAUGGCAUAUACCCUAUGGGCAUGUCUCAACUUCAUGCCAUAGUACAUGAAGGUGUACGUGGAUGCCAAAGUUAUUUGAUCUAUAAACUAUUCCAUGCUUGGUUUUUUCUUUUUUUUUUCUUUAAAACUAGGGUGGGUAAGGUAUUGAUGUUUAUAGAAAAUGAAAGAAUGGAAAAUGUUUAAUUAAAGUUUGAAAUAAUUGAAUUUUAAUGGUGCAAACUAGAUGUGUAUUGGAAAGGGAAGUAAUUUCUAUAACUCUUUGGUUUCUUCCAAAGCUGAAGGGAGAAGGGAGAAGGGAGAAGGGAGAAGGGAGAAGGGAGAUGGAUGCUUUUCUUUUUCAAACACAGAAAGUAAAAUAAAGUGGAAUACUUAAAGUCAAACCAAUUAGUUAUAUCAUAAUCCAACGUUUACAUCUAAUAUAUAUAUAUGUCCAAUUAGUUAUAUCAUACCCGUAAAAUAUGAUUGGGUUGGGUUGUCAGGUUGUAUUGUUUUUUUUUUCCAUCCCCAACCUAACGAUUGUUUAGUUUUCUUUAACUUUGUGUACCUCUUAUGCGAUCAUUUAGCUUUCUACCUUCAAACGAUCGUUUACUUUUUACACAGUCGGCUAACUUUGUAUACAAUCGUUUAACUUCUGAUAAAUACUCCAACUUUACUUUUAUUAAAUAAAUAUGUAUAUUAACUCGAGUUGAUAUCAAAUAUUAGAUUAAUAUUUCUCGACCAAUUUGAUUGAUCAAAUUAGAAUCCUGACCUUAUUUGAAUUUAUGAUAUUUAAAUUUUAUUAAAUAUCAUUUCUCUAUUAAUGUCAUGUCAUUAAUUAUAUAGAAUAUUGUUAACGAUUUAUUCUCUAAAUCAAUUUAAACAAUUCAAAUUUCUCGAUCAUUCUAUUUUAAGUUUAAUUCUAUUACGAGCUAGUAGAGCGAUCUAAUGGACCUACAAAUUGUGAGCUCCAACGAUCCAAGAUUAACUAGUUAAACUCUUUAACCUAGCUAACCAACAUUUGUUAAAUAACAUGUUGUCCAGUAUAACUUGUGGUUGCAUUCUUGUCACACCCUACCUAGUGCACCUGCUAGCUCGUUCCGAAACGUGGCGUGAUAUCAGUUGAAUUUCGUUCGCCUCCGAAACAACACCUCAACUGACACAUGACAUGGAAACGUGAAAUAAUCAACAACGAAAGUCUUUAAACUUUGAAAUACUUCUAAAAAAAAUUGUAGUGUGACCCAUUUGAAAUUCCUUUUACGAAAACCAAGUGAAAAAUAUAUCAAACAUAGAAGUAUAAACUCUUAAAUAAAUACAAUAAUGCUUUAAAAUAAAACAAUUCCUUUUAUGGUUUAAAACUAAGUUGGCCUGGCAGCAAUAAGUUCAGCACACGGAAACCCACAAUCUGUACCUGGGAAAGAGGAAUUUUUUUUUUGAAAUGGUAAGUCGAAAGACUUAAUGAGCAACUGUUUUAGAAAACAAAUUUUCAUAAACAUUUUAAUAUAAAACCAAAACUUAAAUACUUUUAUAAAUGAAAAUAUUGAAAUAUUUUCUACUUUCAAAGACAGUCCUCCAUAACCACAAGCAAUAUUUACCCCUUCGUCCGAAGACGGAACAGUCGAUGAGAAGUUAUCCCCCUUCUUUAAGGUAUAAGUAUAUACCCUUUCUGAUGGCCCAUAGUUAAAAAUAGGUUUGUCAACCGUACCAUCAGUAUGGAGUUAACCACAUGUAUACAAUAGGUCUCAUGUUAUAUUCGGACAUGGAUAAAAACAUUUGAAAACAUUGAAAUAUUUCCUUGAAAGUAUUUGAAAUAUUUUCUUGAUCAUAAAAUCAUUCCAACAUGGUAUCGCUUAAAAAUAGUGCAUAAACAUUCAUCAUAAAUCAUGACUUGAAAUAAUAGUUUGGAAAUCAUGUUCAUAAAUUAUUUAAAACAUUUUGUUACUCACAAGCUAUUGUUUGUAAAACAUGAAAUCAUGUUUAAUAAAUAAUGUUUGAAACAUGAUAUUGCUCACAAUAUUUGUACAGAUACUUGGCCAAAAAUUCCUCCUAUUCCUCUUUGUCCUGAAAAAUUCAUAUUUUAUCCUUAAUUAAUUCCUUGAACAUAAAAAUAUCUAAAAUUUCCCUUAAAUUUUUCAAAAAUUUCAAGACAAUCCAAAACAACUCAAAAACAGCUAAAUGAUACACACUGACAUAGGGGGAUGAGGCUGGUUGCGUGUGCAUGGCCUAGGACCUUGCCAUGUACUAACCUCACAAUGAGGGGUGUACAUGGUGUGCUAACCUAACAAUAAGGGGUAACGCGCGUGCAAGACUGCACAUCAGUGUCCACCGCGUGUCCUUGUCCGCAUGGUGCUAUGUGCCCAACUUGCCACCUACUAACCUUCUUUUGCAAGUCAUGUGUGCAACCUGAGAGCAUGCCUUGUGACUCAAUUGUGUGUCUUAUCUCAAUCAUAAAAUAUAUUACUGAUAUGUUAAGAGAACAUAAAUGUUGGAAGCUAAACCUAUCUAUACACCUAUGGUAAGUUGGACUUUACUUUCUGCCUUUUAAGGAGAACCAUUUUAUGAUGUGCAUUUGUUUAGAACUGUUGUUGAUGCAUUACAGUAUGUCACACCUACUCAUUCUGAGAUAUCAUAUAGUGUUAAUAAAGCUUGUCAAUUUAUGCAUGCUCCAAAAAAUACACUUUGGUAGCUUGUGAAAAGAAUUAUAUAAGAUAUCUUAAAGGUGUACUAUAUCAUGGUUUAUGGCUUAGCAAGUCUGAUAAUUUGUCUUUAAUUGGUUUUAUUGAUGCGGAUUGGGCUUCUGACCAAGAUGAUAGGAAAUCUACGUUUGAUUUCUGUGUUUAUUAAAAAUAACUUAAUGUCUUGGGGUUCAAAGAAACAAUCUAUCAUUUCCAGAUCUAGUAAUGAAGUUAAAUAUCGUUGCUUGGCUCUUUUGGCAACCGAACUUGUAAGAAUUUAUUCUCUCUUGAACGACUUAUACAUUAAUAUGCUUAAUCCUCCUAUUUUAUAGUGCGAUAGUAUAAGUGCAGUGCAUCUUAGUGAAAAUCUUAUAUUACACUCCAAGACAAAGCAUGUUGAACUUGACAUCUAUUUUGUUCGAGAUCUUAUAAAAAAGAAAAUGUUAUCUAUUAGACAUCUUCCAGAAACUGAACAAAUUGCAUAUAUCCUCAUCAAACCAUUGUCUGCUCAAAAUUUCCACAAACUGAAGAAUAAACUUACUGUCAUACAUUAACAGCCAUUAGUUCGUAGAGGGUGUUAAGAUAGCCCACUUAUUUUCUUUUAUUGGCCCACAUAUUAUGACCCAGAUACAUAUUCUAGAAACAAUCUGUUAUGAGGAAUUAUACGAUGAGUGUGUGUAGGUAAGAGUUUUUAGUCUCAACAUCUCUUUAUAUAUUUGAGAUUUGUAGAAUACCAAAGAUAUCAAUUGAAGCUAGAGUUUUCUCUUGCCAAAUUCUAUUCUUCUCUCCUUUUUUUCAUUUCUUAUCUACCUUCAAUAAAUGCAAAUAUAUAAAUUAAUAAAAAAAAAACGAGGGCAUUAAAUAAAUAGUUGAAUUUGGAUUUGCCAGUCUUCCUCGUAGGUUGGAAAUCCAUUACUUAGGUAGGAAGCAAAAAUUUAAUCCUUUUUCAAGUCUGUUAGCUCUAGCCAGUCAUUUAUCCUGUGGCUCGUGAUUGAGAUGAUUAUGAGUGACCUCUCAUUUAUGUGACCUAGAUAUUGUUCGUAUACUUUUAAUUUAAUGUGCUUCAUUUAUAUAUUUUACUCAACCAUCCAUGAUAGUGAGACAAUGAUUUGGCUAUUAACUAAGACCUUACGAGCAGCUUCUUGUUUGAUGUAGUUUUCAUUAUGCCAGUUAAGUCGAGUAUAUUAUUGGAAGUUAAGACCUACUAUGAACAUUCACGUUGCAGUUGAAGCUUAUACUAAAAAGAUGUGUUCACACAACUAAAAUGUGGUAACAAAAUGACUUUUGAAAUAAACCUAAUAGUAUACAUUGAAUGACUGCUUUAAAACUCAUAUGAUUGAGGGAUGUUGAGACCUCAUGUUGUUUUGUAGGAGUUGUUUAUUAUUACUUUGUAAAGUUGCGUAGUUGGUUUGUAAUUGUAUUAUAAACUUUAUGUAAGGGAUUUGGUUUUUUCUUUUCUUCUAGUGUAUAAAAAACUUUAGCUUUCAAAAUAGUUGAUGGACAAAAAAAUAAACUUUACUUUGAUAUUCGAAACGUAUCAACAAAAGUGUUUUUCUUUAUCUUCUUUUUCAUACAAUUGAGGAGCAAAAAACGUUAAUGUACCAUUUGUUGAUGGCUAAAAACAUCAAGAAAAGGGUUUUUGGUGACAUUUUUUGAUGGCCAAAUUUUCUUGAUAUAUGUUGACUUAGUUGAUGUUUUUAAUUUGUCAUGAAUGUAGACACUUUUUCUUUUACAUUUUCUGUGGAACCAACAAAAGCUAAACUCUAAGUGUAGUGUGUAGUUUGAGCUUCAUUCGAUAUCCUCAUUGUCUCCUUGCUUAGUUAGCUAGAGGGGUUUUAUUUCUCCCAUUUACUUCCUCAUUAUUCUCUCCUUCCUCCAGAAAUUUCAUCAUCAAAUCUUAAGAAGGAUCUCUUUCUAAACCAACUCUACAGUCAGUUUUUAGCUCUAAAAUUACUGCCUUCAAAUAGCUAGAUUUUGAAACAAAAAAGAAAUCUCUGAAAUUAAAGAUGUUAAAGAAAGAGGUAUUAGAGGUGUUUGGGGAAAAGGAGGUUAAUUAGUUAUUAUAGUGGUAGGUAUAUAAUUAGAUUGUAAAAGACUGUCCAUUGUUGGAAAAUGAGCAACCAAUUGAAGAUUAGGAAAUAAUAAUAAUAAUGUUAGAAGUGAAUGAAGAGAGAAAGAGAAAGGUGAGGAUAAUUUAUUUAGAAUUAAAUUGUAUUGAUACGAGGAAUAGAAUGAUCCUCAAUUAACACAUGGGAUCCCUCCAUCCUCUCUUCCUUCCAUUCUAAUUUUCCAUAUACAUAGGUUUGAUAAGGUACAAAGUUCCAUGUGUACAUUCCAAGUAUGAAUCACAAUAAUAAAACUAAAGUAUCUCACUACAUAUUCAAACUCAAUAUUCUAUGUAUUUAUGAUGAUAUCAAUAUUACUAUAUCUACGCAAUAAACUUGGUUUAGUCAUAUACUUUUUUAAGUAUAAAAUGUCAAAGGUAACUCAACUUAUUGAAUUCAAAUAAACCAUUUAUCAUACCCAUAAUUGCUAGCAUGCAUUUACAUAUAUUUAUGAUUGAUGAUGUAUAUGCAAAACAACAAUGCUUUAAUGCUAUCAUAAAUUUUGGACCCAUCAAUUUGCAACUUACUCUAAUUAUACAAUCCAAAAAAAUCUAAAAUCUAUACUUGCAUAAUUGAAUUAAAAGAUGUGGUGAGAUAAAGAUAAGUCGAUAGUAAUUAAUAUCAAAUUUAAGUUGAAAAAAAUUGUUUGCGAUUAUAUUUUAAAAUGUUUAUAAAAACUUAAAACUUUGGUGAAAAUGACCGUAGGUGAAGAUAUUAGGUAUGUUGUACCAAUUUGGAGGAGGGGAGAGAUUUAAUGUAAGCAUCUCACGUAUGAAUACAAAAGAAAAAGAAAGAGAGGAAAAUAUUUGAGUGAAUAGAUUCUUUGAAUCUUGAUUUUGGGGUUAGUAAUGUGAGUGUCGGCGAGCUCAAGUGUGUGUACAAUGGGACAAACAUGGUUCAACUGUUAGUUUAGGUAAUGAAGCCAAAUUGAUGGGUGAAAAAGACAAAUCGAACUGAGGUAGGUUCGAAGAAAUAGGACCGACCAACAAGAAACAGACAGUCGUAAAGCUUCCUUCUCUACUUUUUACGAUUACUGCCCCAUCUACCCAUCUCGUUCCCCAUUUCUCAUUACUCCAUUUUCUUACUUGGGCUCUCUUUUUUCUUCGCCGCUUAUGCCUCCUUUCUCUUUCAUUGCUUCUCUUCUUCCUCACUGAACAAACAGAACUUCUGUUUUGAGGUGUUUCAUCUGGGUUUUGUUUGUUUUGACUUCAAUCUUUUGAAAUUGAUGAGAUCUUAUACUGCAUUGGGGUUUAUUUUUGAAGAUUUCUCUUUACUUAUAGAUUGGAAAUGGUGGAUGACAAGUUGGGGCUGUGUAUCUCUCUCAUUUUGUUGUGUCUUUCAACUGUUUGUUUUUGUACCUCUGACAUAAAUGAUGUCAAAAUUCUGAAUGAUUUCAGAGAGGGCUUGGAAAAUCCAGAGCUUCUCAAAUGGCCUGAUAAUGGGGAUGACCCAUGCGGGAUUCCUCCAUGGCCUCAUGUUUACUGUGCAGGUGAUAGAGUUUCUCAGAUUUAGGUUCAGGGUUUGGGUCUAAAAGGGCCCUUGCCUCAGAAUUUUAACCAGCUCUCUAAGCUCUCCAAUUUGGGUCUUUGAAUAUAAUCCUUUCAAUGCCGCUGUUGAUGAGCUUGCCAAGUCAGUUCAGCUCACAAAUCUUUCACUGGUGCAGAGUAAUCUGGCUGGACCUCUCCCUGAGUUCUUGGGGACAUUGUCAUCACUAACAACUUUGAAGCUUUCCUAUAACAGGUUAACAGGUCAAAUUCCUAAAAGUUUUGGUCAGUUUUUUAUGCAGAUUUUAUGGCUAAAUGAUCAAGAUAUAGGAAUGACCGGUCCGAUUGACGUAAUUUCAUCAAUGUCUUCUUUGACUCAACUAUGGCUUCAUGGAAACCAGUUCUUAGGGGUUAUCCCUCAAAAUAUUGGGGAUCUUAGUAUCUUUGUAUGAUCUUAAUCCCUCAAAAUAUUAAUUCUUCUUUUUUCUAAUUUCUUUUAACUUUUAGUUUUUUUUUAAAAAUAUUCGACUUAAAAUCAGCUUAAAAGUAAUUAUAUUCUUAAAUUUUCACACCUAUAAAUACAAAUAUAUAAAUAAUUUUAAUCUUUAAUAAUAAUCAUUUUUUAAAAGUUAAGCAAUGUCAUACUUGCUCGUCUUUGGAGAUGCAAAUACACAAGUUAAGCAAUGCAUAUAUCCAAUCAUGUUAAAUGCAAUAAUAGCAACUAAUCCUCAAUUAGGGCAUACACCUUUGAGUGCGGUAGCCACACACAUUAACCUCUCGAUAAUGAAUGUAGAGGAUGAGCUCGGCGACAAGAGUGCACUUUGGCCCUCUUCCCACCACUUGCUUAGUUAAAUAUGGUUAUUACAUAGUCAGUGCUUACAGACUCCACUUUUGCCCUUUCAUCAUGACUUUCUUAGCAUUGAAUACAUCAUUUAUUCCUACUUAAAUAAUCAACCACAUAUAUAUGCAUCACUACAAGAAAAUAAGUAUUUUUUGACGCACAAUACGGACGUCGGGAUAAAAGACGUUGAAAGAAAAAGUUUCUCUCGACGUCGUAGAAGCUCCGACAGAAAAGGAUGACAAUUCUGACCCCAUGCAUAACGAAGUUGGAAAACAUUUAAAAUUUAAAAAAAAACUUUAAAAAAUUUUAAACUUUUUCCGACACCAUUUUCCCGACACCAUUAUGCAUGGUGUCAGAAGAAGUUUAAAAAUUAAAAAAAAUCAAACUUUCCCCGACGUUGUUAUGCAUGGCGUCAGGAGCAAUUUAAAUUUUUUUAAAUGAUUAAACUUUUCUCGAUGUCGUUAUGCAUGGUGUCGAGAGAAGUUUAAAAAUUUUAAACUUUCCCCAACACGGUUAUGCAUGGCGUCGAGAAUGGAGGAUAUUUUUUUUGACGUUGUACUUUACGGCAUCGAGAAUAGGUGUAUCGCUCGACGUUCACGAACUGCAUCGGGAGAUCCCCUACAUAUUUGAGUUUGUUUUUUAUAGAACACAAUUCAAAUUGAAAGGAAAAGAGGAAGAGACUGCGAGAGAGAGAGAUCGUCGUUUGCCUGUUGUUGUCCGCUCUGUCCGUCACUGCCACUCCCUCUGUCUUUGUCUCUUAGACAACUUCUUGGUUGGAGGUAAUUCAAAGUUUAAAAUCCUAAAGAUAAACCCAUUUAAAUUUUCCAAUUUUGAUUCCGAUGCGAACUUAUGCAUUAAGAAAUUAUUUUCUGAUGUUUUUUUUCUAUUUCUCCCGACGCAUCCAUUUUCUUGUCGUGCAUAGUGAAGAUAAGGAAAAUGGGAGAAAGGAAAAAGAAAUGCAUUGCGUUCAUAAUUAACACUUUAGGCCUUUCAGCCAUGAAGGUUUGCUUACAAAACAAUACAAUAUAAGAAAUAGAAAAUGAAAAAACAACAAAGGGCUUAUGUUGUAGAGUUUGAUCUCUUUUACUCUUUGGCUUUGAUUUUUGCCUAUCGCUGAGGGGAAUCACGGAAGGGUGGUUCUCUCUUUCUUCUGUUUUAGGAUCUCACCUAAAACUCAAGGUAAGAGAAGAAUGGAUGAUAUGAGGAGCUUGCUUCCUGGCCAAUUUUUGCACACUUUCUUUAGAAGAGAGAGAGGCUCUAUUUUUAUGCAGAGAGUGGUUGUGACAAGUCGGUGUGCGCAUUUAAGAUUUAUGAAAAGUUACGGCUACCUACGUCGCCUGACUUAUUUGUCCUUUUUAUGACUUUUCCACCAAUCACUUUUGUUUGUUAGCGGCCUAAUUGCUUAGCAAUUGCUUCCUUGCCCUGGUGAGGUUGGCUAGGUCUCCUUACAUUUAUCGUACUACUCACCGAGCUUCCCUCUUCUUCGCCUAAAGUCCUGCGAUAAGAGCAUUAAAACAUAGUAAAUCAGAGAUGAAGAUAUUUUGUGUUAGGUUUUUCACAAAGUAAUCAAAUUAACUUCUUUUCUCUUUAUUUUCUUUUCUUUUCAUGCGAUAAGACUUCAUUGUUUUACUUAGAAGACUGCAAUAACUUGUAUUUCUACAAGUUAUUAAAAUGCAUGAAUGAAAGAAUGACUGAAAUGAUUGUUUGAUUGCAUGAAGAAGAAAGAAAAUUUGUGUAGAUGUUCUUUCUUGUUUGCUUGGUACUUUACUAUGAUAGUCUAUGAUACACUAUCUUGUCUUAAGCUUGCAUGACUUUAAAUAGGAAAAAGAGCAUCCACAAUUUCUAAAUACUUAGUGUGUUUACAACACAUGUUACACGUUCUAAUCAUCUUCUUAUACGUUUUUGACCUCAUUAUUCCAAUACAAAAAGCUAUAAUAACGGACAUUUCUGCGCGUUAUCAAGGAUACCUAAUCCAUUUGAGUACCUUGUUAAGGGGUUUGUGGUUAAUUAAUAACUAAACGAGGGACACCUCUUUCCUUUUGAGCCGGAUUGUUAACAUAAAAAGCCACACAAAAUCAUGUGAUUUUUUUAUGGGCUUAUUAAUCCUUUCUUCUAGAGAUCUGAUAUCUCCUUGAACCAGGUGUCAACUAAGUCCUUACUCAUUUGAAUAGGUCUGGUCUUUGUAGGAAUUUGGGCUUCCUAAAAGUUUUCAACAUAGGUUAGAUUCACUAUUUGUUUCUUUCUGGCCCAAAAGGCAUUAGGAAAAUUGGAACAAAUCUCAUAAUCAAUCCUUUUGAGGACUUAUUGUAUUUUUAUUUGGACCGAAGGCCUAUUGAUUUCUUCAUUGGUUUUUCAACCUUUGAUGUCGUCAUGAAGGAACUCAAUCUGCUUCUCUUUCCUUGAUAUGAGAUUGAGACUUCGGACAAGCUCGCUCUCAAUUGAAGAAAGAUACCAUUAAACUACGGGUUUGUAGAAUUCAAAGAUGAUUUCUUUGCCAAAUUUAUGAGAAGAUAAACCCUUAUCAAAAACUGUAAAUGGAUAAAUUAGGGUAAGAAAUGGAGUACCCAAAAUUUACUUUCUCGGUAAGGCCUUUGACGAGGAGACAUGAAUUUUUCAAGCACACUUCGUCUUUGUAAACGUGUACCUUCAAAAUUUUGUACUUUAUUUGUAGAGCAUUGUUAUUUGCACCUUUGAGGAUUUCCCUAGUGAUCUCAAAGUAUUUGGAUGGAAUUAUCCCUUCUUGGAUAGCAUUUUGAUUAGCUCCUGAGUCGAUUAGGGAUGUCCCCUCAAAUUUGUAAUCUUUAACCUUUAAAGUGACCUUGGUUAGCCAUUUUUUAUUAAAGACCUUACUAAUAAUGUUGAUGUCGUUAUUUGAAGAUUCGACAUGUUCAACAUUAUCUUUUAAAAUUAUUUGUUCUUGAAUUGCUUCAAUGAUAUUUUCAAGAUAAGAUAUUUGCUUCUUGUUAUCAUGAACUUCCUUUUUCAGGACUUUGAUUUCAUGUUGGAGGUCAGAGAAUUUAACUGGAGCAACAUGUUCUUUUGUCAACUAAUUCAUAACAAUUUGAAUCUGAAUUUCAUCGGAUCUUUGAACUUUUGAUCGAGAGUCUCUAAGUCUUCUUGUAGUCUCAAAAGUAUUUUCUUCCUUAUGGCAUCAUCUUCGACGAUAUCCAAAAGAUCUUUCUGGGUGUUGGUAAGAACAUUAAUGCAUCCAGAGCAAGGUAUUGGUUCUUCGUCUACCGACUCAUAAUCAUAUGACGAAGGUUCUUCCAAAGAAUCUUCAAAGAUAGCAUUGAGCAUGUCUUCAUCUUGACUUGACAAUGAUUGCUCUUUGUUAGAGGAUAGUUCUUCGACUUGAAUCACCUAUAAUAGAGAUUGGUUUCUUUUUCAUAAAUCUCCAUUUUGUUGAUUUUCUUGAAGACAAGACAUCGGUUAGCGUAAUGACCUUUCUUAUGACACCUAAAACAAGUAGUAUUUUCUUUAGAAAAUUUUUGCUUGUUCUUUUCCUUGAAAUGGUGUUUCCUUUUCCGGCUACCAUACUGAUUUGGUUCAUUCUAAACAUUUCUUCUAAAGAAUUUCUUUGAACGAGUCUUCUUUCUAGAUAGAGGAGUAUUGUCGAUUAUGUACUAUUUCCAAAAGAACCCAAUUCUUUGCGGUAGUCGAAGUCUCUCGCUAUUUUGGUAGCAUACCUCUAUUGUUGGAAAAUCUCAAUGCAUACCUUUUAAAUUGUGGAAUUAAUAUCUCCAUAUGAGAUACCUUCCCAAUCGAUCUUUGACACUCUACUAUUUGUAACCAUAGUGGAGUAGAACUUUUCACGAGCAUAUCUAGGUAAUACUUCCACAUAUUUGUGCUUCCAAAUUACAUCUCUGCAUGUUAUUAGAUUAUAAAGACGAAACAUGAAAAUGUCUUUAUACCAUGUGAAGUCACUCAUUUUAGGACAUUUUAUUCCUAAAAGGGCUUCCAUAUUGAUUGGUCACUAUAUAGGGUUGUCCUUCCUACAAAGUCUUAAAUAACUGCAUAAACUAAUGUGUUAGCUAAGUACGACUGGAUUGUAACAGUGUCACCAUUUGGCCCCUGCUCCUUUUUUUCAAUAACAGCUUCCUUCGUGGCUUCUCUGUUUUCAUUGGUUAGAUGUUUGUGCUACCAACUUCUGAGGUUUUUCAUGAAUCCCGUAGUUAGUGCGUCAACAAUCUCUCUUUGAUUCAUCCUUCGAAGAUAGCUUGUUGCAGCAACAAACAUUUCUUGAAAAAUUAUCAUCAUUUGCCCCUCAGAACAUCCGUCAAUGUUCCAUGUUUCGAUGUUACUCCCAUCGAAUGAAUCAAAGUAAUUAUGAGACAAAAAAUAGAAGGUAAUCACGUGAUAGUUAAUAAGAAAUGAGAUGACAAUAUCAAAAGCUACUAAGUGAAAAAAAUUAAACAAGGUAGAGAGAUAUGGGCAUGGAUGACCCCUUCUUUUUGUCGUAAAUGAAAUUUAACCCCAAAACUUAAAACUAAUGAAUUUUGGUCUUAUAUUAUCACUGCGUAAAAUUACCACUCUAACCCCAAAUGCAUUUCUAAUGUUUUUUAUCUCUUAAAUAAUAUGUUAGACAUGAAACGUAAUAAUUUGAAAAGAUAAUCAAUAAUAAAUAUUGAUUUUAUUCUUUGUAUUAAAUAAAGAAUAUGAGAAUUUUUUAAAAUAGUAAAUUUUACAAAAUAUUUACAACCUGUAGCAAAUUCUAUCAGUGAUAUUCAUUGAUAUGUUAUAUAAUAGAAAACUAUCAGUGAUAAAAUCCAAAAUUUUGCUAUAGCUUGUAAAUAUUUUAAUUUAUUUUGUUAUUUUAAAAAAAACCCUAAAGAAUAAAUUAAUUAUAAAAUAAUAUAAUUAAUAAGAGUAUUGAAUUCAUGCACAUUUUUUUUAUAUUGUUACUUCUCCUUACUCAUAUUCUAGAAAUUCGUUAUUUAUUCAUUUCCAUUUUCCUCUUUUAGAAUUUCUUCCUUUGUUGUCAUCUUUCAUAGUAUUUUUUUCGUCUUUUUUCACUACACGAUCAUGUACCAAAAAUAUAAACAAUCAUUCUUCUAUCUUAAUUGUGUAAUAAUAUAUGAACGAUCGUAUACUAAACUUUUUAGAAUUGUGUAUUAAUAUAUGAACGAUCGUAUACUAAACUUUUUACGUGCAUGUAUGGCCGAUUAAUAACUACAUGUAAAUUUGGGAUGUAUUUUGAGUCAAUAACUAGUUUUUCAUGUUAAGGGUAUUGUGGGCAUUUCAUAUAUUUAUUUGUGAUGAAACUAAUUAUUUCCCUAAUUUUGUCUUUUCUCCAAAAUCCUACUACGCUUCACUCAAUUUUCUUUUAUACUAAAUGGGGAAUUGAUCAUAAAAAUCGAAACGGUUCUUAGAACGAUGAGCAGCAUUCCUUCCCACACAGCCACUCCUUCUCAACUCCAACUACCUCCUUUUACACCUUCUUCAAUCCCACUUUCAAAUCCAACAAAACUCAACUUCCCUCGCUCUCCCAACUCCCCUCAUCGCAAUAUCUCCUCCAAAUUCAACCCCAAUUCUGUUGACCCCAUUGUUCUAUGGACCUCUUCUCUUGCUCGCUACUGCCGCAACGGCCAAUUAUCCGAAGCCGCUGCAGAGUUUACCCGCAUGCGACUCGCCGGAGUUGAGCCCAACCAUAUCACAUUUAUUACGCUUCUCUCCGCCUGUGCUGAUUUUCCGUCAGAAAGCUUCUUCUUCGCCUCUUCACUUCAUGGCUACGCUUGUAAAUAUGGUCUGGAUACUGGGCAUGUAAUGGUGGGGACUGCUCUCAUUGAUAUGUAUUCCAAAUGUGCUCAAUUGGGUCAUGCUAGGAAGGUUUUUUAUAACCUGGGUGUGAAAAACUCUGUCUCUUGGAACACUAUGCUCAAUGGUUUUAUGAGGAAUGGAGAGAUUGAGUUGGCCAUUCAACUGUUUGAUGAAAUGCCUACAAGAGAUGCGAUUUCUUGGACGGCUUUAAUUAACGGUCUUUUGAAACAUGGUUACUCGGAACAAGCAUUGGAGUGCUUCCAUCAGAUGCAACGCUCGGGUGUCGCUGCUGAUUAUGUGUCUAUAAUUGCUGUUCUUGCUGCCUGUGCUGAUUUGGGUGCUCUUACUUUGGGGUUGUGGGUUCAUCGUUUUGUUAUGCCGCAGGAGUUUAAGGAUAAUAUUAAGAUUAGUAAUUCCUUGAUAGAUAUGUAUUCUAGAUGUGGAUGUAUUGAGUUUGCCCGCCAAGUGUUUGUGAAAAUGGCCAAACGAACUUUGGUAUCUUGGAACUCUAUCAUUGUGGGGUUUGCAGUUAACGGAUUUGCAGAUGAAUCUUUAGAGUUUUUUUAUGCGAUGCAGAAGGAAGGAUUCAAGCCAGAUGGAGUAAGCUACACGGGGGCUCUUACCGCGUGUAGCCAUGCUGGCUUAGUGAAUAAGGGCCUGGAAUUGUUUGAUAACAUGAAGAGUGUACACAAAAUUACUCCUAGGAUUGAGCAUUAUGGAUGUAUUGUCGAUCUCUACGGUCGUGCUGGAAGGUUAGAGGAUGCACUGAAUAUGAUUGAGGAAAUGCCGAUGAAGCCGAAUGAAGUUGUGUUGGGGUCGUUGCUUGCUGCUUGCAGGACUCAUGGUGAUGUGAACCUGGCUGAAAGGUUAAUGAAACAUCUCUUUAAGUUAGAUCCAGAAGGCGAUGCAUAUUAUGUGCUCCUUUCAAACAUAUAUGCAGCAAUUGGGAAGUGGGAUGGUGCUAACAAUGUUAGGAGAACGAUGAAAGCCCGAGGUGUGCAAAAAAAACCGGGUUAUAGUUCUGUUGAAAUUGAUGGUAAGGUUCAUGAAUUUGUUGCAGGUGACAAUUACCAUGCUGAUGCAGACAAUAUUUACUCAAUGUUAGAUUUGUUGUGUCAUGAACUAAAGGUGUGUGGAUAUGUUCCUGGUAGUGAUACCAUUCUGAAUACCAAAGAAUCUAAUAAGGACGAUUGAAGCUUCUUUUGUGCUGUUAAAACCCUUAUUUGAUUCGUCCGUCUAUGGCUUAGAUCAACAGCAGUUUGAGAGUUUGUGAAAUAGACAAGGUAAAUGGAUGCUUAAGUUAAGCGGGCUGCAAGAUAUAUAAUUUAAUUUGCAUUUGUCGUCACAUUUGAAAAUGGAAGCAAAACACUUAGUUCAAGGUACAAAUAAAAGGCCACAUCAUGUUUUCUUCUUUCAACAAAAAAAUCCAUUAGCUAUAUAGUUUUUUUAUCUCCAUUCAUGAGCGGAAUAACUAACACACCACUUGAUUACAUACGUAAAGUUGGAUGGUUUCUAGGACUAAUUGAUGUUGGACACCAUUUUUUUAAAAAAAUUGGAUCAAUGGAGACUUAUGGAACCCACCAUCAAACAUAACUUACACCAUAGUCUAUACACUCAUUGUUGUUUCAUAAACCGUUUUUGAACCCUAUCAGCAACGUCGGCCUUCCCAUGAAUCCUACAAGCACUCAACAUGGCACCCCACAAACCCUUAUCAGGCUCGACCUCCAUCUCCAUUAUCAACUUCUCUUCUUCUUCCACUUGCCCCAAUCUCCCAAUCAAAACCGAUCGCAACACCUCAUUCCUAUCGUGCAUUCCAUCAAACACCUUCCAUGCAGCCCCUAAUCCCCGCAUUUUCCAUACAUGGUAAUCAAAGCAUUCAAACUAGGCAAAAUUUGUAGAGCAACCAUUAAUCAGAACAGCCCCGUGAACCUGGUGGCCAAGGCGCAAGCCAGUAGAGAAGCCGUGAACUAUUAUUUUUUUUUUAAAAAAAUCAUAUUCUAAAUUCAAUACACAAAUUUCGUCUACUUAAUUUAUCAAAUUGUUAUAGUUUUUGUAAAACAAUUUAUCUGAAUUUCUUUAAACACAACGUCCAUUUUCAACCUUAUUUAAGUAAUCAUUAUGUUUGAAUAAGUUUGAUUUUAUGAAUCUAACAUGUAACUCGUCAACAUGUAAAUACGUGCAAAUAACAAUUGUUUUAUACGAAUUACUGUAAAAAAAAUUUCAUUCAAACCAAACGAUAUCAUUGAGCAAAAUAGUUUCUUGCAAGGGAGUUAUAAACUGAAGUCAACUACAGGGAACAUAAUGCGGGAGGAAAAAAAAUACGGGUCAAGUAGAGGGACAAAUAGUCAUGGAUUAUCUAGUAGAACACUGUCAUGUCGGCCAAGAACACUAUCAUGUCAUGUCGGCCAAGAACACUGUCAUGUCAUGUCGGCCAAGUUGCCUGCCACUAUCUGCAUACAAUGCCCUUGUCCAAUCUAUUCAGCUUAGGAAUAACCUACAACUCACUCAUGACUUUAUGUUGGAUUGCAGCUUCAUCCUCCCUAGCUAACUUCGACCAAUCCGCAAUGGCCCUCAGUUGGUCAUUCGCACAUUCCAUGGCAUUGCGAAUGACGAUGUCCACAGUCUCCACCUUUUGCGCUCCCCGCUUCCUCUUCGAUCCGCUUGAACUCGCCCUACAGUCGCUCGAUCUACUAGGUCGUGCACUAAUCAUGUCCUUAGGCGACAUGUUCAGUCCCUAGUUGUACAUAGUAGGGAUCUCCAUAUCGAUUCUAUCUUUUGGUGACAAUCCCUUGUACCCGCACGACACAUUGGACCCAACAUUGGUGAAUGUCUCACACGUGCUCCCCUUAAGUGAUCUUUUCCGAACACAUACGAGAGUUCGUCGUAAUAGGGGAAAAGCCUAUUAAGGAGGCCCUUCGCUACCGUAUGAGUUUGUGAAAAAAAUAAAAAAUAAUUUUCAGUUUUCGAUUCCAUUAGAAGGAUGUAAAAAGUUCACAUUUACUUAUUUUCCUACCCUGACCCAACUGUCGAACAUGUCCUUCUCAACAUUUAUACACUUAGCAUCUCAUUCCAUUCGAACCCACUACAUACUGGGCCCUGCAUUUCAGCACUUGCCUGGAUUGUUCUCUUCAAAGACUUGAUCUGACUUUCGAUAAUAAUGGUCGUUUUGACAUUGCAUCUUGGCAUCUUGUUGUAUGCAAUAUAUCUCUUCAACAACCGGGACUUAGUGUUAGUAAAUGGUGAAUGAAAAUCAUAUUCAGUCUAGGCGAUAUAUCCUGAGUAAGUUCAUUGCAUGCGAGUUGCUCACUAUGUCUUUCCAUAUCGGGUGAAAGCUAAGUCCUCAUUGAUUACAAAUUUUCCUCAUACUUGCCAAAGUACAAGCGAAACAGUAGGUUUACCUGGGUGAUCUAGGGUCGAACACAUGAAAUUGAUUUAAGAUAUUAGUUCUAGGGAUUACUUAUCAUCUAGGCAAUAUAAAAGAAUUAAAUAAUAAUGAAUGGUACAAAAGAAAUGUAGAGACAAACUAUCACUAAAUGUCUACGUCUAUAGAUGCUAUAAGGGGGGAAAUGGAUGAAGAAAUAGAAAUGUGAACUAACUUGUAUGCAAGAAAGAGGGAAGGAAUGUCUAUGAAUUGGAAUGUGAUUAAGUAAUGAAACAAUCACGAUAAAAUAUCUCUCUCUUAACCAACUUAUAAUUAAGGCGUGCUUCUCUCAGAGUCAUUAAGCAUCACACAUGGUCACCUCCCAGGUUCCAUAUGAUUAAGUGUGCGUAAGACAGAUAUAUCUAGAAGAUUUCACAGAUAAAACUUAUAGAACUUCUCGUUUAAGGAAAACAACCUCUCGGAGCCUAAUGUCUGCAGUUGUUGGCCUUUCGAGAUAUUAUAAACUGUGUUUUUCUAAAUGAUUUUAUCACGUGAUGUAAUUUUCUUAUUUAAUAUUUCACAUAUUAAUGGAAGACAUUUUAAAAAAGAAUAGUAUAUAUAUAUUUAUUAUAUGUAGGGAGGGAGGUGAAUAUGUUUGAAAAUAAUAUAAUUGAAUUGAUAUGGGAGAGGGUGCUCCCAAAUGUAGAAGUAAAGAAAAAGAAGAAAUAUAGUUAUAAAUUUGGAAAAGAAAUUAAAAGGAAAUGUAUGAGUCAGUCAUUUGUCCAUCACAUCAUCAUCACCCCAAACCAAAUUGAUCCCUAUCCUUACGUAUUUAUAUUCACCAUAAUUAUCCAUUUUCUUAACCUUUCACAACUCACACCAUUCAUUAUUUUUAAUUAUUACUCUUUUAUUCUUUCACUCCUUCUUCAAAUACUAAUCAAUAUUGGAUCUCCAUUACUAUUUUUAUUUUUAUUUUUUACCAAAUGGUUACUGAUAAAAUGGGUGAAUCAAUAUUUCCAUUACAUCUUUAAAAAAUUCAUAAAACAUAAAAUUGAAACUAAUAUAAGUAGCAGACCUAUUUACUUAUUUGAAAAUAAUAAAAUAUUUAUUUAAUAGUUUAAAUUUAUUUAUAACUUUUUCAAAAAGAUUUAUCGACUAUAACGGUGUGUUAAUAGUUAAAUAAAAUUUUUUAUUUGACAAUUAACUAUAUGUUAAAUAAAUUUUCUAAGGCUGUCAACAUUAUUUGUCCAUCUUGUGAGAUCCUUUGCUUUGCUCCUAAAAGAUUUGUCAAAAGAGCAACGGAGGAAAAUGUGAUUUGUGGUCUCCUAUUUUUACAUAAUAUGCACCAACUGGGGUUGAGAUAAAGAUUUUUGAGUCCAUAUUGAAUCAACUCACUGGUAAAGAAUUCGACCAUAGAAAAAAUUUGCAUUUUUUUGGAACCUUAUAUUUCCAUAUGUUCAUGAAAGGGAUGGACUCAUCCAAGGCAAAAGAAGAGAAGGUAGAGGCAAGGAUGACAGAUUGAACAGAGAAAGAACCAUUUCUCUAUUUGGAAGCGCUUCUUUUUUUCUUAAGGACCUUUUGUUGUGUAAAUCCCACCUAUUGUGUUCAAAAUUCUACAUGUAUUUGAGGAAACCAUUUUGUUGUGUUGAGAGAGCAUAUAAUUUGGAAAAAGAUCUGUAAAGGGGACUAUAUGAGCUCCAGUUAUACUGUGCCAAAAAGAUAACAUCUUGUCAUUGUUGAUUUUCCAACUCAAACGAGAUUUAAACUAGUCUACACCUUUGCAUAUGAAAAUCUCAAAGGAGCAUUAAGAAUGUUGUACUUAGCAAUAGUGAGCAAAUCAUCUAGAGAAGUAGUUGAAUAUUUAGCAUAAAUGAUGGACCUCUAGAGAGCUACAAGUUCAUUGUGAUAUACCUCCAAAGCCACUUUGUAAGCAUAGAAAGUUUGUAGCAGAGACCAAAAAGAUACCAAAACCUCCAAUGUCUAGAGGGGACAUUGACCAUUUGACCAGAUUUAAUUUGUUUUUGUGGUUGUCUGUAAUGCAAGUAUUUCCAAAGUUGCCUCUCCAAAAGAAAAUUCCUCUAAUACUUUUCGAUAACUUUACAUGUGUGUAACGGGAGUUUAAAAACAGAUAGUUGAUAGAUGUGGAGACUAGAUAAUGAAGACUUGAUUCUGUUCUCCCACCUUUAGAUAUGUGAGAGUAUUUCUAGUUGUUCAAGCUUUUUCUGAAUCUUCUUGUUAUGUUGUCCCAAAAAUAUUUGGAGCUUGGUUUACCCCUAACAGCAUACCCAAAUAUAUUAUGGAUAAGAAUUCAAUCUUAUGCUAAAAUAUUGAAACCUGUGUGUUGAAGUCAAUAUUUAAAUUGGUUUUUCUUAUAUAAGUAUUAAGUGGCAAAAACUAAUGCAUGUAUGACUCAGUUCACAUGAAUGUGUACUAUUAUUCAAAUAUAUUAAAGCUUGACAUUCAAUCCUCUAUCUCAUAUAUUGUUCAUAAUAUUUUAAUUAAGAUUUGAGUCUCCAUCCUCUAUCUCAUAUAUGGUGUAUAAUUUAGUGAAAGUAAACAUUUAGUCCAGUUUAUAAUGAUUAAUUAGUUCAUAAUAAUUCAGUUUAUGGACUUUAAUAUGUAAUGAUUUAUUUAUUGUAUUUUAAAACUUUUUUUUAUCAAUUUAACUCCCAACAUUCAAACAUUUGAUGUAAAUUAUUUCAUCAAUUUAUGAGUAUUUUUUGUGGUGUAUUUACUUGUGUUAUACAUAUGUACUGAAACAUGACAUCUACAUUCAAAUAUGCAAACAAGAAGUGCAAAUCAAUAUUAACAAUAGAGUUUAAUUUGCUCAAUGCGAUCAUGUUUGAAAACUACGUCAUAUCAUCACGGUUAAGAUAAAAAUAAAUGUAUGGACAAAGAUGAUUAAAAGCAAUUCAAUAUCAUUUGCAACAGUCUAUUAUUAUUAUUAUGAUUCAUUUAUCAAUGUAGUAAAAGUAAUUUUUUAAAUAAAAAUAAAAAAUAUAAAAAAGAAAGUGGGAAAGAAGAAUAAAAAUGGAAUAUUAAACAUAAGUAAAGAAGCAGAAAAGGGGGAAUCUGAAGUGAUUAGAAAGAGAGAUUUUGGGUAUCAUUGUUUGAUAAUGAAAUUGAAUCCAAAACAAAGAUCGUACGGCUACUAAUAACUGUAAUCCCGUAGAAGGAAGAAGGAAGAAGGAAGAAGGAAGAAGAAAGAAGAAAGAUUGAAGUCACAUCCCCCCCAGGCCCCCAUACAUAACAACACCCAAUACAAAUUAAAUUAAAACUCAAUUAAUUAACUGAUAUAUAUAUAUAUGCAAAACAGCUAAGCUAAAGCUAAAGCUAAAGGCUAUAUAUAAAUAUACUCACCGGCGCUUUCAUUCUGAUGUGAUUAUAUUGUCCAAUCCUAUAAAUAUAAUUAACAAACUCUCUCUUCCAUUCAUUAAUACUUGCUUGAUACCAAUUUAAUUAACACAACACUUAUCCAUAUCUUCCUCCAAUUAAUUUCCAGCUACAUUCUACAUUUUGUUUUUGGAGUCCUUUGAAAAGAAUGAGAUUAAGUAGGAGUUGAAAUUGGAUUUGUGAUCAUUAUCUUCUUCAUUCUAUAGUGUAAAUUGUUAUGUGAAAACCAAAAUUUAGUACGAAAAAAUCAAGUGAUUUGUAAUUUAAGAGAACAUCUGACUUGCAAUUUGUAAAAGGUAGAGUGAAAAAAAAAAUCAUAUUAUGAAAAAUAAUAUAAAGUCAAAAUGAACAACAGCAAAUAAACAAUAUGAGUAACAGGACUAAAGAAGAGAACAUAACUUAAUAUCGUUAGGGACCCAGUUGAAUACAGUUGCACCUACAUCUAGAGGUUUUCAAACUCGAUUGAGGAGAACAUACAUUAAAUUUAAAAAGGAUUUAUAAGUAGAUGAUUUUUUACCAAAAUUAAUAUCCUCAAAGAUAUUUUGCAAACUAUACUGAACAAUCCAAAUUUUUGUUAAGAAAUCUCCCUAUGGAUUGAUUGCUUCCUAAUUCAAUCACAUAUCAUAUUCUACAGGCUCCAUCUGAGUGUGUGACACUUCUAAAUUACUCUUCUUGCUAGGCUCCCCUAACACGUGAUCUUUUCACUUUGGCCCACUAUUCAGUCAAUAACACAGUGCUCUCAACACUGCACACAACACAUACAAUAAAUAUAUCCAGCACUCAUCACCAACUAGCAGAACAAGAUUAGGCGAGAUCAGUUACAGAAACCACGUAUAAAUAAUGACACCUAUGCGCUGUAAUUAAGGACAAAAUCAAGAGAAUUUACAAUCAUUAUUUAAAAUACUUAAAUUUAAAAAUAAAAAUUCAAUAGAUGUUUUUAUAUAUAAUAGUAAAGUGUAGCCAUGUUUUGUAGACGUCCAUAUAUUAAUUGAGAUAAGACAUAGAGAUGAGUAAGAAAAAGAAAUAAUAAAAGGUUUCGGAGUGUCACUAUCAUAUAUGCUUGUGUCAUAUUGAGUCAUUAAUCAUAAUUUCUCCACAAAUGGCUGCAUGAGCAAUCAUUGACUCUUCUCUCUGUGUGUGUGUGUAUAUAAAUAUUAGUUUUGCAUUAUAUGGUUAUUCCCCAUUACCACAAAAUGGCAUCACCUUCUCCCUCUUCUUUCCUUUCCCUUCUACUUCUCUUUUUCUUCCUCGCUCAUAUCCUCUUUUCUUCUGGUUCUUUUCAUUCUCCUUUUCAUAUUUUCAUCUUUUUAGUACUUUUACCUCAUUAUAUUAUAUUCAUAUUCAUCUACCCUUUUUUCUCAAUAUAGAUUAUAACUAUUGCUGCUGGAGAGUUGGGCGAUGCCGUUAUGUUUCCGGUAAGCUGUCGGUCUCUCGAGCUCUUCACAUGAGCCGGAAGGUAAGAUCUCAGGCUAGAGAAAGAUGUUGAAAUUUUCAUAUUAGGUAUAGAAUUAAGUUUAUAGCUUCUUCUUAUUGUAAAAAUAAACUACGCUCUUUCGAGGAACUAUUGUCAAUCUUAUUUUGUCGAUCCUAAAAUUGGAAAUCUUUCUGUGAAUAUUUUCGAGUAUAUGUUUCUUUUCUCACUAUUCUAUAUACUUUAGGGAAUGCUUGUUCUACUUUAUGAGAACUUGUCUUUUGUAUUUUUGUAUUAUCAAUACUUUUUAUCUUCACACUAGUUUUUUCAAUUUAAAAUUAUUAUUUAAUGUGUGGAUCUCACAAUAUUCUUGUAAGAUAUCGACCUGACAAGUACUAAUUGAAAUAGUACCAUGCAACAUAUAUAUAUAUGAAAAAAAAUCACAUUUAUCCGUCCUCUCACUCAUCACUCAAAAAAUAAAAUAAAAAUAUUUUAAAGAAAUAGUAAGAAAAAUUUAUGUAUGACAAAUUAUUAUUAGUCCAGGAAACGAGUGGUGUGGAUAGUGUCAGAAGAUAGAUUGUUUAUUGUUUUUGAACGUUAGUUUCUUAGUUACAGAUGCUUGUAGAGAUGAAGAAGGAGAUGGAAGAGGGAGAAAAGGGCGGGAAGAGGUGGGGGACGGUGGCGGAGUGGGAGCAGUUGCGGAGGGUGCCGUCGGGACCUGACCCAUUGCACCAUAAUGGCGGAAGCCCAAAGAAGCCUAGAACUCCUUGAACUAGAAAUCCACGAGGAGGAAGAUUUUGAAAGUAGGGGUUUUUGGCCGAUCCCAUCAACAAAACUAAAACCCACAGUUCUCCUUCUUUUUUUUUUUUUUUUGGGUUUUUUUUUUAAAUUAUUAUUUAGUCUUUUAGUCUUUUUUCUUUUUUAUGAAUUUUGAAUUUUUAUAUCAUAUGAAUGCAUGAUUAUGUUCCCUGUUCAUAUAUGUUAAAUGAAAAUUGUAGGCCUGAACCUUUGUGGUCAAAUAUCUUUAAUUAGUGUUCUCCUAUUUUAAAUUAGUUAAUAGACAUUCAUGCAAAACAUUAUAAUAUGUCACUGAUAAUUUAUUUGAAAACUUAGGUUAAAAUGUUAAAUAGAAAUACAAUUCAAACAUCAUAUAAGUUUGGGAACUAGUUAAGGUCUUAAAUUGAAAUCAAAGUUUUAAGACUCUCUCGACAAGUAUAUUUAUGAUCUAAAAUUUGGGAACGAGUGUAAAUGCAUAUAUGUUUUCUUUUUAAUAUACAAUAAUAUUGUUUAUAUAUAUAUAUAUAUGGUAUGGUAGAUCAUAAGAGGUUUAUUUAGUUUUAGGGUUGAUAUGUGAUGGUCAAUUAUGAAUAGAUCAAUUUUACGUUCAAUUGCUUACUUUUUGGCCUUCAUUGGAACUAUCAACAAUCAAUUAUUAGAUCACUGUAUAAGAAUUAAUUUCACAAAAUAAUUAUAACUAAAUCUCUUUUAAGAAUAUUACUAAUAGUAGUCGUUUCUCAUGAUGAAUAUUAAUUGUGUGAAAUAAAAAAUGUAUGUGUUUUUAAUAAUAAUAAUAAUAUAUUAUUUAUUAGGUUUUUUUUUUAAAUUAUAAUAAACCGACGUAAUAUUUAUAUUGUAUAUGCCCACCAUGUAAAAUACCAAAGUUACCCUAGUCAACACAUAAAAUCAGUCACGUGCGCGCAAUACAUGAUCUAGAGGGCAUACCAUGUUCUGAGAUACUUCGAGAUGAAAAAAUUUUAUCCUUAAUUCAUUUGAUCUCGGGUAUACAAUGCCUCGAGAUGUCUUGGAAUAAAAAAUUUAUUCUUUUAGUUAUUCGAUCUCAAGUCUUAAUUGCAUUGUGAUGUCGGGAAUCAAUAAAUCACAAAGAAGAUAUAAAUUGCAAUGACAUAUAUGAAAUUUAUGAGAAAAUGAUUAUACGAUGUGGACUUUCUUAUUUAGUUAAGAACGUAAAUAUUUAACACUUUUAUUAUAUUUAUGUAAAUUUAUCUGUUUAUUAUUAUUAAGGAUCGGAUAACCGUUUUUUUUUCUUCAUUUUAAGAUCUAUGCUUGUGUUCUUCCAAUUUCUUUCACUUUUUUCAAGAAAACAUUUCAAAUUUUUUAUUAGUCUAAGAUAAAAAACAAGUUGGCAAAACCAUUUUUUCUAGUUUUCAAAACUAGAUUUUAGUUUUUAUGAAAGGUUUAGUCCAAGGAAUUGUGAAGUAAGAUCUGUCAAUUCCACUCCUUUUGUGUGGUUAAAAAAGUUUGUUAAUUCCAUUGCUAAAAAGAUAUUAAGGAGUGUUUGAUCAAUAAAUUUAAAAUUAAGGAUACGACAUUUGAAGCUAAAUCCAUCUUUCGACACUUAGAAUAAAAUUAUAUAUUUUUUUAUCAAUGUCGUAGGUUUUAGAAAAAAAAUUUACUUCAACCUCUUAUCACUAAUCAUUUAUGACUAUUGGCAACAAAUGUUGGCCAACUUUACAUUCAACCACUAAUAACCAAUUGUAACUGAUCAACGGUCACAGUGACCAAUCAUCUUGAUCGUCUGCUUUGAAUAAUCUUGAUCACCAGCUCUGAAUCGUCUUAAAAGUUGAUUUUCGAGUCUUGAUCGUUUUGACUAUUUGUUUAUCGAUUGUCUUGACUAUCGAUUAUUGAUUGUCUUGAUCGUUGGUGACCUACAACUUUGGACAUCACUAUCGUCAAGUGAACAUCUUGAUCAUCAGCAACCAAUUGUUAUCGUUAAUGAUUGAUCGUGGUGCCCAUUAACAAGCGAUCGUGGUGAUGGUCAAUGAUCAUUAGCCAAGACCCUUGGCGACCGACUGUCAUGACGGUCGGCAACCAACCAAUCAUCUUAAUCAUUGCCGAUCAUUGACCAUCUUCACCAUUGAUCCAUGUUCGUCUUCACCGAGGCUUCCUACACUUUUUUCCAUGAGUUCGUACAACAAACCCUAUUCAAGCCCAUGAAUUACCUGUUUUUUUUUCCUUAAUUCCAUCUAAAAAAAUUUAUUAGCUAACUAUGGACAACACUUUUGAUGACCAUUAUAUUGUCAGUCGACCAUUGGGUGCCAUUUCCAACAACUCUACAGGCAAACUUCCAAUCACCAACACUGACAAUCACCGUCAACCUUGAAAAACUAAUAAAAAAAAUUUUAAAAAAACUUUUUUUUCUUAGUCAUUCCAAAUACGCAUUUGACUUAAUCAUAAUAAUAUUUUUUUUAAAUACAUUUUAUCAUUUUUUUUUGAGUUUUUUAAUAAUAAUAAUUCUCAUUCUUACAUUUUUUUUUCUUUCCGAGUUUUUUCUAACAAUAAUAAUAAUUAGAUCGCUUUUUAAUUAUCUCUUUUAUUUUUAAAAUUCAACUUUCCUACAUUUUAGGAAAUUUUUUUUAUUUUGUUAUAUUUUUCUUAGGUGAAAAUUGUUGACUUGUCUAUUGGAUCUCAAGUAUAAAUUAAAUGUCAAUAUAUUGGUAAUAUAAUGAAAAUCGUAAAUGUAACCAUUAACCAUAACCAUGACUAAAUAUAACUCUAUUAAAAAAUUGAUACAUGAUAAAAUUUAGGAUGUACAAUUUAAAAAAAAAAAAAACUAAAUAGGCUAACUAAACCCCUAAAUUCAAAACCACCACCUCAAACACAUGCAUUAGAAACCCAAAUUUAUCCAAAUCAUACAGCUCAAACACGUGCAUUUGUAAUUCUCAAGCUUUAAAACCAAAUCAGAUAAGUCCAUGUACAUUUAAUUUUCAAGUAUUUGAUUUUGAACGUGAGCACAAACACCCACAUAAUUUUAUAUCUUGUCGUCUUUGAAUCCAAAAUUUCACAUUUAAAUUGCAUAACUUCUUGGACCUUCACUAACUAUUCCACUUCUUGUUCCAAAAGAAAAACUAGAGGUCCGUGUGUAAUCUACUUUUGGAGUGAUUGAGGGUUUGUUAAUUUGUUUUUUUUCCUUAUUAAAAAGAAAAUGUAAGGGUGGAGAGUGAUAUCUAUAUAUAUAUAUGUAUAUAUAAUUGUCAAUUAAAUAUUGUGUUGAAUUGAAAAAUCAAAGUAAGAAAGUAUUAAAUUAAAAAAAUGAAGUGGUCAAGUAUUCAAUAAAUCGACCUAAAUCUUAACGAGUCUUCAACACUCGAUAAAAGAACCAUCUUUUAAUAAUAAUUUUAAGAACUACAAUAUUUUAAUAAAUAGUUUCUAAAGAGGUUAAUUUUCAUAAAUACAACAAACAACCAAAAUAUUUAUGGUCCGUGUAACAAAAUGAAAACUUCAUUAUUUUACUCAAAAGAACAAAGCAAAGCGGAGAUACAUAGGCCUAAGUAUGCCCAAAAAGGGAAUAAAAUGAGCGUCCACGAAUUAGACAGGUUGAUUAAGAUUGAGAAAGGGUUGCUCUCGUUCAACGGUUCUCUACCUGACUUCCUAUAUGCUCCCAUUAAAGCAUUGAAGUGGGAAAAAUUCUUCACGGACGAGACAAAGGUCAAGUUCGAUGUAGUAGAUCUAUUUUAUGCGACAAAGUUUCAUCCAAAGGAAUCAUACGCGAUAGUGGAUGACGAGAGAGUUCCUUUCACUAAAGAAAAGAGCUCAAUGAGUUGUAUGGUUUACCUAAUGAUCUGGACACAUACCCUGGCCAUAGGCUCAUCGCCUAACCCACAGAAAAAGAUGCAAGUAGAACUAUAAAAUUAAUUGCAUGGCUAGUGGCAACUUGGAAGCAGACACCAACUGCGCGGCUGCAACUUUAUCCACAUCAAUUGACAACUAAGGCAAACGUCUGGUUGUUCUUUAUUAAAAAGAAGAUCCUCUCAACGCACCAUAAUAGCACCGUAUCCAUUGAAUAUGCGUUGCUCUUGUACUACAUUAUGACGAAGGAACCAUUCAAUUUGGGGUGUGUGAUGAAUGUGGCAUUCGUACGUGAUGAAUGACGCAUUCCUAACUUGGACAAGGAACUCGAAAGGCGCUAAACCAUUCCCAUCUAUGGUGGAGAAGUUGUGUCUAAAAUAUUUGCCUACCCUCAUGAGAUACCCACAAACUAAUAUGGCGGGAGACAAAUGUGUUUUGGUAAGAUUAAAUCGUGUAAUGAUUAUCCAUUAGAACAAGGAAGAAGAACGCCGCCUAAAGACACAACCGCUAAAAAAAAAGAGAAUGGUCAAGAGGAUGACAACUCUCCACUUCCUUUGCCGCUCAAAAUAAAACCAACAACUGCAAGUGUAUCGGUUGAUCCAUCCAUAGAGGACCAACCCAAUAAGGAACCUACGCGUAAGAAAAGAAGAAAACUAACUACUAAGCGGAUCCUUAUUGACAAUUCCCCUGCCAAAUUCCCUCACCUUGAUGACUCCUUACCCUCCACCUCUCUACCAACUAAACAACCCUCAUCUCUCCCUCGCGAAGCCAGCAAAGACCCUCUCGCACUUCCAACUGAAGACAUUUUUUACCCACCUCCACCAACUGACCCCUUCUUGCCUAAAUCACCCAUUUUCUCCCAAUCAGCGCAGCCCUUGCUUGACUAUUUCUUCCAAAAUCCAACUCCCUCAUCCCUCUUCUACUAUGAACACCUCACUUACUCACACCGGUCUCCAUCCCAAUCCCAUCAUAGCCAACCUCACUCCCCCAAAUACAAAACCCCACAAGGUUCUCCCCUAAAUACAGUUGACGCCUGUGGCAUAGGAAUUUGCGCUGUCCUAUCUCAGCAAAGCCAUCCGAUUGAAUAUCUUAUGAGAAGCUGAGUUCAUCUAGAAAACUAUGGAGCACAUACGAGCAAGAAUUAUACGCCUUGGUCCAAGCUCUAAAGCAGUGGGAACACUAUUUGCUCUCCAAGAAAUUUGUUCUCUUAACCGAUCACUUUUCUUUAAAAUACCUUCAGUCACAAAAGAGCAUCAGCAGAAUGCACGCACGUUGGAUCACCUACUUACAAAGGUUUGACUUUGUUAUUAAACUCCAAGCUGAAAAGAGAAUAAAGUGGCCAAUGCCCACAGUAGAAAAGGCUCCCUGCUCACACUCCUCUCUUCAGAACUAAUUGCCUUUAAACAUCUACCUGAGUUAUAUAAUGAAAGCAUUGACUUUGCAGUCAUAUGGUACAGAUGUACUAAUUACUUGAGGGCUGAUGAUUAUCAUAUUGUGAAAGGAUUCCACUUCAAAGGAGAACAAUUGUGCAUCCCUCACACUUCUCUAUGGGAAGCCUUGAUAAAGGAAGCCCACUCUAGUGGGCUAGCUGGUCAUUUUGGACAGGAUAAGACAUUUGAGACAAUUUCUAUAAGAUACUACUGGCCCCAAUUGAGAAAAGAUUCCAAUAACUUUGUGAAGAGAUGUUUCACUUGUCAAAGAGCUAAAGGCUCACGCACUAAUGCAAGGCUAUAUACCCCAUUACCUAUUCCACACUCAAUUUGGGAGGAUCUCUCAAUUAACUUGGUAAUUGGACUCCCUAAGACUGAGAGAAACUAUGAUUCAGUCAUGAUGGUAGUAGACUGAUUUAGCAAAAUGGCUCAUUUUAUCUCUUGCAAGAAAAAAAACGAUGUCAUAUAUAUAGCUAACCUCUUUUUUAAAGAAGUCAUUCGAUUACAUGACCAGAGAUGUCAAGUUUCUAAGUCACUUCUGGAAAACCUUGUGGAAGAAGUUUGACACAAAACUGAAAUACAACACUACAACUCACCCCCAAAUCGGCGAACAGACCGAAGUAACCAAUAGAACACUAGGUAAUUUGAUAUGUUGCCUUAGCGAUACUAAACCUAAAUAGUGGGAUUUAUCUCUUGCACAAGCAGAGUUUGCUUUCAACAAUAUGAAGAAUCGGUCGACUGGCAAAUGUCCAUUUUAUUGGCUUUUUGGCCCUUAAUCUCAAAUUAAUUUAAUUUAUGUUUUGAUGAUAACAAAUUUGAUUUUUUUUUAUUGACAAUUUUACUAAUUUGAAUAGACUAUAUUGUAGAGCUUGGAAAAAUGAUUCUAACGCCUCUUGAAUCACCCAAAUCGAAGUUCCAACGAAGAAAAUAUUGCUAAAAGAAGCUUAACCGAAAAAUACCCGAGAUGGUGACGUGACAACCAAGCAUUCAAUUUGAACGAAUUAGAGAAAGUCACUUGGAGCAAUGGAGGAGUAACAAAUGUGGCUUUUGGUUAUGUUUUAUUGGCUUUUAUAAAGAAAAUGAAUUUUAAAAAAAAUGACUUUAAUAUUAUUAUUUUUUUCUUGUGCCUAACGACUAGUUUUUUUAAAAGAUUAUGUAGUUGCUUUGUUGGUUCUUUUUUUAAACAAGUAUUUUGAAAAGACAUAUUAUUAUUUGUAUUGUGUCUAACGUCUAAUUGAGUUUAAAUCUCAACUAUUCAUUUUUCUUUUACUUACAUCUAAUGACCCAAAAUAAUUUUUAAUUUAUCUUUCCUCUCUUUUUAAAUACUUCAUUUUUCCCAAAUUUUAAAGAGACAAUAUUAUUAAAACUUUACAAUCCUCAAAAGGUGCAAAAAGCCAACAUUGUUAUUCUCUUAAAGCUUCCAAUUUUUUAUUUUUUUCAUCUUAUUUUUUAGAGCUUCUUAUUGUAUUGUGAAGAUUAAAUUUGUGAGUUUCAAAUUGUAUACUCACUCUUUUAGAGAGUUUUCUUUUGUGUGAUUUAAAACUUCAACAUAUUGUAACGGUUAGAUCAUAACCUGUGGAAAGGAUCGAGUUUGCUCUUGAACCCAAAAAAGGAGCAAGAAUCGAUUCGGCUCAAAUCCGUGGAAAGAGUCAAAAGAAGAUUUUCAAUCAAAAUCCCAAGAGGUGCUUGGGAAAGUGGAUGUAGGUUAAGUUUAACCGAAUCACUAUAAAAUUAUGUGUUUGCUUCUCUAACUAUUUUCUAAUUAUUUUUUAAUUUAAUUUAAUUUACAUAUUCUUAUUGGUUCAGUUUCAUUGCAUACUUCCAUUCAUAUCUUUUUAUCAAUCUUGUUAUUUAACAAAGUUUACAAAGUUCUUUAUUUAAUUUUAAAAAUAUCUAAUUAGUUGAAUUUACUUUUUAUUUGUCAAAAAGUUUAUUUAAACCCUAUUCACCCCCAAUAGGGUAGCCAUACCGAUCCAACACAUUUGAAAUUGUAUAUACCAAACAGUCAAGGUUAACAUUUGACCUUGCCUCACUUCCUACUACCAUAGAAAUCAACAAAGAAGCAUAAAUCAUGGUAGAAAGUAUUGAGAAACUUCACCAAAGAGGUUCAUGAUCACCUCAUUCAAUCAACUAACUCCUAUAAGAAGAAAACAUACAAGAAAAAGAAACAAGUUAUUUUUUCUAAAGGCGAUUUAGUGAUGGUACACUUAAGAAAGAGCAGAUUUUCCACUGGAACGUAUAACAAACUGAAGGAUAAACAAAUCGAUCCAUUUCACAUCCUAGAGAAAUAUGGAGACAAUGCUUUUAGAAUUGAACUCCCAUCAGACAUACAUAUUCACCCAGUGUUCAAUAUUGCUGAUUUGAAGUCCUACUAUGCACUAGACGAUUUCCAGCUUGCCAACUAAUGCACUCGUGGACGAGUCCAAUUUUAGGGAGGAUGAAAUGCUGUAAAUAGAGAAAUUAGAUAGCUAAAUGAUGUAAUAGAGCAUAUAGCUAGCUUAACUACUUAGAAGCUAAAACAGUUUAACUACUUAAAUUAUUGAAUGGUAGUUUGGAAAUAAUAACAAAUUUAAGAUAGAGGGUAUUUUAAAAAUUGAAAAUUUUGUCAUAUUUGCAAAAUUCUAAAACAAUGUGUUAUAUUUGAUGUAUCAUAUUCUCAAAAGAUUAUGCACUGCAAUUUUCCAAAAAAUAAUUACCAAAUAUUUGAUGAAAACAUAAAAUAACUUAUUUGAAAGACUUUAACUCCCUUUCUGUGUAUUCUUAAUACAAGAUACCAAUCCUAUUUAUAUAGGAUUGUCUAGAUCCAUAUAUAACUUCACAUAACAAUGAAUUUCCCACUUAAUUCACCAAUGUAUCUAAUUUUAAACAAUCUUGCCAACUAUUCAUCAAUUAAUAUAUAACUUUCGUAUCUCUUAAUUUUGGAGUUAACUUAUUUAACAUAAAACAUGCCUUAACUUUUCAACACUAACAACGCAAUAUUUGCAAAAUUUUGUACAAAUCUCAAUUGAGUAAGACAUUUAAGCACAACCAGAUACAUAAUGUUUAAAAGUCUCACACCCUGAAGUGCUUAACAAUGUGAGGGUACAAUAAUAUGAAGAAGGAACAUACGAAAUGAAAAAAAAAUUGGUUUGAAGAAAGAGAAUAGUUGUGAAUUAUAUUUAAUCAAGUAAAGUAGGGUGUAGGCCUAAUUUCUUCCUUGUGUUACCAACAAAGAGAUCUCUAGAUUUGAUAAAAGCAGGCAAAAUUCCUGAGAUAGUUGUGAUAGAAAACUGAGCCACAGCUUGUUUCCUCCCUAAAGAAACCAUGGCUGUGGUUGGAGUUCGAGCUACGUAUCUCUCCAUUUUACCUUCUUUUCCAACCAUUAACAUUUUCAAGUUCUUUGCAGCCACCUUUGCUUGUCUCUUUGCUGAUUCCCCUUGCUUACUUUCCUACAAAUGUUCACAUUCAUUACCACAUUAUUCAAUAUUGUUGGAACAGAACCAAACUUAUCUCUAAUCUUUUCAGAGUAAAAUCAAAAUUAAAGAGAUAUCAAUAUUUUUUUGUUCAAACAUAUUUAGAGAUUAGUUGUCCUAACUUGGUUGCUACCUCAUUGUUGUAAUAAUCAUAUGGUACCACAUAGUAAAUUACCUAUUAAUAGUAUCUCUUGCAUGGGGUCUUUCUUGAGUGCAAACAUGAAAAUAAAAUAUAAUUAUUAGAAUUGCAUUAUCUUUUCCAAUCUAUUCAACAUUUUAAUACAACUAUUGGGACGAGAUUUGAACCUUAUCGACCUCUAUAAAAGUUCAUACCAAUUAAUCCACAUUGACCCAACCUCUCUCUAUACAUAGUAAAUUAGUUUGAUAUAUCUUGAAUCACACACAUUUCAUACUUAUGUUUAGAUUUUAUUUUAAUGUAUGGAUCACAAAAUUUUCUGCAUAAUAAAUUAAAAAAAAAAAAACUAAAACUGGAUAAUUCUAAAACAAUAUUCUAACCUACUCAUAUAUUUUUUUAGAUUUUUCUUCCAGAGUACAAGUACUUGAGUAAAAGAGAUGAAUGGAAAAGUUGCUGUUAUUCAUCUAAUUAACAUCCUCUCUAAGCAUAUAAAAGACAAAUAAAAAUAUUAAAAGACCAGUAAUUAAAUUGUGAUAUGGACUACUAAGUGAAGAAAUACAAUCCACAAUUUUGUUAAAAAAAGGUUGCAAUCGAUCUAGAUGCCAAUUACUAUAGAAGAAUUAAAAAGCAGAAACUUACUCUAAUGUCAGUGAUGUCUCCAAUGGCAAAGAUAUUAUGCUGGCCUUUAACUCUCAAAUAUGCAUCCACCAUCAAUCUUCCAUUCGUAUCUAAACUCUUUUUCAAUAUGCUUUUUUGAAGCCAAGACGAUGCUACUGCUUUUCCAGUGCAUACAAAAUGGCAAUCGGCUAUAAUAAUCUCACCCUUUGAACUUCUAAAGCUCUUGUUUCCAUCCCACAUGUCGUUUACAUCAAUUGUUUGUUCCAAUUUUACAUUCACCCUUUUGGAAAUCAGCCAUCUCAAAGCCUUCUCUGAUGCCUUUGGACCCAUGAAUUCCAACACCCUUGGUCCAUCGUGGACUAGAGUGAUCGCUUUGUCCGGAAACUCUGUUGUGAUCUCUCCGGCCAGUUCGAUGCCCGUUGGUCCACCUCCGAUAAUUAAUAUGGACUCCGCUCUUCUGAUUCUUUCAUUUUCUGCAUUGCUUUCGUCAUAUCAUCAAAGGUACGUUGAUUUUUUGUUGGAAGAAAAAUGAUUAAAUACAGCUGAUCCAGUAGGGGUGAGUAGUGAUGAUAGGAGAUGUAAUGUUGUGGAAUCAACAUAGCUACAGCUCUGAAUUGAAUACUUAAUUUUUAAGCUCUCCAAACAUUCAUUUAGAAUAUGUUGUUAAGAUAAAAUACUAUACUUCUAGUUUUUAAAUUUUAAAUCAAUUUAGUUUAGUUUUUAUAAGUUUUAAAAUAGACUAUUAAAUUAUAAAUUUAUUGUUCAUACAUUUUGCCAUUUGUAUAAAAAAUUAUUCAAAACAACUCUAAACUUUAAAAGUUUAAAAAAUGAACCGUUAAUUUUGAUGUGUUUAUGAAAUUUUAAAGUCAAUAGGGUCAACUUAUUUGGCUAAUUUUCAUGAAUGUAGUUUACGACUCAUAUAACAAAACACAAAAAGACUUUGAUAUUUCAAACGAUUCGUCACUUCUUUUUCUUUUUCUUCUUCUUUAUGAUUUAUUUAUCCUCCCUUCAACAUUUAUUUAUUUCUCUUAUAUAUUUUUUUUUCUAUUUUUACUCUUAUAUAUAUAUAUAUAUUUUUUUUUCUUUCUUCGUCUUCUCUUUCUUUCGGCUCAUCCUUUAGAAUAUCAAUAUCGUUUAAAUAUCAUUUUGAUAUGAUCUAAACGAUUGAUUACCUAGCUAACACGAUCAACACAAUUGUUUAGAUUUGUAGUUUUUUUUGCAUCUUUUAAAAUGAAUUACAUGAUCGUGUGGAAUAUGAUCUAAACGAUCUUUUACCAUAGUCAACACGAUCGUUUAGAUUUGAGAUUAAACCAUUUUUCAUUAUUUAAAAAGAAUUACACGAUCACGUGGAUAUGAUCUAAACAAUCUCGUAUUAUUUCCUAAAUGAUCGUUUAGAAAAAGAAUUACACAUGUGUGUGUAGUCCAUCAAACAUGCAUGUGUUGAUUGAGACAUUUUUUAUAUUUUUCAAAAAAAUUUUAUACUAUUUAGUUUGUUAUUUUUUAAAAAAGAGAAAAACUCUAUUUGUAUCUUAGUGGGCUGCAUUUUCUUUUUAAUUUCAAAUGUUUUUAGUUUUGUGGUGUGCAUGAUUGAUGUUGGUUGGUCAGCACCCCCUAAACAUUUAUACUCCUAUUAUUACAAAAUUUAACUAAACAUAAUUCAUUAGUGGAUGAUCAAUGUGUAAAUUUUAUCAUCUUUCAUAUAGAUGUAAAUUUUAUGUUCAAAAAUUAAAAGAAAAAAAUGGAUAGAAAACAAAGUGGUUGUGUUUACUAAUUUUAGAAAACUAAAAAUUAAUUAUUGAAUAGAGCCUAAACAUUUGGUUUUUGGCAUUUGCUCUUUCUAAAUCAUACUUCCUCACCAUGAAUUGCAUCAUACUCGUUUUCAUCCUUCCAAUUAUAAAACUUUUAGUUCCUAAUCAAAUCAAAUAAUGUUUUUGAAAUUAUUAUUUCUUUCCAUUUUCAAAACUUUUAUUUCUGAAAUUAAUGUUUAUUACAAACACACAAACAAACUUAUACAUUCAUAUGGUAUAUGAAUUUAAUUUUUUAAAGCUAGAAAAAAAGUUAAUUCAUUUGAAAACUAUACUUUAAUUUUUAUAUUUUUUAAAAUUAAAAUUAUAUUUUUUUUUCAAUUUUUUAACAAAAUGUUAAAGAAAUCAAAACAAUAUUAUUAUUUUUUCUUUUCACAAAAGUGUCUCAUUUUACAAUUUUGUUUGAGUUUUAUGUGUUUUAAGAACUUAUACAUGUUUUUUCAAUCAGUUUUUAUCUUAUACUUUUUAAAGUGUAAUGGUCAACCACAACUCAAAUCUCCAAAUAUCCUAAUGAAGAUAUGUUAUUGUUCACUUUGGUGUAUACACGCUCGUGACUUUACUUUUGGUUCAACCAAAAAGAUCUUAUACCAAUGAAAAUAAUUGUUCACAAUUAUAUAUGAGUGAUCACUCUCUUCCCUAACCAACAUAACCAACAUGAAAUUGGCUUACAUCCCAAACAAUCCUCCCCCGUACAAAUUCAUUUGAACAAAUCCGUUUCAUUCCUACCAACCGAGGACAUUGCUCUAAAUCCCUAGACACAUCUAGUUCAUCUUGGGUUAUUGCUCACCUAAUUAAGCACAAGCACAUAUAACACUUGUUCUUAUCACUUGAUAGAUCAUGAAUAACAACAAACUUUCACAUAUUUCUACGAUAGUAUGAUAUUAUCCAUUUUAAGUAUACACUCUCAUGACUUGACUUUACUUUUGGUGAUCAUAAUUUUCAAAAGCUUAAUAUUUAAUUUUAAAAUUCAAGCAAGUAUCGAAAAGGCAUGAUAGAGACAUUGAGAAGAAACAAAGAUAAAUUCCAAGAAACGAAAACAAAAUGGUGAUCCUAAUUGAAAGAAGAAAAAAAAAGGUAAACAAAUUGUGUGUUAAUAAUAAGAAUUGACUUUUGAUAAACUUAAGUUAAAAAGAAAAACGAAAAGAAAAGAAAAAAUAGUUUUCUUUAGAAACCUAAGAAGAUUAUAAUAUAUAAUUUAAAAUAAGAAUAUAUAAUGGAGAAGAUGAAAAAUUACCAGCUGUGUAUUGAUGAAGACGGUGAGUCCUUGUUAUUGGAAGGGAAGGAUCAUGGUGGCCUGUGGCGACAACAACAAAAUCAAAGUCCACAUUUCGUCCAUCUGCAACUAACACUUGGGAUUCGGUUACACCGACGGCAGGGGAAGUUAUCAAACGUCCAUUACUAAAGUAAUGAGAAUGAUUAAUCAACAUUCUUUCUGCAAAACAAGGCUCCACCAUUGAUCUCAAGCUUCCAUAAGGAAUCUCCAAAUACUCUUUUCUGUACCCAAACACAAAAAAUUCAAUACUGUAUCAACACUCAGUGUAGAAACACACAAGAUUUGCUUACGGAUCAAUGAGAGUGAUGUGAGCAAAGAAUUGGAGGGAUUUGGCCACUAGAGACCCGGCGAUGCCACCACCGACCACCGCCACCCGACGUAGGUUGCCACCUCCAUGUACGUCCAUCGAGUCUGUGUGGAUAGAAAGUCUCCGAUGAGAAUUUUUUCUCUUGGAAGGGUUGAAGUUUAAAGAAGGGACUUUCGAAGGGGACGACUAGCUAGGGAAGUUUGGUCAAUGGGGUUUCUAUUAUUUAAUUUAAACAAUAGGGGUAUUAACUUGCAAGUUGGUGUAAUAUUAAUUCAUUUUCUUUCGAUGUCUCCCUUCCUCUCAAAUCUCUCUUCCACAAGUUAUAUUAAUAUUAUAUGUUUUAUAUACACAUUCAUUUCCUACUUUAAAAAAAUGUUGGAUAAACACGUUUAAUUUGGACUAAUUAUCUCACUCUUACGUGAACAUGUUAGAAUACUAAUCAACAAUAUUAAUCAAACUAUUGACACAACAAAUUUAAUAUGAAAAAACCCCAUUAACAUGAGGAGUAAAAAAUCAUGGACCGAACUCAAAAUCUCUACUAUAAUCAUUAAUUAGUACAACAAAG